UUAUAAUAUCUGAAUAAAACAGCGAUGGAAUGAAAGUAUGCUUGACUGGACUGAAUAAUUCAGUAGUUAUUUGUCGCUGCUCUGGGGAAUCAACCAUUUUAUUUCCAAAAAGGGGGGUAUGGCUUUUUGUUUUUUUGUUUUCACGACACAUUUUUUUAGUUUUUUAACUUGAUCAAUGUAUUUUUUCAUCAUCAAUUUGGAAAUCAGAAUAUUUUUUAAAAACAACCCUCCCUUUUGAAGUUAAAUUGCCAUUUCCUAAGAAGGCUGUUUUAUCUUUCAGUACUAAUGAGAUAGAAAAUGAAAGUACGAAGUUGAACAUUCCGAUUAUCGCGUAAUUGAAGUUCUUUAGAGGUUAUCAAACAAUAAAUUUUCAUUUUGACUCAUUUACAACGCAAAACCAAGUUGACCAGGAACCGAGGCAGCUUGAAGAAUAUAUCAAUACGCUCAAAUGUUGUCACCUGUCAGCAAUAAAACCAAUUGCCUUAAAAAAAAAUCAUUUCCAUGAAAGUUGCAUCAUCUGGCCUACAUGUCAACAGGCCAAAUGUCUGGCGUAAUAAAUUAACAUUCUGGUAUCUUUAAUGAGUUUCUACAUGUACGAUUGAUUUAAACUAAAAGUAUUAUACACUAUGAUGUAAAAUUAAAAUAAAAGCUAAGGUUACUUAACAGGGAUAAAAAUCAAAUGCAUGGGGGCGUAAAUUUACAAUCAUCGCUCACUUUUUAUCUUGUCAAAUGUAACUUCUGUUUUAGAGAAUUAAACAGUUUUUUUAGUUUUGUGUUGAAGAGACAAUGUCUAACUGUGUUUUGACUCCCGGACAUAUAUUGCAUUUGGGGAAUUCCUGAAAACUUCAAAAUUUCAAAGAGAGUUCAAAUAUUUACUUUGAUUGUAUCAGUGAUCUCACAACGAAAUGGUAGUAUAUCAAAUAAGGUUAUUCAUCCUGAGAGCUUUGUGUGUUCAAUAAACAAUACUGUAAACCAAUUUAUUUUUGCGGAUACUUUAUUUCGCGUUUAUCUCCAGCUAGUCUACUUCACGGCGAUUUAAUUUCGAGAUUUUCUAAUUAACUUGAUGUAGUUUAAUAAAGAUCCAAGUUAUAUAUAUUCGCGUUAUUUUUCUACUCUCGAAAGUCGGGAAAAUUGAUCGCUCGCGAAAUUAAGUUGGUUUACAGUAACUAAGUCAUAUUCUACUUAGUUAAAGUGAAUUACGUUAUAGCAGCUUGUCAUCAGCGAUUAUUAUUGAUUUCCACCCAAAGCUUUUAGCAUAUAGGUCUUAGUUUCAAAUAGAUUCUAUAAAUGUGUGUGAGUGUACUUUGUAUUAAAAGAAAUAUAAAUAAAAACAAAACAAACAAAAAAAAACAGACCAUAACAACUAUCUUUAUUUUAUCCUUUUUCAUUAACCAAAAUGUAUUUGAAAACUUCCGGAUUCAAAUAAAAACACAAUUUCGUACCUUCUUACAUAGGCAAGUAACGCGAUUUCAAUCGUAAUUACUGGUGCAGGUGAGUUCUGUGGUGCGAUUCGGACAUAAAAGAAGAAAAACUGACACCAUGGGUAAAUAGAAAGCAACUAACAGACAAACAAUAUAACACAAAUCACAACAAAAAACCUGAAGACUGAGCAACACGAACCCCACCAAAAACUAGGGAUUAUCUCAGGAAGGUUAAGCAACCCUUGCUCCACGUGGCACCCGUUACAUGUUAGUACAUACCCUGUAAAAAGUCAUAUUUACGGUUGAACUAUCAACGACCAAAUCAAAUCACCUGUUUAUAAUUUUCUAUUCCAAGCAAAAGCAGUUUCAAGUCAUAAAAAUGUUACUUCUUCAUUUGAAUCAUAGACAUCAAAGUUAUUGUGAAAAUAGCCCUUCUUUAAGCUGUCGUAAUGUUUUUUUUAAUAAUUUAAUAAAUGCUGAAGUAUGUACACAUUUAUUUUCAUCACUGACUAGUUUUUAUCAAAGGUUAUUUGUAUAAUAAUGUAUGCAGUAGUUUAACAGUCUUCUACUGAAAGAAAUAAUACACAAUAAAAUGAUAUAAAAAUUUACAUUAAAUUGUUCAUCAUAUUUUAAAAUCAUAAAUAAUAUAAUAAUGUCCAUAGUCAUACUUGAUGCUAAGUAUACUGAAAUCUAUUUGAAAGAUUUGAUAAAGUGUAUCUCAUCAUGAAGAGUGUAAUAAGCAGGAUAUCAUAUAAAAAAUAUCAAAUGCAGACUUUUUGAACUUGUAGUGAAGUUAGAAUGUUUGCCCUCUGCUGAAGGUGAAUUUGAGGUAUAAAAAAACAAUAAAUGUGAUUGGCUUGCUUUUUUUAUGUGCAAGUAGCAAUUUUUUUGUCAUUAAAUAAUAAUGCAUAUUUGUUCUUUUAAUCUAUUAUAAUUUAUUUAGUCCAUAUAAAACUUCACUUUCCUUACACUGAAUCCAUUGUAUCUUUUAUUAAAAGAGGCAAUAAGUGAUCUUUUUACUCUAAAGAAUGUAAAUAUCCUACCUCUUUGUUUCAUUUUUUUCUAAAUCUCAAUACAAACAUUGUUGCUGGCCAUAUGUUUACCAAGAACAGUAACAAUGUAAACAAUAACAAUUGUUAGUCAAAGACUCAAAAUAGGGAAACCCUUGAGCCAUCAUGAGAAAAGGGAACUUCAGGUUAUUAAAGGAUCUAGCUCAGAACUGUUCUAGAAAGUUGCUAAAUUACAGGCAAAAAAAAUAAAUUGCCAUCAUUGUACCGUUGAUAUUGACAUACAAUAAGAAGGAUGAACAUAUAGCUUGUUUAUUUUGGUUACCAGAACUUCACAAAAUCAUUAUAACAUAAAAAAAAAGCAGACUCGUUUAGAGGUUCCACUAUACACCUUUCUAAAAUGAUAGCAAUCAUCCUUGCUGUAAAAGAUGGGCUUCAAAAACAAUGAAAGAGGUAAACUCAACCAGCAGUAAUAUACAUUGAUUCUUAAAAAUUCUAUAAUUUCAUUACACUUUCAUUUACAUUUAGCAAUAAUGUCAACAAUAGUUCUACACUUAAUACAGUUUUUACUCAUGCUCAAAUGAUAAAAUCAACAUCAACCCAUUAAAGUUUUUUUUACUAAAAAUAAAAAUGUUAAUACGUCAAACUAUAACCUUUAACCUGAAUACCAGUUUCUCAAUCACCUACUAUUAUGUAUGGGUAGGAACAUACCACCUGCUCCAUUAUAAGGUGUUCACAUAUCUCUUUUGAUGUGUUACGGCAUGUUUGAUCAUAUUAUGAAUGCUUCACAAUUAGGAGUGUUUAAAUAAAGCAAAUCUUAUUCAGCAGGGUGAUUACAAAGAACUACUCUAAUUGACUCUACAUGAAUUUGAUGGUCAUACUCUCGAAUUGGUUGACUAAUAGAAUGUUUGUGUUACUCAACUCAUUAUUAUAGAUAUGGUUUAGAUCUAAAAAAAAAAAAAAAAAAAAAAGCAGAAGAAUCAUCUGAUUUGAAAAUAUUCUAAUUCAAUUCUGUCAUGAUAUUUUGACUAAGCCAGAAUUUGCAUUGUGUAAUGCUUCUAAUGUAUGAUUUGAUUUGAUUUGAUUUUUUUUGUUUUUAACGCCACUUUUAAGCACCGCAUUUAACCUAUUUUGUGGCUGCCAGUUUUUCUUGUGAGGGAAGUGUAGUGCCCGGAGACGAAUCCUAGUCAUUAAGAUUGGAGUAGAGUCCACCUGCACAAGCAUAUUUCGAACGCACAACCUCAGUGUUGACUGGCUAGUGUUUACAGUAGUAACUACUUAGACCACUUGGCACCAAGGCCCCUUGUAUGCUUAGAAGGAGAUGAUUACCCUGUCAAAGCAUCCAGUAUUGGUCCUUUCAGAGCUCAUGAGAUCAUUUUCACUUGAUAGUUAAAACCUGGAUCAACUCAUGGGUUGCAUUGCAAAGACAUGAAAUAGUUGAGACAGCUAAUCAUCUAUUCCAAUAAUGAUUGGGUCAACCAUUUUCCACAUUAUUGUUCUUUUAACACAUUAGAAAACACUAUAAUUUUAUAUGCCAUUAGAUCCUUUAAAUGAAACAGAUAAUCUAUCAAUAAACAAUAUACAAAACAAUAACAAUAAAAAUAUAGUUAAGCUUAAGACAGACACAUUUAAAUGAGGAGUGGUUAAACAUUUAACUUUGUUCUGUUUAACAGGAUCAUGUUGAAAAUGAGCAUCUACAUGUAUUCAUUUAAUAGAGCUAGAUAGAAUUAAAAAUUUAUGAAAGUGUCAUAAAAAUUCAAAUACAUUGGAGAAAAAAAUAUCAAACAUACAACUGACCACUGGAUGACAAUGAUAUACUUUGACAUGACCUUAACAAUUUAUCUUUAAAAUUUCAGUAGUUUAUUAUAAAAUAUAUAUGUCACACUGAAAAUGAACAACCAUACAAAGAUAGUAUAUCUAUUUAGUGACAUAAUGAGCUGACAUAUGAUUACUUAAAGAUUGAUAUGAGGCAUGGUGCUUCACAGAAUAUUCAUUCAUUAAAAAUAAAUGGAUAUAUACAUUGACGCAAGGGUUUGUUAUCCAUUGCAGAAAACAAAGCCCUGUACAAAAAGAGUUAGUUUUCUAACAUAAAAAAAUAUAUAAAGUUGCAUUUUAAAAGUAAAUUUCCCAAAAUUCUGUUGUAGUUAGUUCCCAGGAACUUUAAAGAACUUAAAAAUACACUGUAAAAAUUUGAAAAUACAUUUCAUGUCUUAAAUACAGUGAUUUCAUUAGCCAUCAUUAUACAUAUCCUUAUUUUAUACGGUUUACCCCAGUACAACAAUUCUGUAACUACUGUUUCUCAAAUUCUUCGUCAAUUUAUCCCACACUGCACCCAUUGUAUAAAAAAAAAUCAACGAGUGGUUCAUUUGAUCUCAGUUCUUCAUUGGUUCAAUUCUGAUUAUGACGUUGAAUUUUCUUGUGUUCCUCUGAAUUUCCUAUUGUGACGGCAUCAAAAAAGGCGACCAUGCCUGAUGACAUCAUACAGAAAGAACACAUCUUUUUGCAGAUCAGUUGCAAAGAAGGAAUAAGUUUGCCUGCAUAUUGUUUGAAAAUCAUUAAAGAAACAGAUUCCACCACCAAAUCUUGUGUAAUACUAUAUUUAUCCACUCUCGACAGUUAAAUUUUAAAUAUUUAAAAAGCUCAGCAAGCCUUGUGUUUUAAAUUUGAAAAUUUAACUGUCUCUAGUGGAUAAAUAUUGUAUCACACUUGAUGCAGUGGAAGAAUCUAUAUGUAUAUAUAAGUAGCAUGGUAGGAAAUAUGGACAGAUCUCUAUGUUUAGAACAGAUAUUGACUCAUUCUAACUUUUGAAAAAUUAACAUCCCCCAAAUAAGGCAGGAAUGUCAAAGUUGGAUUGUGAGAGCUUUUUAGCAUCAUUGGUUACUACAUGCAAUUCUAAUGUCAGAUAUAAACCAGUAUUUACCCUUCCUGUCAGAUUUUUAUAAAUAUUAUAUCUAAUACAAGUCAGUUAUCUGACAGCUGUCACAUAAACCAUAUUGGUUGGGCUUAUCUGGUGGUUAGUCACAAUAACAAAAUUUUUAAUGCAGUAAGUCAAAUUGACUGAUACUUUAUAUUGGUUGUUGUUGGUGUUUCAAUAGUAACUAUUCACAUUGAUUCACUACAUUCGAUUGGUUGUCGUCUUGGUUUCCACAAAUCUAAAAUUCCAACUAAAGGUUUGCCUAAGUUGACUUUUGGUCCUUCAUAUCUCUGUUUUGUCUCUGUAUUCACAACAAAUACUUGAACUUCUAAAUCUUUCUAAAAUUGAAAUAAAAAAAAAAAAAAUUGAUGUUAUUACAAUGAAUAAAUAAUAAUAAGUUAGUAUAUUUUAUAGCUUACUAUAAAGUAGGGUUAUGUUCAUUGCUAAAGGUUAUAUGGGACCUAUAGUUGUUUACAUCCUUGCACUUGUGGUUAAUGGUGGACAGCAAUUUUAUUGUCAUAUCUCUUAUUUUAAAUGUAUCUACCAUCAUUUAAAUUAACAAUUAACAUGAUUAAAGGCACUGUUGUAGGAUAAUGUCAUUUCUCAGGACCUUUUUAUGAUUUUCUUGAUAGAGGGUUACUGCUCACAAGGAAGCUAUCAUGGCUAUUUAACCAAGAGUUCCAAAUGGUGAAGUUGAAAUCAUCCCUUCAUAAGACGCCAUCACGAGUUGGUUGACCGUUAUGGAAUAACCGUUUCACAAAUGAUAUCGGAUAUGUUCCUUACGUCGUAACUACAAUCCCCUUCCCUUUCAUGGAUGUGACCUACCGAAUUAGACUUUUACGAUUUGUAAUCACAUAAGCAACACGACGGUGCCAAGGUGAGCAGGAUCUGCUUACCCUUCCGGAGCACCAGAUCACCCAGUUUUUGGUGGGGUUCAUGUUGUUUAGAUUUAUGAGUUUGACUGUCCCUUUGGUAUCUUUCGUCCCUCUUUUAUGGUUGAUUUGAAAUUCAUUUAUGAUAAUAGAGAUUAAAUCUAUCAUCUUUAAACAAAGGCAGCAUACAUUUUUUCUACAAAAUUUUUCACACUUAAUUAUCAGAAAAGUUAAAUAUUUUUCUACAUACUGUUAAUUUCUGCAAGUCUUGUAAAACAAUCUUUGUCUUAGGUGGGUCAUCAUGAACCUGACUAACACUCCCAAAUAUUGAUAUCGUCUGUAAAUAUAUACAAACUUUCUGAAUAAAUACACUGCCUGCCUCCAACUUGUUUUAGCUUGUAAAUAUGUUUUUCAGCUAGAUUUAAAUAAUAUUUUAAUGCAGAGUUAUGUAAAUUUUUCUGUGUUUGGUUUACAGUCAGACCAUCUGUUAAUAAUAAACCAAUCAUGUGUAAUUGGGUUGCUGUCACUAAGGUAUAGUCCUUAUAUCCUUUAAAUAUCUACCUAUGAAUAAUUCUGAUUCAUUUUUCCAAAUAUUUUUGAUAAAAAACAUUAUAUCUAUUAAAUAUUGUGAGCAUAUACAUGAUUUGGCUUGUUUAGGAAUUUGGAUACUUAUCAAAGCAUACACAGUGUAGUGUGAAAUGUAACAACCAUUUUGCCAAAAGAAAAAGAAAAGAAUAUCUACUCAUAAGAUAAGAACUGUGGUGAGUGAUAGUUUUCUAUACACCACUUGCAUAGCCCAAACCUAAAUCCAAAUCCCCAACCAGAAUGACAGAUCAUUUUAAGGUAAUUUUACCAAUAUUGAUGUAAUAUAGCUUCAAUAAUUUUAUAAAAAUCCAGGAAUUAUUCAUUUGGUAGAUUGUAAAUUCUUUUUUUACGUUUUGGUUGAGUGAACUAGAAUUCCUUGAAUGAGAUAAUUUUAGACAAUUAAUUGUCAGCAAAACUUGACAAACCAUUCCAUCAAAGGGAUAUUGCAAUCACAUUGAGGAAUACAGUUUUGAGCACUAUAUUGUAUUGCAAGAACUUAUGACUCAAAGUCCGUUCUUUUGGUUUAUGUUCAUUUAAUUUUAUGUUCAUUUAAUUUUUUGAAGCAUAUAAACAUCAGAUUUCUUAACUGCCAAUGAUAAUCUAUUAAUGGCAUACUGUUGAUAAAAGUCAUAUUCAGAGAGUUUCUUUAAAUUAUAAUGUUAUGGAAAUCAAUAUUGUAUAUGUAUAUAUUAAACAAACACAUGAUUUGGUUUACCAUCAUUCACGUGUAAAUAAGUCAAAUUAGUUAUGCAAUAGCAAUACUCAAUUUGUUUAAAAUAUAUUUUACAUGCAUUUCUAUUUGUUAACUAAACUGUUGUAACAAUUAAUUGAUUUGGUGUAUUAAAAUUUUCUUUCGAAAUCCAUUUUCACAUUUUAUAUUCCAGUGACGGUUGUUUACAUUCCUUUCACAUUUCCCCCCUCACAUCUGCACAAUGUAGUUGCAGAAGUUCUUUCCAGUGGUCUUGUGUUUAAGGUCAAUUUACACAGAAAAGCUAUCGAUGAAUAAGCGUACUGGACAACAAUAGUUAAAUAGCAGAGCAUUUCUAAAAAUUUUGAUUAAAUAAGGAUUUUCUUGUAAUGAAAGUUUAUGUACAUGUGUUUUAUAUAAAAACUUGUCUCAUUGGCAUCUUUCCACAUCUUCUUUCUUAUAUUAGCUAUUCAAGUAUAAGAAUAAGAAUAAGAAUACUUUAUUAAUCCAAUUAUGGACCCUUGCAGGUUUUAAAUUUCAUCUGAUUACAAUGAUUUGUGUUAUAACAAUGAAAUAAUAAAAUGAAAUACAUGACAAUAGAACACUGAACAGUUAUUGCGUGCACAUGGAAGAGAAAGUAAUAUGGGAGACAAUCAAUUUAUGUAAGGAUUAUUCCCCUUUAAACAGAUAUGGCACCAACUGAUUAGAUAUAAGGGUAUUUUUCUCCCAUGUAAACACAGCAACCAAUUACUAGAAAUUAAUGUAUAUAAUUAUAUUUCUUUCACAAUUGCAAGAAUAUGAUAAGCACAUUAGAGUAUAUAAAACAUAUGACUUUAAGUUCAGCUUUUGACACCUACAUUGUAAGUCUGAUAUUAUUCAUUUGUUUUGUACAGUUUUUUAUUUGUGUAUUUAUAUGAUAUUCUCUGUGGAGUAUUCUAUUGUUCACAUAUCCAAUAUUACAAAUAAAUAAUCAUUACAACAGAUAAUAACAUAAGCAGUACCAAUUUUUCUGCACAAGAUGCAAAUUUUGACAAUCAAUGUCCCUUCAGCGAUGCUCAUUAAAAAUAUGAAGAGCUAUAAACAAAAAAGAACUAAAAAACAUGGCCAAAGCCAGGCAAGUAACCAAAGCUUUGCAUGGGUGAGAUAUAUUCCUUAUUUCAAAUAAUUCCAAAAUUUGGCAAGUAAAUUUAAAUAACAUAAAAAUCUGUAUUUUCAUGCCAGUACCAAAGUACCAAAGUACUGGCUACUGGGCUGGUGAUACCCUCUGGACUAUCAGAUCACAAGCAGAGGUAAGACCAUAAGUUAUGUAUGACUGAGGACAAAUACUGGUCCAUUGUAUUUAUAAAGUUGACACUGAUGAUUAACUGACGGUUUGUAAACACUUUAUGUCUUCCCUGUGUGAAGGAUAAAUAGAGGAUAGAGUGCAUGAAUUUUCUUUUUUUCUAAAUGAAGCUCAUUUUAACUUCCUAAUAUGGUGUUGACAGAAGGUGUUGAAAAAUUUAGAGAUGAAACAAUAUAAUAUAGUCAAUAAUGUGUUAAUCACACAAUUAUAAGUAUUAAUUAAGCACAUUACACCUUACCAGAAAAACCUGAAACAGCAAUUGUAUGUCACAAUUUGUUCUUAAAUCAAUUAUACAUCUUUUAAAGCCUUCCCCCUAUUAUACAUACAUGGGGGUAGGAGGGGUCCUGAUCCCGAAAUACCGGUCUUAAAAACAUGAAAUCCAGAGGUCCCGAAUUUAGAUAAAUUUAAAUCCCGACAUCCCGACAUGGGAAUAAAGAAAUGCCAGAUCCCAAAAGGGUCAAUCCCGAAAUUCUGAUCUUAAAAACACCCGAUCCAAGAGUCUCAAUAGAGGUCCUUCCCCCCCCCCCCUUAUAUAUAAAUAAAAGAAGAUGAAGGGUAUGCACCAACGAGAAAACAAGCGAACAACACAAAUACCCCAAAAGACAUCUAAUGGAACAAUACUAAAAAUUGCAUUUAGUACCCAUUUUGCAUACAAAAUGACAGAUAUCUUAUAUGUUAUUCUGAGAGACUUUAUAAUUUGUAUCUUUUAUAAUUUAUCUACAUAGUUUAAUAUUCUUAAAGAUACACAAAACACUCAUCCUAUAUCAACUGAUGAAGUAGACCGAAUAAUCUAUCUCUUGAGUGGGUACAUUUGUCAUUUCAUAUUUUCUUUUCAUCAUUUGGCUAUUUAAUUUGUUUUUUAAUUUUUUUGUGUCCGUGUGGUGACGAAGUCUCCAGUUAAAAAAGUUAAAGACAGCAACCCAAUGACACACCAAAAAAUAAAAACAAUGAGAGGUCAGAUGUGGAAACAAAAAUUGUGUAUUUCAGUCUCAUUUGGCAUAAGUUUGGCUAAAUGAUAAUUAGGUUAUUUCUAAUGAUGAUUAACAUAAUUAUAAAACAAGUGUGUAGAUAAGGUUAAUCAUCAGUGACUGUAUAAUAUACCACAAAUGUGAUCAGCAUGACUGUACACCAUUAUAUAUGUCAGAUAAAAGAUUAAUUUACCUUGGGUAAAUGAGCAAUACAUCCUAAAUGAUACUUUAGGGACUUCCCCAUUGUCAUCGGCAUAACUGUACAGAAUAUUGUCAGCAUAUUAGAGAAUUCUGUCUGAAACUCUAACAACACUUUCCCCUUUAUUGCAGGAAUUUCUAUCUCUUUUGAUGGUGGCUUUUCUAAAAAAAAAAAAAACAUUUAUAAUUAUGUUAUUACCUCUAUCAAAUAUACUUGAUUCUAAUAUGACGUGCUUCUUUCUCUUUGUGAAUAAACCAAUGCUCUAAAUCCAAUAAAACGUGUUUGCACAUCAUAUAUUGACUACUGCAGAAUAAUGAAUUUUAUCAAAUUGGCAUGCAUUUGAUAUAUUUCAUGAACUUAAAAUACUUCCAAACUCGUUUAAAUGGUGCACAUAGUUGUUACUAAUUCAUUUAUUAUGAUGGUAAUGUGUUGCAAUUGGAGAUUGACAUAUUUGACCUAGAUACGACAUCUGUUCAUGCUGGCUGUUUACACCCAUCUGAAAAAUCACAAUGCCAGUCAUUUGCUUGUUUACAAACAAAAAAGGGAAUUUCAUGGAAGAGCCUACACAAACCUUCUACACUUAUACACAUUGGACAUAGAAAUUACCUAAAUUGUCCUAAUCAGAAUCGAAAUUAUUGAUGCAGGCUAUUCUUUAAUGUAGUUUUAACAUAAGUUAGUAGGCAUUAUAUUAGUGUUAUUUUAGCCCUUACUAUCGCUCGGGCAAAAAUAAUCACGAAUAUAAUGCCUACCCAUGUUAAAAUUACAAUAAAGUAUAGCUUGCAUCAAUUAUUUCUUAGAUAGAAUAUUAUUUCUUUUGUAUGUGUCCUUUAUACUUCAAAUGCAAAUUCUGGUGAUGAGUUCCCAUAUAACACAGUUAAAUAUAGUAUACUUCAACAGUCAUUCUUCGUAGGAUAAACUAAACUAUGAUGACAUCAUUGUCAUCUCUUCAAAUUCAUAUUUUAUUUCAAACCACUAUCACAAUAUUUCUAAUAUCAAAGUCGUAAUUCUGUCCUUCUUACUAAUGAAAAUAUGCCUUACUCUUGAAAACUAUUAAUUCAACAUUCUGAAUGAGAAAUUAACAGAUAGGUGAACAAGAAGUGUUAACAAUAUGCAUCAGUUGGUUUAUCUUUUAACAUGUUAACUUAAUAUUUUUAAUUGCCGUCAAACUUUUCUUAUACUUCUUCCCAAAUUUAGGCUAGCAUAUUAGUUUAAGGUUUGUGAUGUAUACUUUCAGAGAAACCAUUUAUCAGUCCAGGAAAGGUCUAGGUCCAAAUAAGUAAGACUCACCAUGAGCAUUGUUCCACAGUAAUGUUCUCUGAUUAUAAGCUUUAGUAUGGCCUUUUGUAGAUAUCCUAUCUGCGAGCGAUCGUCUAGGUUGUAAUAAGUUAGACUUAAUUUCUGGUAUCUGAAUGUGAUAGUAUUGAGAUUCCUUUCCUAUAUCUGAAAAAGAAUUAAUCAAGAAUAUUAUAUGGCUGUUUCAAUAUCACAUCUCUAUCCACUUGAGACACCAAUAUAUUCAAAAAGUCAUACCAUACACACUUAAAUAUAUACUUUUAAAACACAGGUGUUUUUAUGUUGUGUUUUGGUAAAGCAUUCCACCUGGAACUGAUAUCAAAAGGUGGUCGAUACAGAAAGAUUGACACUGGUAAUAUAAUAUGCAUACAAUCUUCUUCCACCUGAAACUGAUAUCAAAAGGUGGUUGAUACAGAAAGAUUAAUACUGGUUAUAUAAUGCAUCCAAUCUACUUGUAUUCACUAUUUGGUAUGUAAAAAAAUAAAAUAUUUACUGCAUAAAAAAAGCAAAAUAAAAUUUCAGUGUGUUUAGUUUUAACAAAUUGUAAUUCAGCAUGUACAGUAAAUAUUUUUCUAAUAAAACAAUUGAGAUUUUUUUUUAAUCAUGCAAUACAACAUAGCAAAGUUCUUUCAUUACAAUGUGCAGUGGUUGUCAUAAACAUCUAAAAUAAUAGUCUGGAUGGACAGGAAUAAACAUGAAAGAAAAAUAUUGACAGCCAUAUUUGUCAAUUUGGUUUUGGAUGUACAAAAGGAUGCUUAAAGGUUGUACAGUGACCUAUAGUUGCUAGUUUCUUUGUCAUGUGGUUUAUGGCAGGAGUUGUCUCAUUGGCUUUCAUACCACAUAUUUUUUAAAUUUUUAUAUCAAUGGCAAAACAUUAAAAAAACUAUAUAUGUUGCCCUGGAUACCCUUCUCAACAUGUUUUUCCUAUUUUACAUUUUCCCAUUCUAAGGACAUGUACAUGUUGAAGUAUAAUGUUUUGAAAAUCUUUGAACCAUACCUUCUUGAACACUUGUAAAAACAUCUAAAACACUCAUCUGUUUUGGAAGAUAUUUCUUCAAAUAUUUGACUAAUAUUCCAUUAUGAAUAUCUUCAUAGGCGUACAUUCCUUUGCUCCUAUAAAGAAAAUAAGUGUGAAUACAAAUGAUCAUGACUAAAUUAUAAAGCAUGUAAUGGUUAGCACGUCAAAUUUCAUUUCAGGUGAAUAUUUUUAGUAGACAAAUUGUUGCAUUUUUGCUUCAUAAAUAAUGUAAUCAUUAAAAGAUGGUUAAAAAUCUGGAAAUUAUAUCUUAUGUAUAUUCUAAUCCUCUUAUAAUACUCUGUGAAAUAACUAAAUCUUACGUGGCAUAGCAGAAUACUGUGUUGCCUUUCAUUGGAAUGUUGCUUAGAUUAGAACACAUUGCAUCCUGCUCUCGAUUUGUAGGUGGUUGUAAAUUCCUGAAAAUAAAUCAUUAUCUGUAUUAACCAGUAUUAUAAUACAACAGAUUAUCAUUUAUGGAUAAAUCUUUUUAAAACAAAGAAGUACCACAUAAUAAAAACAUUACAAAAAAAGAUAUGCAGUCAAACCUGUUAUAAAGGGCACUUCUAUGAGGUGAAAACAUGUCAGUAUGGUCACCUUUUUUUGUAGUAAAAUUCUAUGCAUUGUUAACCUAAAUCCACAGGUUACCUCUAUGAAAACGUCAGUUUCCUCAGGGUGACCUUUCAUAUACAUGUUGAAGUGUACAAUAGAAACCAAGAAAAGAUUUUCAGGUAUACAAUAUGACAUACUAAAGUUGGAAUUUUUAUUCUUUACAAAUUCUACAGUAAGAGGAUGAUACUAUAGGUAUUUAAGAUAACAUACCUGAUUCUACAGAUGUCAAGUAUGAGUACGAUAAGAGCUGGUGAUGUUUCUGUGUAAUUCUGCAUCUGACUUAACACAUCCUCAGCGCAUACACAGUCUUCUAUUGUAUAUCCAUGUCUAGCAUCAGGAGGAACGAGGUAACAUUUAGCUUCCUCCUCAAAACCAUGUCCACAAAAAUAAAAUACAGCGUAUACCUCACUACCUAUCAGUUUUACAAAUUCCUCAACGGCAGACUGCAUUUCCAAUUUUGUUAAAUUAAGAAGAGAAACGACUUUGAAGUCUAAACUUCUGAAAAUUUCAGCCAUGGUGUAAACAUCAGACUUUGGAGCACUUAAUGGUGACUCACAUCGAUAGUCAAAGUUUCCAAUAAGUAGAGCAACUUUGUCACUAGCUGAAAAGAUUUUUAAAAUUCUGUAAUAAUGUUGCAUCAAUAGAGGGGGAAAAGCACUUCUAUUAUAGUAUAAUUUGUAUAACUUUUUUACCAAACAGUUUAAUAUAAACAGCUAUAUAUAUAUAUAUAUAUAUAUAUAUAUAUAUAUAUAUACUAUAUAUAUAUAUAUAUAUAUAUAUAUAUAUAUAUAUAUAUAUAUAUAUAUAUAUAUAUAUAUAUAUAUAUAUUUAUACAUCUAUUAAAAAAUUGGAGGACUGUUGAAAUUCAAAAGGACAUAAAUUAAACUCUCUGUUUGGCAUUAUAAAUUAAUAGAAUUCACAGACACCAUUUUCAAAGGGAAAAACCAUAUUCAUAAGGGACAACUAAAGUUUAAGACAAGUUAUAACAAAACUUGGUUCUAAUCUUUAUCAAAAAAAUCUACGCUUCUGAAACUUACCAAAAUUAACCCGAAAAUUUUGUGAAGAGACCAAAACUUAUUGAUAAGGUAUUUUAAGUAAAAUAUGGGGUCAAACUCUAAUUUGGAAAAAAAGAAAAGAAACACCAUCAUAGGGCACAUGUAUACUAAGUUUGUCUGAUUGGACAACUCAAAAACUUGACCAAACAAAAAAAACCCACCACCUUCAACCAACGACAACGAAACAGUAAGACACAAUGAACGGAACGCACACAAGAAAAAACAUAAAUGCCCCUCUACUAUCGUAGGUGGGGCAUAAAAAUAGCAACUUUUUGCAAUUACUAAUCAUUAACAUAAUUAACACUUUAUAGUUAAUUCUGAACAACACAUUUUAUAAUGGCUAAUAGAUAUAUAUACUAUCUAAACUACAUUUUUGUACCUCGACCUCUACUACAGUAGACUGAUAGACGAGUAAAAUAGUUUUUUUAAAUGAUUAUGUUUUACACAGCACAUAUCUGGUAAUCUAAUUUGGCACUUAUUAUUUAUUAAUUUAUUUGUAUAAAAUAUUCUGUACUUCUAAAUUUAAUCUACUGUUAUAUCAUAAUUGUGUAUUUGUAUAUUCCAUUCAGUAUGUGAACCAAAGGGGAGAUAACUUGGUUUUUUUUACCUAAGGGAUAAGGUUGAGUUGUUAUUAUAAUAUUAAUUUCCAUGAGAUGUAUACCUGCAAGCAUAUAAUUUGAUCACAAUCAUUGCCACACUAUCUUACUGAGAAAGAAGCAACCUGCUGAAACCAAGGAAUUUUUUCAGUAUCAGUUUUCCUGCUUAACCUGAGUAGUUUGAUAAAUGAUUUAAGUCUAUAUACAUGUAUGUGUUAUACAGUGAUUGCAUAUGAAACUUAUUUUAGGCAAAAUGCGCAAUUAGCUCUGUAUUUUUUACAAUUAAAUGUAUGAUGUUUUAUUGUCUAGGGUACUUACGAUUGAACUCUGGUUUAUCAUUGGUCUUUAUAGAUAGACUGGCAGGGUAUGACAACCUGAUAUUUUUUGUUCCUGGUAUGGAAACCAUACAUGUGUACAAACCCUGGUGGUCAUAAUUCUGUAUUUUCUUCAAUACUAGAGAUGGUUUUAUUUCACCUUAAAAGAAAAACAAACAAAGUAUUAGCUAAGUUAUGAACUUUAUGGAUUGUAGUGAAAGAAAGUGAUUUUUGUCAUAAUUAAUUUGUAUAACCUAGCUUUUGGUUUUGUGAUGACUGUGAUUUACUCAAAUCCUAAUGAUUUUUGGUAGGCUAAUGGGCACUGCAACCUUGACCUUUAAACUACUGACACAAACAAAUAGUGGUCUUGUGUUUGGUAAAGGUUGGAUACAUGGUUCUAAAAAUAUAAUUUGGAAACUAAAAAUGUGGUGCAGUUACAGUUUACCUCUUGGCUCUUAGUGUGGCAAUUUUGUAAAACAUUGCAUGAUAGGCAAACAAAAUUUUUCUUUCGCUUAUUCAUAUCAUACUUUGUUCAGUGUGAUGUGACAGACAUAUCUGGACUUAACAUCUAAGAAUAUAACUUAUAAGCUGCAUUGCUUUUUGAAAAAUAACUUGAGAUGUUCUACAUUUGCCUUUACAUCAAAUAAUCUUAUCCUAAAUAGGAACACCAUCAUUUAACUUAUUAUAUAAGAGUUACGCAAAAACUAGUAAAACGUACCCUCAAUAGGAACACCAUCUUUUAACCACUGGUACACUAGAGGUAUGCUACAUCUUGCCUCACAACUAAAUAAACAAUCCCCACCAAACUCUAUAAUAACUGUUUUAGGAUUAGAUAUAAUCUCUAUCUCUGUAACAAAGAAAUGAGAACAUUAUAGACACAAUUUGUCAUUUUGAAUUAGUAGUUUCCAUAUGUAUGGUAAAACAAUGGGUAUACAAAUGAGUCAUUACUGGUAAAACAUUAGGGAUAAAAUUCAGUCAAUAUCGGUGAAAUGUGAGUAAACAAAUCAGUCAAACAUCUUCUUCUGUUAUUUCAGAAAUCCAUUUUUUAUUGUAAUCAUUGACUAACUUUUAUCAUUACAAGAAUAAAGAAUGCAAGUUUUAUACCCAACAGUCUUCCUUACAAAUUAUGAAUUUAAUGUAAUAUUCAUAUACUGACCUGUUGGUCCUACAGGGUCAACUAAUGGCUCUUCAGCUUAAAAUAAUAAAAAUAUUAAAUUUGUUAUACAAAUGAAGUUUCAUCAGCUAUUAUUAAAUUUUACCAUAAAGUAGUUAUUUUCAAAGGACACUUGUCUCAAUUCUAACUUGGAAUCUUAAUUUUUAUUAGCUAUUUAGGGCUUUGCUUUUAUUGUAGUCAAUACUUUCAAACCUUAUGCACAUUACAAAGAGAAAAAAAUAAAAUCUAAAGCAUUCUGGGUAAUAUUUUCAAUAUUUCACAUCAAAUCAUUAUAAUUGGUUAACAAUAAUAUUAUCAAUGAACAUUCAACGAAUGGUAUAACAUGGUUAUCAUCUGGCGCACAAACAACGCAAUCACCACUGUACUUCAGAAUCAGACAGGUGAAUGGAACAUUUCAGUCUUUAAUUUAAACGUUUUCCUUAAUGAAUAUUUUCACCCACAGAAAUGUUACUGUAAUUUCGAUUUGGACCAUUAUCUACAAAGGCAAUUAAAAUGCUUAUAUAUAAAUAUUCACAGUUACUCUUCCUUUUUAGAUAGGAACAUUCUGAAUGAUAAAUUGUUCUCAUGUACAUGUAUCAGUAUUUUCUUAUCUUUCUAUAUUGACAAAAUACAAUAAAACUUACUUUUACCCAACAUAACUGUUACUUUUACUACAUCACUCAUUGUUUCACCUAACUGGUUCCUGGCUCGGCAUUCAUAUGUUCCCAUAUCUGCUUUAUAUGCAGCUUUCACCUGGAGCAGACACAUUCAUUAGUUUAUUAAUUUGUUGAUAUUUAAUAUGAAAUAAUAGAAUACUAGUUACUUUUACACUUCCUGUUAACUGUCUCUGCACUUUAUACUUUCUGAACAAUUUUUGGUUAUGAUACUUAAGUUAAUGUGUUUGAGUUUCACCAAGUUUUUAACACUUCCAUUCAAAUGAUUUGCCAGACAGACACAUUUAAAUGUCCAUACUUAUUGCUUUGCUUUAUCACAUCCAGCUCUGGUUUGUAUUUUGUUUUUCUACAGUAAAACAAAUUUGUUUAUAACAAAAGCUGUGUUUUAAAUCUUAGAAGUGAAUGCAUAUUACUCAGAGCUGUUCUGUUAUCUUAGUUAUGUAUACUCUUUCUUGUCAUUAUUGGAAGAAUUCUUAACAUUUAUCUGAGCACUUCUUUCUUGUAAAAAAUAUAUUUUUGCAUUUAAAACAAAACAAUGUUAAAAACUAUUCUGAAAAUCUGAAGUAUUUCAGAAUUUUUUUGUUGUUUAUUUUCUGAUGCUGUGUAGUUUUUCUGCAUUCAAAUUAUUUUUUAAGUUUAUUAAAAUUAAUUAUGAAUUUUCGUAUUUAUUUUUUAUGUUUGUCAUUCUAUAUUUUUUAGUCUAAAUUUAUUAAUUUCACAAAUAAAUUACCUCAUAAAAUGGCUGAUCAGAUCUUUUAAUUAUCUCAUGGUUUUUAUACCAAUCAUAAAUGACAGGAUAUUUACUAAGAACUCGACAUUCUAGAAUAAAACCAUCACAAAUCUGUACAGUAACGUUUUUAGGUUGUACUUCAAAUGAUGGAAUCAAAUCUGUAAACAAAAAAAAACAUAUAUAUAUAUAUAUAUUACUUUUCAGUCUUUUUUUAUCUUGGGGCUCAACUCCUAUCAAAUAUAUUCAAACUAACACUAACCCUUACACUUGUCCUAAUUCUUCAAUCUCAUCCUCACAUAAAAAAAAUGUAAACUUCUUUCAUUAUUUUGUACAUUAAUCAGGCCAUCAGUUUUUUCGUUUGAAUUGUUUUAAUCAAAGGUGAUACAUUUGUAGCUGCUUGGGUCUGUUGUUGACAUGAAGUCAUUUGCUAGUUCAAAAUUUUUUUUUCAAUCAAUAAUAUAAAUUGAUCUGAUAUUGCGCAUAUGAUAUCUGUGAUAGCAUUAUUUGUGAAGUAGGAAUUAUCAUACACAUUUAAAGUCUUACCAUAUCUAGAUGGUCUAUCAUCAAAGGUAUCUCUAUCUGUAAUACAAAAAACAUGAUAUUAUCCAGUUUUAUAUGUAAAAGUUUAACAUUUCUUUACAUUCAGAAUAUUUGAUAAAGUUACUUUUACUUGUUACUGUUUGUCCUAUUCUAAAUAAACAAACACUAAUAGUGUUAAAAAAUAAUUAAGAUACCAAUGUAUGUGUGCAAGACAUGUUUCUAGAACAAAUUUCAUCAGAUAUGUACGAUAAUAAAAAAAAACUUCGGUAAAAAUAAAAUCCAAACUGCCUUCAUAGAAGAAUCUAAACAGUCUGAAGUGACUUCAUCUGUUUGAGCUACAACCUUGAAUUAAGUACAAUUACAUUCACUACAGAUAUAAAAUUUAAACCUUUAUUCAAUAGAAUUGUUAGUUUCCUGCCGAAUGUUGGUAAAUCUCCCAAGCACCUCUGCUUCCUCCAUCUAUAAAAACUGUGAAAUUUACCAAUAGUGCUAUAGGUGGUGUUUUACAACAAUCAAUCAAUCAUAUGGUAUAAAGCUUUAACAUUAAAUUCCUCCAAAGUUUAAAAGAGGGUCACAUGUAUGGAAGAAAUAUGUUUUAUUGUGUUAUGGAGUAAAUAUCAGUUUAUACGUACAUGCCACAGGGUCCUUACUCAUCUCUACAGUUACUGUAGACUGCUCUGUAAAUUCUACUUGUGAGUUAAUAUCUCCAUUGUGUAGUCGACAACAGUACACACCUGCAUCUGAUGUACUGUAAAGAUAAACAAUAUCAUUUUACAUUGUAGGCAUGUAUAACUUUAUGUUGUACACAAGUAUAAAUGUAUAUUGUAUACAUGUCUUCCCAUGUGGUGUACACGUGUAUAACUAUUUGUUGUUAUGUUGUACACAUGAAUAACUACAUGCUGUUAUGUUGUACACAUUUAGAACUAAAUUUGGGCACAUGAAUAAAUAUAUGUUGUUCACAUGUAUAACUUUAUUUAUCUUUGUAAUGCUACUGACCGUGCACGAUCCUCAUGGAUAUUUAAGGUUAUUAAACAUCCCCUAUUAUUAGCACUUUAUAUACAAUAUGUUGUACUGUUUACACAUGUAUGCCUAUAUGUUGUAAAUAUGUAUAACUGCUUUGAGUUUUACAUGUACAUGAAUAACUACAUAUUGCACACAUGUUUGACUAUUUAACAAAUGUAAAAUAUACAAAAGGGUAAUUUGUGAUUGAAUGUGCCUAAUAGUAUGGUCACUAGUGAAUAUUUUUCUAUAUUUGAAUUCUUCAAAUAUUAAUCUAUAACUUUGUAUAUCAUACCUGACAUUUCUAAUUCUGAGUAUGCUGCUUUUUUCUUUAUCUAAGAUAUCCCAGUCCUUUUUAUUCUCUUUGAACCACUGGUAUCGAGGAUAAGGGAAACCUAUAGCUUUGACUUCUAGUUCUAAAACUUCUCCUUUGUUUACAGUUUUUCUUUCAGCUGGUUGAUUAAUAAUCACAAUUGGCUCUGAAAUUUACCAUAAUUCAUACAGUGCAAAUGUAUUGUGGAUUCAUAAUUACCGGAUAUUCGUGGAAUACUAAUUUUCAGAGGUAGAGAUAAAGAAUGAAUUUAAAUGUUUAAUAAAUUUUGCAUUUGAGUUCACAACAAUACUACAUAUAAUGGAUAAAAAUAUAUAUUGAACAGUACAAGACCACAUCAAUAAUCACUUUAUUUUACAAAAAUUUCUGCGGGUAUAGAUAAACAACAAAUUUGAUUGAUUAACAACAUAAUGAAAUCAAAUAUCCAUUAAAAUGAAAGUUUUCUUCAAUCCAGGAAAAUCGGAACCCACCGAAAUAAAUGAAUCCACAGUAUUAUGAGUAAAUAUUAUAUCUCUUAUUAUUCUUAUAUAGAUUGCCCUAUUUUGAUUUAUGAUAUAAAUGUAUGGUAAUUAUUUAAGUGACCUAAACAACUGCUUUUGGAACUAUCCUCAUCUGCUACUAGUUAAUCAGACAAAAUUUUAAGGAGUCAAAUAUCAACAUAUAAGGGUAUAAAAUGGAAAAAUAACCAUAAAAGAUAGAAAAGUAACGUAACAGGAACUAUAAACUGUUAAUUAAGAUAUAUUUUUUUUUUAAUUGGACAGAAUGCCAGAUUAUUAUGAUUUAUUGGGAUUUGAGGAAAAUCCCCAUGAAUACAUAUUUAUAUUUAAAAAGAUAUCACAUUGUGAGUUCUUAUUAUUGUGAUUUUCACCUAGCCAGGAUGUUAUAUGCAUUAACAAAAAAAUCACAAUAAUUUAGAAUUUAAUACAAUAUAAUUAGUCUUAACUUACCAUAUUUCUUUAUAUCCAUAAGAACACUUUCCAACUUUAACUUAUCUAGACAGUCAACUAGCUCAGCGGCAGUCAUUCCCAUGGAUCCAAGUUCCCAUAACAUCUUAUUGCUGGGACUACCAUGGUAAACUUGGCUUCCAAACUUUCUCUCUACAUCUGCACUACUGUUUGAAGAAAAUAGGGGUACUCAAAUAAUUCAAUUUCAGACAUUGUAAAUACCUAUAACUAUGUGUAUGAUGGAGAUUGAUGGUUGUCUUAGAAGUUUGAGGUAUAUUUUCUGAAUUUUUUUAUGUUUUGUACACUUAUUACAAUGUAUCAUAAUUGGGAUAAUUUUCAUGUUUUGUACACUUAUUACAAUGUAUCAUAAUUGGAAUUUUCAUGUUUUGUACACUUAUUACAAUGUAUCAUAAUUGGGAUAAUUUUCAUGUUUUGUACACUUAUUACAAUGUAUCAUAAUUGUGAUAAUUUUCAUGUUUUGUACACUUAUUACAUGUAUCAUAAUUGGGAUAUUUUUUCAUGUUUUGUACACUUAUUACAAUGUAUCAUAAUUGGGAUAAUUUUCAUGUUUUGUACACACUUAUUACAAUGUAUCAUAAUUGGGAUAAUUUUUCAUGUUUUGUACACUUAUUCAAUGUAUCAUAAUUGGGAUAAAUUUUCAUGUUUUGUACACUUAUUACAAUGUAUCAUAAUUGGGAUAAAUUUCAUGUUUUGUACACUUAUUACAAUGUAUCAUAAUUGGGAUAAUUUUCAUGUUUUGUACACUUAUUACAAUGUAUCAUAAUUGGGAUAAUUUUCAUGUUUUGUACACUUAUUACAAUGUAUCAUAAUUGGGAUAAAUUUCAUGUUUUGUACACUUAUUACAAUGUAUCAUAAUUAGGAUAAUUUUCAUGUUUUGUACACUUAUUACAAUGUAUCAUAAUUGGGAUAAUUUUCAUGUUUUGUACACUUAUUAUGAUAAGUUUGAUGUUUGGAUGUUAAUUAUAUAAUUUUGAUAUAUUCAAUUUGGUUUUUGAUAGAUUUUUAUAUUUAUUUGUAACUUUACUUGGCCUUCAUUGUUGAAGAUCAAUAUUAUUAUUAUUUUCUAUUGUGAUCUGUAUCAUGAAGAUCUGCCACAUAUGAAUAAAACAAGAUGCAGGUAAUAAAACAAAAACGAGACAGAAAUCUUAACACAAUAAUAGUUAGGACAUAUUUUUCCAUAUAUUUUAUUUACAUAAAAAACCAGAAAACUUUGCAUUUGAAUGAAGUUUUGCCUCUAAUUGUUGAAGAUAAUUUUUUUUACACAUCAAUCACUGUUUGUUAUAAGGUAGAUCUAUCUUUUGGAUUCAAAAUCUCUUCAUUAUGAUUGUAUUUUUAAAUAAAAUUAAACAAGAAAGUACUGCUUAUCAAAUCAUAUUGCAACAUGUGAACUGUAAAUCUAAAGAUCAUUUUAUUAUAUUCAGCAAUAAACAAAUUUCCCAAAUCUAUGUUGCAAAUGAACCAAGUGUGAAAAAUCCAAGAAGAUAGGAGCCAUAUAUGCCUUUAUUCACCUGUGUAUAUGUUCCACAGGACGGCUGGACCAUCAUCACAUUGAAUAUAUAUUAUACAAUAGUUACCUAAAUCUAUAAUUUGGAUUAUCAGCUGCCUUAUCUAACAAUGCUCUCCAGUUACAUGUUUCUGGGUUAGAAUCUAGAUCAUCACGUAAUUUGAGCAUAAAUUUACUUGAUAAUUCACCAAUAUUGGUAUCUGGGUGGACAUGUAGUCGUCUACAAUGCUCACGAUUCAUCAUAAAUCAAGCAUACCUGAAAAAUAGAGCAUAAUUUAAGUACAGUAUACCUUCAGAGCUCCAGAUAAGAAUUCACAAAUUGGGUUUUUUACCCACCAUUUUCUUAUAUAAUUGGGUGAUAAAGUUUUUUAAUUGCAUUAUCAAUUCCAAUUCACCCCUCAUAUUAAUAUUACGUUUUUCACCACAAAGCUCCUUAAUGUAUUGGGUUUUUUCAUCAACACAAUAUUGAAUAUUUAGGCAAUAUCAACCCCAAAUUUUUUCCCAUCUUAAAUAUGUUUCUUUCUUUAAUUUGUUAAGCUGUUUUAUUUGGUUUAGGGUUAGGGUUAUUUGCUAGCUGUUUUAUUUGGUUUAUUCACUGAGGAGCAAUUGUAGGUUUAAUUUGUGUUCCGUUUCAAACCUUCUGCCAGUUUUGUAUUUUCUCAUAUAAACUGUAAAAAUCAAAGUGCUGGAUAGCACCUAUGGAAAGUUUGCAACUGUAUAUGUGUAUUAUCUCAAAUAGGUUAUAGACGUGUAUUAUUUCAAAUAUGUAUUUAACCACAGUGUUGAUUUUUCAAACUAAUCCAUUGUCUCGCCAGCAAUUUCCAAAAAUCACUGUUCAUUGCCCAUUUAUGGGCAUUAUGUUUUCUGGUUUGUGCGUCUGUUCGUCUUUCCGUCCUUCUGUCCGUUCGUCUGUCCCAUUCGGGUUAAAGUUUUUGGUUGAGGUAGUUUUUGAUGAGGUCGAAGUCCAAUCAAUUUAAAACUUAGUACACACUAGAACACACCUGUGAUGUCGCGGGUCUGUGACUGAAUUAAAGUAUAUAACUAUGCGUAAGCCUUAUUUUAAUAUUGGGAUUAUCAUCUGAUAAAGUCAUGCCGAUUAUAAGAUGCACAGUUUUCUCUGCUUUCAAAAUCUUUCUGUUUGAACCUGUCGACCUGGAACUUAUUAAUUAUUGGUAAUAUUAAUUAUUUGGAAAACAAAAGGUCCUGGAAUGGAGUAUUUUUUUUAAUCAACAGCAUUGUCCUAUAUUUAUUAAUUUAGUUAUAAAUAAAGUUGAAUUCUUUGAAUCGCUGUUUUAUGUUAUGCCCGCUAACAAAUUGAAAACUGUACCUAAACGCCUUAUUUUAAGUCCAGAUUUUUAGUAUUCGUAUUGUCAUCUUAGAAAGGCUUACUGCCUAAAAUACUACAAAAGGGAACAAUUUGACAAUGGUUGAAUAUAUUAGUGUCCUAUAUUUGAUAUAUAUAUAAAAUUGAAGUCUUUAAUUUGUCGUUUUACCCCAUGACAGCUGACAAAUUGGACCUCGUUAGUAUUAUAAAUGUUCCCUAUGAUAUAAUCUUUCUAAUUUUAAUGCCAAAUUAGAGUUUUUACUCCAUUUUCACGGUCCACUGAGAAUAGAAAAUGAUAGUGCAGAUGGGGCAUGCGUGUACUAUGGACACAUUCUUGUUUUAUAUAUCUAUACUUCUAAAUCUAAAGACCGUUUUUAUUUUCACUUGAUAAAUGUAUAACUGAAGAAAGCUACAAGUCAAACUUAUAUAUAAGGGUAUAUACUUGACAGGGUGUACUGAAAAUUUCACCCCUUUACAUCUAGAAUGGUAAAAGUGACGCCAACAAAAUUCAAACUUGACUUGUGGUUUUUGGUUUUAUAAGCAUUGCGUAUAAGUUUCAUAAAAUUUGGUUCAGGCAAACUAAAGUAAGAGAACAGAAAUCUAUUUUGGGAUGUAUGGACGUACGUACAAGUAAUUAUUAAGGGACGUACAUACUUACAGAAAAAACAAGGAUAAAACUCAAUAUGAUGGGGCACUGAACAAUAGUAGUAUGACCUCAGGAAUAAAAAGUUUAUAUACACUAGAUUCAUACAAUGUUGAUCUAAGGUGCUUAUUACCCUGUAACACAUUGUAGUUGCUGCUGUGUAAUUACCAUUGAGGCAAUGACAUUUGAGAUUUUUGUUCUAAGCCAUUUAUUUGAUAUACUAGUAAUCAUUGCCUCUGUGUUAGGACGACACAUUGUUAAUUAUAGGUCAAUCUUAAAGAAUCAUACUGCCCCAGGAAUAAAGUGUGAGGAUAAAACGUUCUGGAUCCGUCCACUGCAUUGUUAAGCACUAAGAAAGUCAUUUUGCUAGUACAUGGACAAAUGUUAUUAAAUCAUUUUAAUAAUUUUACAGCACUUGUCUUUAGCUUGAUCUCGGUCUUGAUACACUGAACUAUAACAUUCUAAGAAGUAAAUGAUGACUCGGUUGCUUUUAAAUUAUACGGAUGCUAUGAUACUAAUUGUCAUUUAAUAAGAUAACGUUUUUCUGUUGUCAGUUUGAUCCAUUUGAGCAUGCUGAACGAGUGAGGGUCCUUAUAUCCACAUUGGAAUGUGAAACAGCUAGUAUUUAAAUAACGGAAUUAAAAGUUUUCAAGUUAUUUUUGGCAUCAAAACUUUCAGAUCGAUGUCAGUUUGACAAAAACAAUGCACUUUUCUAUUAAAGCCUAUAUUUACCUUUACUCGUCCUUGGUGUGAGACAUAAGCCAUAUAACUAUCAAUUAUUUUAUAUUCUAUCACCUGUGUAUUGUUAAAAUAAAUCAAACCAUUAUCACUUGUCAAUUAUCCGACAACUUCGUCAAAGAUCAACUUGUUCUCGCAUACCAGACUCUUUCGAUACACUCUGGCUUUUACUUAUUCAAUAAUAAACAGUUGUAAAUAUUGUACAUAGUAAAAAAUAGUACGGGAAAAUGUUCAUUCAUGAAAUAUUCAUGAAUUAAACGCUGUCUCGCGUAGAUUUCUUUUGAUUUUCUCUUCAGCCAAUGUCCGAUCCGCAAAGUGUUUGUGAUACUUAUUUUCAAAAUGAAGUUAAAUUUAUCUGAAAUGUCGGUGAACAUUUAUUCCUUUUUUAUUCAAGCUGUUAUAUUUUCAAAAGAGUAGCAACUCAAAAUAUCCAAGAAUCAGAAUUCGAACACUAGUACUACAUUAUCUUGGAGCAGAACAUUGUGAUAGUCUGUCUCACCGGAAGUUGAGGCUGACGCCUAUAGCAAAUUUUCCAAAAGCUAUAGCUGAGACCAGUGCCUGUGUGUGUAUUCAUUAAUUAACCGUAAAAUGAAGAAAAAAAAUAGUAUAUAAACUCUAAUUAUACUUGAAUGUUUUUGUUUUAUUCCAAUUUUCAUAAAUCUGGGUUUAGUUGUCUUUUAUUAGAACUUUUUGUUUCUGAUGCCUUAUCAUGUCAUAACUGAUUUGGCCUUUCAUUUUUCCAACUGAUUUCGUUUUUGAGGAAACCCUGUUUUUUAUUGCAAUGUUCUCGUUAAAGUACGCACACACGCCUGUGUGUUCGAUGGAUGCUUCCUAAAAACACUGGCUGAGUCUUGUUAUCAUCAUAACUUUUCCUCAGCUUUUCAAAAGAAGCAGAAAAACAUUGAUUCUAUUCAAUAUUUUUACCGGACAUUCACUCUCGUUUUAAAUUCAAUGUAUUUUAUGAUAAACCUGAGCAAUGCGAAAAAAAUAUGACUACAUGACACAUGCUAAUUAAAUAAACGCCAAGAAGAUCAAAAUGUUUUCAAAAACAUGUGUACCUAUUGACAAUGGAAAACUCUAACAGGGACCCAUUUCAGCUACUUGAUGCAGGGAUCUAUUUUUAGAACGAAAGGAAAUUUCCAAUUAUAAAUAUUAUAAAAAUAGUUUACACGAUGACUGUAAACAGAUAAGGGUGAAUAACGCAAAUGGUAGCCAAUAAAAGGGUUGAGAACUCAUGGUGUUGGCAUAUAAUUGGGUUUUCCUUUGAAUUAAUUGGGUUAUUGAACCCUGCAAUGGGCAAUUGCAUUGGUUUUUUUUAUUAUUUGUAUUGCGUGAUCACGCAAAUACGCAGCUUAUCUGGAGCUCUGAUACCUUUUUCUCAUUUUUUCUAAAUUGAAAUUAAAUAGAAGAUUAAUUGAAUGAUUGGUGUUUAACACCACCUAAAGUAUUUAUGUUCAUUUGUGUUGGCCAAUUUUUAUUCAUGGAGAAAGCCUGUAGAGAAUCCCCAACCUUUAGAUGGAAAACUAACAUUCCUAGUCAGCUAAGAUUAGAGUUGACACACCUGCCAUGUGUGGGAUUGGAACUCACAACCUCAGUGUUGUACACGUAUGUAUAGACUAAAGAUAUGAGAGAGGUAAAUUUUACAGAAAAAAAAAUGUUCUACUGCACCAAACUUGAUUACCUAAUAAUAGUUUGUAUGUUUAUUUUUAACAAUUUCUUUACAAUUAAGUUAAAUUGUACAAUUUAGUUAAAUUGUACAAUUUAGUUAAAUUGUAAUAAAAUUGUUGAAAAAUAAAUGAGGAAUGUGUCCAUCAUGUCCAUGGGACACAGACGAUGCCCCUGAUUACAUUUAUAAAGUUAUAAAGUUAUAAAGGGACAUAACUGAAGAGGUAAACGGACAGAGUCACAGGACAAAAAAAAAAAAAAUUUGACAAUUGUUGAAAUAUUUUUUUUUUUACAUAUAUUCAUUUUUAAGUAAAGGAAAUUGCUAAAAAAACAAUGAUUAAUGAAACUGUAUUAAAUUUUAAUCAUGCAAAGGAUAUGUCUAUCUGCAAAAUGACAUUUUGUUUUCAUAACAAUUAUUUGAUCAUUUUUUAUAUUUAUUGAAUAAAUUUUAAUUACAAAGUUGCUUCAUAUAUAAAAAAAAUUCAAAAUAAGUGUUUUCUUGUUCAAAGAAAAAUAAUCUCAAAACUGAAUUGUGACUUUUUGUCCUGCGACUUUUUGUCCGUGACUUUUUGACCUGUGACUUUCUGUAAGUACUGCAUUCAACUGAAGAAUGGUAAAAGUGACAUUACUUGAUUUGAGUUCUGUGGUAAUACGCAUUAUGUAAUGUAUGUAUAAGUUUUAAAACAUUUGGUUGAGACUAACUUAAGUAAGAGAAUGGAAACAAAAAAUUAAGCAAUUUUUCAAUUUAUAAAGAAACAUAACUCUAGAAGGAACAGUAAAAGUGACACCACCAAAAUUCAAACUUGAUCUGUACUUUUGGUAAUAACUUAUAAGCAUUGUGUAUUAGUUUCAUUACAUAAAGUUGUUGAAGCUCAAGUUGUUUCAUUACAUUGAGUUUUUGAAACUCAAGUUUAAAUAAAAUAGGUGUUAAUUGCCCUUUGAGUGAUAACUGUUAAAAGUGUUUGGAUCAGGUCAGAUUUAGCCAGAGGAAGAAAAGCUUGAAGAUUUGAUGGACUACUGUAAACCAACAUAUUUUUGCAUAUACUUUAUUUCGUGUUUAUUCCUUUCUAGCCGCCUAUGUGGCAAUUUAAUUUAGGGAUUUUUCUAAUUUACUUGAUGUACAUGAUGUAGUUAUACAUGUAUAAGGAAAGAUCCAUGUUUAAAUAUUUCAGGACAAUUUAUAUUCACAUUAUUUUUUUACUCGCAAAAGUUAUUAAGGAAAACUGUGAAUUUCUUACAGCAAAUGGUACUGGACCAGUAUACUGAGACUUGCAUACAUAUUACAAGGCACAAACAUUUAGAAUUAAAUGGUCUUUACUUGAGUAAAUUAAAGCGACAUAAAAUUAAGUAUGGUUCAUUAAACUAUGUAUAAGGGUUUUCCAUGAAAAAUGAUAUUUUUUUUGGAGAAUUCAGAGUACUGACAUACUGUGAUCAGGUGAUGGAUUCUAAAAUAUAUGCUUUUUUCCCCCAUCUGAUGAGUUAAGCCUUUUUCAACUGAUCUUUAUAGUUUGUUCUUAUAUUGUACUGUUACAUCACUGUCCCAGGUUAGGGGAAGGGUUGGGAUCCCUCUUACAUUUUUAACCCUGACACAUUAUGUAUGUAUGUGCUUGUCCCAAGUCAGUAACCUGUAAUUCAGUGGUGGUCCUUUUUGAUGUGUUACAUCUUGGUUGAUGUUAAUUGUUAAUAAUUUAAUUUUGGAUGUUACGCGUCUUCUGAUUGGCUGACGUUAUUUUGUUAUGAGCCCAUAGACAUAAUUUAGUCAUGUGAACGUGACGUCAUCAACGUUUUUUCAUGGUUUUCUACGGUUUAAAAUGGAAUUUAGAAUUAAAUUAUAAGAAAUGACUGUAAUAUUUUUUCUGUCUAUUCAAAAUAACAUAAAAAAUGUGGUGCACACUGUUAAAUAACCGCUACGCGCGUUAUUCAGUUUGCACCAAAUUUUUUAUGUUAUUUCUUCAUAGACAGAAAAAAUAUUACAGUCAUUCCUUAAUUAAAUAUAAAUUAGGCCCUUAAUUAAAUUUUCUAGUUUGAAUUGUUCUACAUUUGUCAAUUCAGGGCCUUUUACUAGCUGACUAUGUAUAGUAUGAACUUUGCUCAUUAAUGAAGGCGUUACGGCAACCUGUAGCUGUUAAUUUUUGUGUCAUUUGGUCUAUUGUGGAGAGUUGUCGCAUACACCUUAUCGCUAUUUGUCUGCCUUUACUGGAUAUCACAAAUUUCCUGUAAUUUUUUUUGACGUCAUUAUAGAAAAUAUCUGACGCAUGUCAGGAUAGCGAUAAGGUGAAUCAUACCACAUCAUCUUUUCAGUUUUGCCAACUUCGGUCAAGUGCCAGAAGCAUUUCUAAUAUAAAUAAUACGUUUGUGUAAAACUUGAAUAUCUUCAUAAAUUGAUAUUGUAGUAUUUGACAAACGAAACAAUCUUAAUCGAACACAUGUACAAAAUAAAUCGAAAAAUUCUAUUUGAACCCAUUGUAAAAAUAUUUCCCGGGUCAUUUUUUCUUACACUAUAUCAGGUGACAGUCGUUGUUUUCUCUAUUAAUGAAUAAAAUUAUAAUCUUCAUUUAUAUAUCAAGAGAAGAAUUCUGUGACUUCGGUGGCUUUGUGCUAUUAACAGCUUGCUUUUGCUUGUGCAUUUUGUUGGACAAAAAACAUGUUAUUGUUUUCCCGGAAGUAGUGUAAAUAUCAAAAAGGAAACCCGGAAGUCCAAAAUCAAACUAUAAAAAGCCAAUCAAAUUUAAAGAUAAUCAAAGUGCUCUAUAUUUUGAGCAUACUGUUUACCGAUAAAUGUUUCAAGGAAUGGAAGCCUAGGAUAAUUCAUACCCACCAACUGUCACUAUUUGCGGGGGAUUUCCCCCAUGGAGACUCCCAAGUGGAAAUUUUGUAAGAGCAAUUUUGUCCACUAUUUUAGAGAAAACAAUUAAUUUAACAAUGGCUAUGAACUUGUUAAAGCACGAAGAAACCAAAAAACCACAUUAAAAUAAAUUUGAAGGCCCCCUUGAAGUUUUUGUAGGACUAUAAGAACCAUCUUUCACGUAAAACCCCCAUGGGCAUUUUGAAAAGUUGGCAGGUAUGAUAAUUAAUAUUCGUCGAAUUUGAAAUAAGGAAAUACCAAAGUUAAAUAUGAUCAUAUUUAUUCAAAUAAAGAAUUCCAGUCCGAGAUAGUUAGGCAAAAUUACUAUGUAUCUAUCAGUGGUUGAAAUAUUUUUUUGCAGCUCUCGGUAUAUAGACCGGCCGUGAUUAAUGAUUGAUAUUUUCACCACUGGCACCAGCAUGGUUUUUGAUUUGUUUAUACGAGAUUAAUUCUUCCUGCGUUUUUUUAACGAAUGAUGCCUAAAUUUGCCCUAAAAACAGUCAACUUUCCUCGUGUUUAACGGUUUUCCAGGCACUCCGGCCGGGAGUGAUGAUUUUCAAAAUCUUAGGUAUAUUUUGAAAUAAGUUAUUGGUAUGACACGGGCCGGGUUAUUUUCUCAUAUACAUUGUAUGUUAUGAUGGUAUGAUACUAAACCCCUGACGGGAGGGAGUGUGCCUGAUAUUCAUAUGAUGAACACAUAAUCUUUCAAUCAGUUUAAAUGCAAUCAGGAGCAGGCAUGUCAGUUAACUGCUAGUAUUCUGUUGUUAUUUAUGUAUUAUUGUCAUUUUGUUUAUUUUCUUUUGUGACAUCAAACUCGGACUUCUCUUGAACUGAAUUUUAAUGUGCGUACACCGUAUUGUUAUGCGUUUACUUUUCUACAUUUGCUAGAGGUAUAGGGGGAGGAUUGAGAUCUUCGUUCUUAUGUUGUACUGUUAUACCACUGUCCCAGGUUAGGGGAAGGGUUGGGAUCCCGCUAAAUGUUUAACCCGCACAUUAUUUAAGUAUGUGCAUUUCCUAAGUCAGGAGCCUGUAAUUCAGUGGUUGUCAUUUGUUUAUAUAUAUGUGUUACAUAUUUGUUUUUCGUUCGUUUUUUAAUAUAAAUAAGGCCGUUAGUUUUCUCGUUUGAAUUGUUUUCCAUUGUCUUAUCGGGACCUUUUAUAGCUGACUAUGCGGUAUGGGGUUUGCUCAUUGUUGUUGAAGGACGUACGGGGACCUAGCUAUAGUUGUUAUAAUGUCUGUGUCAUUUUGGUCUCUUAUGUAUGUAGUUGUAUCAUUGGCAAUCAUACCACAUCUUCUUUAUUAUAUGUUUAAUCCCGCCGGUUUUUUUUUUACGCCUGUCCCAAGUCAGGAGCCUCUGGCCUUUGUUAAUCUUAUAUUAUUUUUAAUUUUAGUUUCUUGUGUACAAUUUGGAGUUUAGUAAGGCGUUCAUUAUCACUGAACUAGUAUAUAUAUUUGUUAAGGGGCUAGCUGAAGGACGCCUCCGGGUGCGGGAAUUUCUCGCUGCAUUAAAGACCUAUUGGUGACCUUCUGCUGUAACAGUUGUUUGUUCUAUGGUCGGGUUGUUGUCUCUUUGACACAUUCCCAAUUUCUAUUCUCAAUUUUUUUUAUCCAUUCUUCCCAGUCAGCCCAGAGGAUUUAGGGGGAGGUACAGGGGGCCCGCCCCUUUUGUGGUUGGUUAUAUAGGGAAUCACUGAAGCUUGACGAGAGCGGGCCCCUUCUUAGACAGUCAGUGGGUCCCACUUAUGAAAAUUUAUAGAUCCGCAACUGCAGUCUAUUCUGUUAAGUUGCCAUACCUUUUUUGUCGAGGCACUUACAUGGUCAGAUCGUUUUUUAAUGUAAUCUUACAUUUGCAAUUCAAUUGAACCUAUGGGGAAGAAAGCAGCCUACAUAAAAUUGUAUUCGAAAUUUCGAAUCAGCAGAGAUUGAAUCAGUAACCGAUCCUUUUCAAAUAAUAUUAUUUACAUGCGCUUCCCAAUCAAGGUCAUGUGCUAUUGUUUCUCCUCAGGGGCGGAUCCAGCCAUUUUAAAAGGGGGGGUCCUAACCCAGGACAAAAAGGGGAGUCCAACUACAUGCCCCCAUUCAAAUGCAUUGAUCGUCUGAAAAAAAGGGGGGUUCAACCCCCAGACUCCCCCUCCCCCCCCCCCUGGAUCCGCGCCUGCUCCUUAAUACGGACUUUUCCUUGACCGAUUCCUGUAUGUAUGGUUUUGCAAGUAUACUUACAAGAGGAUUAGCCGGAUUUUCUUAAACGUGUAACAUAACAUUUUUCAUCCAAUUGCCAAUAAUGAGUUUGGAUAUCCAUAUUUUUAAAUAUCUUUUGCCUUUCUACUCUUACCUAGUGAUUGAUAUAAAUUUUGAUCACGUAUCAACGCUUCGCUUGUACAAGAUUCUACAUAUAUUAGUCUGACCCAUGUUCUUAUUUUUGCAACUAUAUUAUCUUUGGUAUUCGAAUUAACAUACUUCUACCGAAAUUCAUUAGUUCUGACAGUUUUUUUUUUUUUUUAAAUAACGUUUUUUCGAAAUCUCUUUCACUUUUACUACAUAGUCAGCUAUAAAAGUCAUUGACCAUCUCAUAUAUGUCUAGAAAUGUGUCCUUAAAUCAACAUAUCAGAAUUUGUAACUGCUACAUUGGAAUGGUUACACUGGUGACAACAAAAACAUCAUCGAUCAGAAACGACGCCAUCGACCAAGCCAAAUCGAAUAUCUUUACCUCAGUGGAAAUUGUGCAAACAACUUUCUCUAACUUCACUAAACGUUCGAUUAGUAAAAAACAAAUCCCUGUCUAUAACUAUAAGUGACCAUUUACUUUCUUGCAAUACUGAUAUAUUAGUGCUAACAGAGACAUGGCUCGGUUCCAUCAUUGGUAAAUGUAUUCUGUCUGAACCUCUACCAGACGGAUACACUAUUCAGAAUGCUCCCAGAUGCGUCCAAAGGGGUGGUGGUGUUGCUAUCAUACACAAAUUGGACAUUCCUGUUAAACGCGUACCAACGAAGAAAUCACCUUCACAUUUAGAACUCCUUCAAUGCAAUAUUAGUUCAUCAAGAAAGAACGUCCGUUUGUUUGUGAUCUAUCGUCAACCACCGUCCCGUGCCAACAAGUUCAAAACAUCUAGCUUUUUCGAGGAAUCGUUGGAUUUUAUUGACUAUACAAUGAGAAUAUCCGAUGAUAUUAUCCUAACGGGAGACUUAAAUUUCACCCUAGACGAUAAAUUCGACAGUGACGCCCGAAAAUUCACAGAAACGUUAUCUGAUCGUGGUCUCGUGCAACAUGUUGUUGGUGCUACUCAUUGUCCGUGGACACACGCUUGAUGUCAUUAUUACUAGAGAAGAUAGCUCAAUUGUAAUCGGCAUUCCAUCUAUUGAGGAAUUACAUCUUUGUAAUGAUAAAGGCGUUCCAUCACUCGACCAUUUCGCGGUUCACUGUAGUCUGAAUGUUAACAAACCACCUAAAAUACGGGAGUCCAUGAAAUUCCGUAAGCUCGAAGAAAUUGUUAUUGACGAUUUAAACACCGACAUCAAUUGUUCGAAUUUCAUGCCAAGUCAGACAGCAUCACUUGACGAAUUAGUUUCAACAUAUGACUCAGUGCUCGAAAAACAUGCUCCAAUUCAAUCCAAAACUAUAACAUUGCGCCCGAAUACAGAAUGGCACGCAUCCGAGCUCCGUACCGCUAAGACAGAACGCCGUAAAGCUGAGCCUAAAAUGCGGAAGAUAAAGCUUGAGGUUCAUAAACAGUUGUAUAAAGAGCAAUGUAUCAAAACACACAAGCUGCUUUUGAAGUGUAGGACUGACUACUAUUCAGAUAAAAUUUUGGAAAUAGGGUGUGAUCAAAAGAAACUGUUAAAUUUAACAAACAAGCUAAUGGGUAAUACGAAGACCAUAGUUUUGCCAUCACGUGAGUGCGAUAAAGAUAUAUCGAAAAGGUUCGGCGACUAUUUCCUCAAUGAGAAUGAAACCAUCAUGAGACAUCUAUCAAGUGAAGGUGAUUCCUCUCUAAAUGGAAAUGACGCCUUCUGCGCAGAUGUGAUGUUCGACGGGCAGGCACUUACUGUUGUCUUAGCAUCUGCAUCCGUGGAUGAAGUCCGGAAGAUCAUUUCAAAGGCUCCGUCGAAAUCAUGUGAACUCGACCCGCUACCAACUUCGUUAUUAAAACCGUGUUUGAACAGCUUAGCACCAAUCAUAACGAAAAUAGUGAACAAGUUAUUACAAGAGUCGUAGGUUCCAAAAACAUUUAAGGAAGCAGUUGUACUACCCUUACUGAAGAAACCGGGACUAGACAAAGAAAUGUUAAAGAACUAUCGUCCAGUUUCUAAUCUUCCAUUUAUAUGUACGGAAGCCGUAAUGGGACACACAAACAAUAAAGAAAUAUUUUUUUUUAAUUCGAGAUCACGAUAAAACAUAACCGUUUCGUUACUCUUCUAAUAUGCAUUGUGGGACAUAUUGACUAUAUCCCUUUUGUUUCUCUAUUAAUAAGCUUUUGAAUGAGGUAUAAUGUAUAUCUGUAAUUAGGGGCUAAAGGGUCGCAGCAGUCCAUUCAAUUAUUCCAAAUAUCCAUUCCAUUAUUCAAAAUUGGCUAUUUUCAUAAUUUUCACGCGUAUUUUGGCAUUUAGGUCCUCCGUAAUCCGUCUAAUAGUCAUUGCGUCACAAUGGACAUGUUAUAUCUAAAAACAUGGGAUGACGAACAUCAAAGGUAACGCGAAAAAAAGAUAACGUUGAGUAUCCGGCCUCACCCCUAUGAAUUUUAUUCACCCUUUAUGGAUCCGUAGGGGGUCAGUAGUUAACCGUAUAACGAAUUUAUCGGACGCUGGACUUUUUCUGCGGGCGUUUUGUUGAAAAAUAAACAAUGAAACACAACAACAUUAAUAGAUGACGUCGCCAUUAACGCGUCAUGAACCCCAUAUGAAACUUACUAACCCCAUACGGUCUCAUAGGGGGUCACCACGUGACGGUGUUUAACCAAUCACAACGUGAUAAUUCAUCUGUGGUCCGAUAAUUAUAUGUAUGUUUUGGUAUUCAGGUCGUCCAUACAUUGAACCAAGGAAUUUCUGUUAAAAAUAGUUAGGGAAAUCCACUAGUUUAUUAUCCGAAACUAAAUAAAUGAAUGAAUUAAAGUUAAAAAUUUAAAGAGUUCUUUGAAUGUUUUUUUCUGAUAUUAAUUUGAAUAUUUGUUAGAUAACAUCAAAUUGAAGAAUUCAGAAAUACUGUUUCGUUUUAUCGAGAUAAUAAUAUAUUUUAUCGAGAUCUCGAUAUAUUUAACCGAGAUAAUGACUUAAUAAUCCGAGAUCUCGAUCUAAUUAAUCGAGAUAACGAUCGAUAUGAUAAUCUGAGAUCUCCAUAAAACAGUUUCGUUUUAUCGAUAUAAUAAAUCGAGAUAACGAUAUAACAAUCCGAGAUCUCGAUAAAAGAAAUCGAGAAAACGAUAUAACAAUUUCGUUUUAUCGAGAUAACGAUAUAUUUUUUAUCGAGAUCUCGGUAAAAAGGUAAUGUUUUGUCGUAAUCUCGAAUUAAAAAAAUAUUUUCUAAUUUUUUGUGUGUCCCCUUACGGCUUCCGUAUAUAUCGAAGGUCCUCGAAAAGGUUGUAGAAUGUCGAUUAGAAAACCAUCUUCAGUCGAAUGAUCUGUUUGAUAGUGGUCAAUCGGCUUACCGUGCUUACCAUUCCACCGAGACGGCAUUGCGAGUUCAUCACGACAUAAUUGUUGCACUUCAUAAUAAUUUUUGUGUAGUUUUAUUAAUGUUAGACCUUUUGGCAGCAUUUGACGUCCUCGACCAUCCAUUUUACGACAGCGACUUGAAUACUCGUUCGGAAUAUCUGGAGCCGCGCUAAAUUGGUUGUUAUCAUACCUUACUGAUAUAACUCAGCGUAUCGCAAUCGGCUCUGUUCAGUCGGACGAUAUUCAUUGGAAGUAUGGUGAUUCACAGGUAUCUGCCCUCGGACCGAAACUCUACUGCAUUUUCUAGAAACCCAUAGGUGAAAUUUGUAAACGUCAUAAUACAUGUUACCGCUGCUAUGCGGAUGAUACUCAGGUGUAUCUCGUAAUUAAACCGCUUGACAAUUGGAAUAAUAUAUCUGCUCGACUUGAAACCUGAAUGCCGGACAUAAGCUCUUGGGUGUGUUCAAAUAAGCUUAAAUUGAACGAAGAUAAAACCGAGCUGAUAAUUUUCUCUCCGAAACACCGAGUAAAAGAAUUCGCAGACUGUCACCUAACGUUUGGCAAAACAUCGUUAGUGAUUCAGCACGCGUCAAGAACCUUGGUGUUUAUUUUGACAAAACAUUGGCGAUGGACCAGCAGAUUAGUGCGACCUCGAAAUCUUGUUUAUAUCAGCUCAGAAAUAUCGGUCGAAUUCGUCCAUUCUUUACAGAGAAUGCAGCAAAGACACUUGUUUGCUCUUUAGUGACGUCUCGCUUGGACUACGGAAAUGCAAUAUUGUAUGAACUUCCCGCAAAUGCAAUCCAAUAAUUACAGCGUGUACAGAACACCGCCGCAAAAUUAAUCACAAGGAAAAAGAAAAACGAACAUGUUACUCCAAUUUUAAAACAUCUUCAUUUGCUGCCAAUAACAUUCGUUGCAAAUACAAAGUGUUGCUUAAUGUGUUUAAAGCUAUGAAACAAGAAGCAUCCGUAUAACUUCAAGAACUAGUUAACAUUUACAAGCCAACAAGAACUCUUCGGUCUGAAAACAAUAUGCUACUAGUAAAACCAACAGUAACAACAAACACAUACGGAGAAAGACGGUUUGAUAGAGCUGCCGCCGUUUUAUGGAAUGACUUACCGAAAGAACUGUGAAACACGGAAACUGUGAAUGCUUUCAAGAAAAACAUUAAAACCUAUCUAUUCAAAUGGCAAUUCAAAGGAUUCAUUGCCAUCUAAAAAGAGUGAUGAAACGUUAAACUUAACCCCUUGUUUACAUGAGACAAGGAUUCGAGAGCCAGUAUCUUCAAGUAAUGAGUUGAACAAACUAGAUUUGAUCACAAGUAAAGAGAUUUAUUGUGAAAUUUCACCAGCAUAAAUGUUCGUUCUAGGUAUUUCACAUCCAACUCUGAUAUGCCGAUCUAAUGAGUUCAUCGAUCGCCAACAGUUUUGAAAUUAGUUAUCAAAGGUACCAGGCAAAUAAUUUGAUACACCUGACUCGCGUUUCGUCUACCGUCAGAAGACUCAUUAGUGACGCUCAGAUUAAAAAAAGUACAAAGCCAAACAAGUAGAAAAUGUUAGAGCAUUGAGAGCUCAUAAUUCCCACAAAAAAGUGCAAAAUACGGCCAAGGUAAUAUAUGCCUGGGAUAAGAAAAUCUUUAGUAUUAUUCAUUGUAUUGCAAACAGUUUUAUAAAAAUGACCAUGUAAUUGAUAUCCAUGUCAACACCGAAGUUCUGACUACUAGGCUGGUGAUACCCUCGGGUACGAAACGUCCACCAACAGUGGCAUCGACCCAGUGGUGUAAAUAGUUAUCUAAUAUAUAUGCCUGGGAUAAGAAAAUUUAGUAUAAUUAAUUGUAUUGCAAACAGUUUUAUAAAAAUGACCAUGUAAUUGAUAUUCAUGUCAACACCGAAGUGCUGACUACUAGGCUGGUGAUACCCUCGGGUACGAAACGUCCACCAACAGUGGCAUCGACCCAGUGGUGUAAAUAGUUAUCUAAGGUACCAGGCUUAUAAAUUUACGUUACACUGCAUUUUUGAAUGCACUAAAUCAUUCAGGAGAUAACUGCAUUGUAUUUUAAGAUCCGACGGUAUCAAUAGGUGAUUUGGUGGUUGCAAAUCAAGUUUUCCAACGACUUGUUAGUAGAACAUCCAGUAAACAGGUAUGUGCGACCAUCAUAUCACCAAUCAAUGCCGCCGGAGCUAAAAAUUAAUUCCAUUCUUAUGAAAGAGGGACGAAAGAUACCAAAGGGACAGUCAAACUCAUAAAUCUAAAACAAACUGACAACGCCAUGGCUAAAAAAUGAAAAACUGACACAAAAUAACGUCAAUUCAUACUUAAAAUCUGUCAAACGUCUUCUGCGCUUUGGCGUACGUUUUCAUAGCUCAUAGAUUAUGAAUUGUUCCCAUGGUGACGUUAUUGACGAUAAAAAUGAUGUUGCAAUUAGAAUGAUUGGUAGUGCCAGCAAAAUAUAUAAAACAUGCUUUUCCCUAUAUUUUUAUUUGUUACCCGCAAUAUGAGGGAACUGUCUACAUACCUACAUCAACAUAAUUUACAACCAUGCGGUUUAAAACUUAUUAUCGAAAGUAUAAGCCACUCUAGACUAUAAUAAAUGGUUUCAGAUGAAAAUUAAAGUUUUUUUCUACUUAAAGGAUGGAGACUACACAAUCAGAUUAUUCAGUGAGACGGGUUUACACCAGACCACUUCUCUUGUUUCCCAGUCAAUGAAUCAUUUUUAGAUUUCUUUUUAUGUCUUUCCUUUUGUAGCUAUACAUAACAAUUCUUUUGAUAAAAUAUGUUUACAUCUAAAAAGAUUUUUAUAAUAGUAAAAUACACAGGGUUGGGGAAUUACGGUCAUAUAUUGCAACGAACUAAAUACAUAUACAUAUGGUCGGCACUUAAAGUUAACCUGUAUACAGGUGGUACGUAAUUUUAGUUUGAUUGUAUGCAUAAAUUUGGCAAGUUUAUCCAACAAAAAAAUAGGUAAAAUCCGUAAAAAAUCUUUAUUUCACAAAAUUAGAAAACUGAAGCAGCCAACAAUCUAGAAAAAAAAAAACCUUAAAAAAAUAUCGAGAAAAAUACAAAUUUGUUUUUCUUUCCAUCAAUUUAAUGAUGCGUAAACAACAAAUAUAAUUAAAGACAACUCUAAUCUUAAACAACACUUUCUUCUUCUGAUGUGACUCAUAUAUAUGUACAACAUGUAUUGACGACAGUUUCUUAAUUAGAGACCUUAUUUAUUUACCACUACAUCCGAUUAACUGUCUUUUUAAAUGCUCAUUUCCCGCUGAUUGUUCCUAACUUUGUUUCCGUCCAUCUGUAAAAGUUAAAAUGUAAAAUUUCUACCUUGACUGUGUCUGUUUUGUAAACAAGAAUGAAGCAGAACUGAAAAUUAGUUCAAAGUUCAAAGUAGAGAAUCAACAACGAAUGCUGACAUCCCACAGAACCAAUGGAACGGAAAACUGACGAUGACUUGGAACAUUCUAGAGAACAAAUGGGUCAGAAUACUGCCGAACGGAUGACACAGGCCAAACACAUGGGAAGCGAAUAUAAUGAUGAAGCGACACGAGAUGUUCCUGGCUAUACAGAUCUUGCGAGAACAAUGUCGUCUGAACAGAACAUUGCUGGAUAUGACACACUACAAGAUCAAAAUAAUGGAUAUACAGAACUAAGGAAAUCCAUUGUCACAAAAGAUCAAUAUGAUACACUUGGGGACAUAAUAUAUAUGACUACAGUACUGUUUCAGAUUCAACAACAAACACUAAAGCUAUUAGUGCAGAUAGGGAAGACGGCGUCGACUGUUCUAGAGAUCGUGAGAACAUAUCAGAAACAUCUGGGCAUAAAUAUAGAAAUAUCGGUAAAACAAAUCUGAAAUACUAUAAUGAACAGCUGCACAUUUCUACUGGACAAAAACAUAGCUUAGAGUCUUCAGCAUCUGGAAUCAGAAAACAAAAAUCCGUAGAAAGUAUCGGUAAUGAUGAACCAGAUUACUCUUAUGUAAGUGGAUUUAAAGAUCGUCAGAAUGAUACCAAGCAUGUUCAAGGUAUGGUACAAAGUUUAAACAAAGAUUUCGUUCCUGCAUGUCCAGAUAAUGAUGUUCACCAGGAUAUGCAGAGGGAAGAAUGUGUUAGUGAAAGAACAAAUAAAAGCAACAGCAUACAGGCUGUAAGUUCAAGGGCUCGGCUUAUUGGUGUAGCUAUUGUCGUUCUUGCAGUAUUUGUUGGUUGUUUAGUCUUAGUUUUAUCUCUAAAAGGAAAAUCAAAAAACAACUGUAACUCUUCAGAUAAAGGUUCGUAUAAUACUUAUACGGCGUGUAAAAAAUAAAAACAACACUAUAUUUAAAACACGUGUUCCUUAUUGAUAAAUUUUAGUAGUUUUUUUUAAUAUGAAUUGCAUAUUCUCCUGCCGAAAACUUAUAUUGACCGCGCAAAACGUUGCGUUUUUUAUUAGGUAAAUAAUUUUGGUAAAAAAAGUUUGAUGUUCAAUUGGUUUUGGUAAAUAAUUGCCAUUAAAUAUAUCUCUCCCGAACAUGGAAUAAAACAUUAAGAGAAAGCAUACUAAAAUCAUACCAAUGUCGAAUAUAUACAAUUACUGUGAUUUGUUUCAGUACAUGACUGUGUGGUUUAAUUUACUUUUGAAAAACUGAUAUUCAGUUCGGCCGUUGGCCUUUGUGAAUAUCAGUUUUUCAAAAGCCAAUAAAAUCACAUAUCUACCUCAUCAAAAGACAGUAAUUGUAUAUUAUUCGACAUUGGUAUCAUUUUAGUGUGCUUUCUCUUUAUGCAUUAGAUUUUGAAUCAACAAGCGUAUUCACAUAGAGAAAAGUGCUAUUCACCGCGCUGAACGUCACGCGCUUAUAUAUGAUUAUAACGUUAUGAUAAAAUGUUUGAUAUACAAUUGAUUUUGGUAAAUAUUUCGCUUCAAAUACUUUGUUUACUUUUGGAAAUUGGAAUAAAACGAUAACUGGUCGACUUCUGUUUGGGUAUAUAUGUGAUUUAAUUGACUUUGAAAAAAACUGAUGUUCACUUCGACUGCAGGUCUCAGUGAAUAUUUGUUUUUCAAAAGUCAAUACAUCUUCACCUCACCUAAUUUUAACCUCACUGAAUGAAACUUAUUAUAUAGUAUUCCAUAUUGAUUACACUUUUGUGAGUUUUUUCUAAAUGAAUUGGAUUUAAAUAAAUAAGCAUAUUCACCUGCGGAAAGGUAUAUUCACCGCGCAAAACGUCGUAUGCUAUAAUUUUACGUGUAUGAUUAUGUUAAAAUCGUUUGAUGUAAAUUGGUAAAUAGUUCAUGUACCCUAAAAUCUCACUAGAUCUCCCAAAUUCCUUAAGUUGCAUUUUGUUUCAUUUGUAGUUUAAAAUAUCUAAACAAUUAUUUUUAUCAGCCAUCUCUUUCACAAUUAUUUAUUUUCUUUCAUUUAUUCAGGCUUUCACCCACAGCUGUUAACAUUAACAGGUGAGCAGUAGUUUUAUCACAUAUAUUGCAUUUCGACAUGUCGAAAACAUCUACAGAUUCAGAGCAUUUAUACAUAAAAUGGUACUAUUAACACAAUGUUAGUUUGCAAAACAUUUUCGAUAAACGUUUCAAAUUAUUGUGAACAAACGCUGAUGAGUUUCAGAAGAAAGAUAGAUUUAAAAACAAUUAGAAAACAAAAGUCAGUUGUGUAUGCAUAUUAGUUUAGUUCGGAUUCCGUGAACUAAUUUGCAUACAAAACUUAGAUUUUGUCACAAAAUUCAAUUUUGGAUUUAUUUUUGUGUAGACAAAAUUGAGUUUUGUUAAACAGAAGUGAAAAUUUAACAUAAAAGUAAAUUUUGUGCCACAAAAGUCAAUUUUGUGCCACAAAAGUCAUUUUUGUCACAAAAGUCAUUUUUGUCACAAAAGUCAUUUUUGUUACAAAAGUCAAUUUUGUGUCACAAAAGUCAAUUUUGUCUACACAAAAAUAAACACAAAAUGAAUUUUGUAAAGAGAAAAUUAAUUUUUUAAGACAAAAUUCAAUUUCGUGUUUAUUUAAAUAAUAAUGAUGUUCUCUCCAGAAAACCCUGGCCGUUUUUUGGCACAAUUUUUUUGAACUUUUUGUCCUCAAUGCUGUUCAACUUUGUACUUUUUUCGGCUUUCAAACUUUUGUAUCUGGGCGUCACUAGUAAGUCUUGUAUGGACAAAAUGCACUUCUGGCGUAUUAAAAAUUUUAAUCUUGUUGCCUUUUGUUAGCUAUUAUUCGUGUGUUUCUUUGUCAAUUGUGUUCUCCUAUUUAUUUAUAUUGUAGUCUAGUAAUGUUGUGUUGUCAUUUUAAUGUUAUAUUUCACAUGGCCAUAAAAGAGGGAGGUUUGGCAUGGCCCAAAACCAGGUUCAACCCACCAUUUUUAGCUCACCUGUCCCGAAGGGACAAGUGAGCUUAUGCCAUCACUUGGCGUCCGUCGUCGUCCGUCGUCUGUCGUCUGUCGUCGUAAACUAUUUAAGAUCUUCUCCUCUGAAACUACUGGGCCAAAUACUUUAACUUUUAACUGAAUGUUUCCUUAGGGUAACUUAUUUAUAAAUUGUAUCCGAAGUUUUGACUAUAACAACAUGGUCGGCCAUUGCUAAAAAUAGAAAUAGGGGUCAAAUGCAGUUUUUGGCUUAUAACUCAAAAACCAAAGCAUUUAGAGCAAAUCUGACAUCGGGGUAAUAUUGUUUAUCAGGUCAAGAUCUAUCUGCCCUGAAAUUUUCAGAUGAAUCAGACAACGUUGUUGGGGUUUGCUGCCUGAAUUGGUAAUUUUAAGGAAAUUUUGCGUUUUUGGUUAUUAUCUUGAAUAUUAUUAUAGAUAGAGAUAAACUGUAAACAGGAAUAAUGUUCAGCAAAGUAAGAUUUACAUAUAAGUCAACGUGACGGAAAUGGUCAGUUGACCCCUUUAGGAGUUAUUGCCCUUUAUAGUCAAUUUUAACCAUUUUUCGUAAAUCUUAGUAAUCUUUUACAAAAAUCUUUCCUCUGAAACUAUGGGCCAAAUACUUCCAACUUUAAACUGAAUGUUCUUAGGGUAUCUAGUUUGUAAAUUGUAUCCGAAGUUAUGAUCUAUCACAAACAUGGUCGCCAUUUGCUAAAAAUAGAACAUAGGGUCAAUGCAGUUUUUGGCUUAAACUCAAAAACGAAAGCAUUAGAGCAAAUCUGACAUGGAUAAUAUUGUUACAGGUCAAGAUCUAUCUGCCCUGAAAUUUUCAGAUGAAUCAGACAACCUGUUGUUGGGUUGCUGCUGAAUUGGUAAUUUUAAGGAAAUUUUGCUGUUUUUGGUUAUUAUCUUGAAUAUUAUUAUAGAUAGAGAUAAACUGUAAACAGGAAUAAUGUUCAGCAAAGUAAGAUUUACAAAUAAGUCAACAUGACGGAAAUGGUCAGUUGACCCCUUUAGGAGUUAUUGCCCUUUUAUAGUCAAUUUUUAACCAUUUUUUCGUAAAUCUUAGUAAUCUUUUACAAAAAUCUUCUCCUCUGAAACUACUGGCCAAAUACUUCCAAACUUUAACUGAUGUUCUUAGGGUAUCUAGUUUGUAAAUUGUAUCCGAAGUUGUGAUCUAUCAACAAACAUGGUCGCCAUUGCUAAAAAUAGAACAUAGGGGUCAAAUGCAGUUUUUGGCUUAUAAUCAAAAACCAAAGCAUUUAGAGCAAAUCUGACAUGGAUAAUAUUGUUUAUCAGGUCAAGAUCUAUCUGCCCUGAAAUUUUCAGAUGAAUCAGACAACCUGUUGUUGGGUUGGUGCCCCUGAAUUGAUAAUUUUAAGGAAAUUUUGCUGUUUUUGGUUAUUAUCUUGAAUAUAAUUAUAAAUAGAAAUAAACUGUAAACAGCAAUAAUGUUCAGCAAAGUAAGAUCUUCAAUUAAGUCAAAUUGACCAAAAUUGUCAAUUGACCACUUAAGGAGUUAUUGCCCUUUAAAGACUUUUUUCACAAUUUGUUCAUCAUGUUGACUUACUUUAAAAAAAUCUUCUCUUUUUGAAACUGCUGUAUCAAUUUCAGCCAACUUUAGGCUAAAUGAGUUCAGAGUAUCUAGUAUAAAUUUUAUAUUUUAUUUCCUUGUAUGUCAAGAAACAUAGCUCCUAUGGCUAAAAUAGAACAGAGGAGAAAAUGAUUAUUUUUUUUGGCUUUUGAAGAAAAUAGGACGAUCCUAAAAACAUUUAAAUAAAUUGAAAAGCCAAAAUAAUCAUUGAUGAGAGAUUUAACCAAAAGAAUUAAGGUGAGCGAUUCAGGCUCUUGAGAGCCUCUUGUUUCCUUUAAAAAUGUCCUGUAAAAAGUCAGGAAUAUGGCCAUUGUUAUAUUAUAGUUCGUUACGUUGUGUUACUGUUGUGUCGUUUGUUAUUUGAUGAGUAUAAAUUCACAUUACUAUAAGACGUGUCAUGGUACUUUUCUAUCCCAAAUUCAUGUAUUUGGUUUUGAUGUUAUAUGUGUUAUUCUCAUAGGAUUUUGUCUAAUGCUUAGUCUGUUUCUCUGUGUAUGUGUGUGUGUGUGUGUGUGUGUUACAUUUUAAUGUUGUGUCGUUGUUCUCCUCUUAUAUUUAAUGCGUUUCCCUUAGUUUUAGUUUGUUACCCCGAUUUUGUUUUUAGUCCAUGGAUUUAUGAGUUCUGAACAGCGGUAUACUACUGUUGCCUUUAUUUGUGGUUACAAAAUUGACUAUUGUGACACAAAAUUCAUUUUUUGACACAAAAUUGAAUUUUGUAAAGACAAAUUCAUUUUUGUAGACAAAAUUCAUUUUUGUCAUGACAAAAUUCAAUUUUGUGUUCAUUUUGUGUAGACAAAAUUGAGUUUUGUUAAACAGAUGUGAAAAUUUAACACAAAUUCAUUUUGUCACAAAAGUCGAUUUUGUGUCACAAAAUUCAUUUUUGUCUCAAAGGUCAAUUUUGUGUCACUAAAGUCAAUUUUGUAUGCAAAUAAGUUUAAAUUAAAGGGUCGCAGCAGUCCAUUCCAUUAUUUAAAAUUGGCUAUUUCUUAAUUUUCACGCGUAUUUUGGCGUUUAGGUCCUCCAACCCCUCUAAUGGUCAUUGCGGCACAUAUUAUUGAUAAACAUUUUGUUCCUCUUUUAAUAAGCUUUCAAAUGGUGUAUAAAGUAUUCCUUAAUUAGGGACUGACGGGUCGCAGAAGUUCAUUCCAUUAUUCAAAAUAAGCUAUUACAUAAGGUUCACCCAUAUUUCUGUUUUUAGUCCUUCGGUACUCCUCUAAUAUGCGUUGCGGGACAUAUUGACUAUAUACCUUUUGUUUAUCUAUUAAUAGGCUUUCGAAUGAGGUAUAAUGUAUAUCUGUAAUUAGGGACUGAAGGGUCGCAUCAGUCCAUUCCAUUAUUCCAAAUAUCCAUUCCAUUAUUCAAAAUUGGCUAUUUUCAUAAUUUUCAUGCGUAUUUUUGCAUUUAGGUCCUCCGUAACCCCUCUAAUAGUCAUUGCGGCACAAUGAACAUGUUAUAUCUAAAAAUAUAGAAAAAAAAGAUAACGUUGAGUAUUUCAAUAUUGAUAUAUAUGUUUUGGCAUUCAGGUCGUCCAUACAUUGAACCAAGGAAUAUCUGUUAACUAGAGGCUCUAAAGAGCCUGUGUCGCUCACCUUGGUCUAUGUGAAUAUUAAACAAAGGACGCAGAUGGAUUCAUGACAAAAUUGUGUUUUGGUGAUGGUGAUGUGUUUGUACAUCUUACUUUACUGAACAUUCUUGCUGCUUACAAUUAUCUCUAUCUAUAAUGAACUUGGCCCAGUAGUUUCAGAGGAGAAGAUUUUUGUAAAAGAUAACUAAGAUUUACGAAAAAUGGUUAAAAAUUGACUAUAAAGGGCAAUAACUCCUAAAGGGGUCAACUGACCAUUUCGGUCAUGUUGACUUAUAUGUAAAUCUUACUUUGCUGAACAUUAUUGCUGUUUACAGUUUAUCUCUAUCUAUAAUAAUAUUCAAGAUAAUAACCAAAAACAGCAAAAUUUCCUUAAAAUUACCAAUUCAGGGGCAGCAACCAACAACGGUUGUCCGAUUCAUCUGAAAAUUUCAGGGCAGAUAGAUCUUGACCUGAUAAACAAUUUAAAAUGCAUGUCAGAUUUGCUCUUAAAUGCUUUGGUUUUUGAGUUAUAAACCAAAAACCGCAUUUUACCCCUAUGUUUCUAUUUUUAGCAGUGGCGGCCAUCUUGGUUGGUUGACCGGGUCACGCCACACAUUUUUUUAAACUAGAUACCCAAUGAUGAUUAUGGCCAAGUUUGGUUUAAUUUGGCCCAGUAGUUUCAGAGGAGAAGAUUUUUGUAAAAAGAUUACUAGAUUUACGAAAAAUGGUUUAAAAAUUGACUAUAAAGGGGCAAUAACUCCUAAAGGGGUCAAUUGACCAUUUCGGUCAUGUUGACUAAUUUUGUAAUCUUUACUUUGCUGAACAUUAUUGCUGUUUACGUUUAUCUCUAUCUAUAAUGAUAUUCAAGAUUAAUAACCCAAAAACAGAAAAGUUUCCUAAAAUUACAUUUAGGGGCAGCAACCCAACAAGGGUUGUCCGAUUCAUCUGAAAAUUUCAGGGGCAGAUAGAUCUUGACCUGAUAACAAUUUUACCCUGUCAGAUUGCUCUAAAUGCUUUGAUUUUUGAGUUAUAGCCAAAAACUGCAUUUUUACCCUAUGUUCUAUUUUCAGCCAUGGCGGCCAGUUUCGUUGGUAAGCCGGGUCACCGGACACAUUUUUUAAACUACAUACCCGAAUAAUGAUUGUGGCCAAGUUUGGUUUAAUUUGGCCCAGUAGUUUCAGAGGAGAAGAUUUUUGUAAAAGAUAACGACGACGGACGACGGACGCCGGACGCAAAGUGAUGGGAAAAGCUCACUUGGCCCUUUGGGCCAGGUGAGCUAAAGAUAGUUUAUACUCCGAAACUAAAUGAAUGAAUGAAUUAAGAUAAAAAUUUAAAGAGUGCUUUGAAUUUUUUAUUCUGAUAUCAAUUUGAAUAUUUGUUAGAUAACAUCAAAAUGAAGAAUUCAGAAAUGCAGUUUCGUUUUAUCGAAAUAACGAUAUGUUUUUAUCGAGAUUUUGAUAUAUUUAACCGAGAUAACGAUUAAAUAAUCCGAGAACUCGAUCUAAUAAAUCGAAAUAACGAUAUGAUUAUCUGAGAUCUCGAUAUAAUAAAUCGAGUUAACGAUAUAACAAGUUCUUUUUAUCUAGAUAACGAUAUAAUUUUUAUCGAGAUCUCGGUAAAACGGUAAUGUUUGUCAUGAUCUCGAAUUAAAAAAAUAUUUUCUAAUUUUUUGUGUGUCCUCUUAUGGCUUCCGUAUGUAUCGAAGUUUUUCGAAAAGGUUGUAGAAUCUCUAUUAGAAAACCAUCUUCAGUCGAACGAUCUUUUUGAUAGUGUUCAAUCAGCUUACCGUGCUAACCAUUCCACCGAGACGGCAUUGCUGCGAGUUCAUCACGACAUAACUGUUGCACUUGAUGAUUACUUUUGUGUAGUUUUAUUAAUGGUAGACCUUUCGGCAGCAUUUGACGUCCUCGACAAUCCAUUUUACGACAGCGACUUGAAUACUCGUUCGGAAUAUCUGGAGCCGCGCUAAUUUGGUUGUUAUCAUACCUUACUGAUGAAACUCAGCGUAUCGCAAUCGGCUCUGUUCAGUCGGACGAUAUUCAUCUGAAGUAUGGUGUUCCACAGGGAUCUAUCCUCUGACCGAAACUCUACUGCAUUUUCUCGAAACCCAUAGGUUAAAUUUGUAAACGUCGUAAUACGUGUUACCACUGCUAUGCAGAUGAUACUCAGGUAUAUAUCGUAAUUAAACCGCUUGACAAUUGGAAUAACAUAUCUACUCGACUUGAAACCUGUAUGGCAGACAUAAGCUCUUGGAUGUGUUCAAAUAAGCUUAAAUUGAACGAAGAUAAAACCGAGCUGAUACAUUUUCCUACGAAACACCGAGUAAAAGAGUUUUCAGACUGUCACCUUCUUCUUUUGGCAAAAACAUCGUUAGUGAUUCAGCACGCGUCAAGAACCUUGGUGUUUAUUUUGACAAAACAUUGGCGAUGGACCAACAGAUUAGUGCGACCUCGAAAUCUUGUUUCUACCAGAUCAGAAAUAUCGGUCGAAUUCGUCCAUUCAUUACAGAGAAUGCACCAAAGAUACUUGUUUGCUCUUUAGUGACGUCUCGCUUGGACUACGGAAAUGAAUUAUUAUAUGAACUUCCCGCAAAUGCAAUCCAACGAUUACACCGUGUACAGAACACCGCCGCAAAAUUAAUCACAAGGAAAAAGAAAAAGGAAUAUGCUUAUCCAAUUUUGAAACAUCUUCAUUGGCUGCAAAUAACAUUUGUUACAAAUACAAAGUGUUGCUUUAUGUGUUUAAAGCUCUCGUAUACCUUCAAGAACUAGUAAAUAUUUACAAGCAACAAGAACUCUUCGGUCUGAAAACAAUAUGCUACUAAUCAAACCAACAGUAAGAACAAAAACAUACGGAGAGAGACGGUUUGAUAGAGCUGCCGCCGUUUUAUGGAAUGACUUACCGAAAGAACUGCGAAACACGGAAACUGUGAAUGCUUUCAAGAAAAACAUUAAAACUUAUCUAUUCAGACAGGUUUUUCCACAUGAUUAAUAAUCGGACAGUACUUAGACUUUUAUUCGAUCUAAGUAUAUAUUUUAAUGUAUCAUACUUACUUUUUAUUGCAUUUCUAUUUUCUUGAAAUUGAAGCUCUUCUGUUGAUUUUAUUUUUAAAAAAAUGAAUUUAUCUAUAUUUUUUAAUUCUAUUUGAUGAAUAAUUUUUAAUUUUCAAUAUUGAGUUGUAUUGUUUACGGUCUCUAUUUUGGUUCUAUUGAACCAUUGACAUAUAGAUAUAUAUUUUUUUUUAAAUUGUGUUUAUUUAUAUAUAUGUACUUGUAUCAUUGGUUUUUUUAUUCACCGUAAAGCGCUUAGAGUAAAUGUCUAUUUAGAUAAGCGUUAUAUAAUCACUGUAAAUAAUAAUAAUAAUAAUAAUAAUAAUAAUAAUAAUAAUAAUAAUAUAAUAAUAAUAAUAAUAAUAAUAAUAAUAAUAAUAAUAAUAAUAAAAUAGUUUUAAUUAUACCUGAAGACCGCAUGGUGACCUAUAGUUGUUUACCUUUGUGUUAGUUGGCCUCUUGUUGAGAAUUGUCUCAUUGGCAAUCAUACCACAUCUCCUGAUUUUUUUUUAUAAACAAGAUUAAUUCUUUUUAAAAUAGAGAAGAGUACAUCAAUACUUUAUCGAAUGGCAAUUUAAAGGAUUUAUUGUCAUCUGAAAAGAGUGAUGAAGCGUUAAACUUGCCCCCUUGUUUAUAUGAGACAAGGAUUCGAGAUCAGACUCGGAUUUCUCUUGAACUGAAUUUUAAUGUGCGUAUUGUUAUGCGUUUACUUUACUACAUUGGUUAGAGGUAUAGGGGGAGGGUUGAGAUCUCACAAACAUGUUUAACCCCGCCGCAUUUUUGCGCCUGUCCCAAGUCAGGAGCCUCUGGUCUUUGUUAGUCUUGUAUUAUUUUAAUUUUAGUUUCUUGUGUACAAUUUGGAAAUUAGUAUGGCGUUCAUUAUCACUGGACUAGUAUAUAUUUGUUUAGGGGCCAGCUGAAGGACGCCUCCGGGUGCGGGAAUUUCUCGCUACAUUGAAGACCUGUUGGUGACCCUCUGCUGUUGUUGUUUUUUAUUUGGUCGGGUUGUUGUCUCUUUGACACAUUCCCCAUUUCCAUUCUCAAUUUUAUUCGAGAGCAAGUAUAUUCAAGUAAUGAGUUGAACAAACUAGAUUUGAUCACAAGUAAAGAGAUUUAUUGUGAAAUUUCACCAGCAUGUUCUUUCAAGUUUUUCACAUCCAACUCUGAUAUGCCGAUCUAAUGAGUUCAUCGAUCGCCAACAGUUUUGAAAUUAUUUAUCAAAGGUACCAGGCAUAUAAUUUGAUACACCAGACGCGCGUUUCGUCUACCGUCAGAAGACUCAUUAGUGACGCUCAGAUUAAACAAGUUACAAAGCCAAACAAGUACAAAAAGUUAGAGCAUUAAGGGCCCAAAAUUCCCCCAAAAAUGUGCAAAAUACGGCCAAGGGAAUAUAUGCCUGGGAUAAGAAAAUCUUUAGUAUAAUUCAUUUUAUUGCAAACAGUUUUAUAAAAAUGACCAUAUAAUUGAUAUUCAUGUCAACACCGAAGUGCUGACUACUAGGCUGGUGAUACCCUCGAGGACGAAACGUCCACCAACAGUGGCAUCGACUCAGUGGUGUAAAUAGUAAUCUAAAAUACCAGGCUUAUGAUUUUAUACGUCCGACGCACGUUUUGUAACGUAUAAUAACGUCAAUUCAUACUUAAAAUCUGUCGAACGUCUUCUGCGCUUUGUCGUACGUUUUCAUAGAUUAUGAAUUGUUCCCAUGGUGACGUUAUUCACUCUAAAUGAACGAUAGAAAUGAUGUUGUAAUUAGAAUGAUUAAUAGUGCCAGCAAAAUAUUUAAAACAUGCCUUUCUAUAUUUUUAUUCGUUAACCGUAAUAGGAUGGAACUGUCUACAUGCCUACAUCAACAUAAUUUACAACCAUGCUGUUGAAAUUUUAAUAUCUGUGCUCAUGCGGCGUAAAGAAACCAACAAUCAAUCAAUCAAUCCUAAUCCCAGUCAAUGAAUCAGUUUUGGAUUUCUUUUUAUGUCUUUCCUUUUUUAGCAGUACAUAACAAUUCUUUUGAUAAAAUAUGUUUACAUCUAAAAAGAUUAUCAUAAUAGUAAAAUACACAGGGUUGUGGGGAAUUACGGUCAUAUAUUGCAACGAACUAAAUACAUAUACAUAUGGUCGGCACUUACCGUUAACCUGUAUACAGGUGGUACGUAAUUUUAGUUUGAUUGUAUGCAUAAACUUGGCAAGUUUAUCCAACAAAAAAAUAGGUAAAAUCCGUAAAAAAUCUUUAUUUCACAAAAUUAGAAAACCGAAGCAGCCAACAAUCUAGAAAUAAAAAAUAACCUUAAAAAAUAUAGAGAAAAAUACAAAUUUGUUUUUCUUUCCAUCAAUUUAAUGAUGCGUAAACAACAAAUAUAAUUAAAGACAACUCUAAUCUUAAACAACUCUUUCUUCUUCUGAUGUGACUCAUAUAUAUGUACAAUAUGUAUUGACGACAGUGUCUUAAUUAGAGACCUUAUUUGUUUACCACUACAUCCGAUUAAACUGUCUUUUUAAAUGCUUAUUUCCCGCUGAUUGUUCCUAACUUUGUUUCCGUCCAUCUGUAAAAGUUAAAAUGUAAAAUUUCUACCUUGACUUGACUUUGUAAACAAGAAUGAAGCAGAACUGAAAAUUAGUUCAAAGUUCAAAGUAGAGAAUCAACAACGAAUGCUGGCAUCCCACAGAACCAAUGAACGGAAAACUGAUGAUGACUUGGAACAUUCUAGAGAACAAAUGGGUCAGAAUACUGCCGAACGGAUGACACAGGCCAAACACACGGGAAGCGAAUAUAAUGAUGAAGCGACACGAAAUGUUCCUGGCUAUACAGAUCUUGCAAGAAUAAUGUCGUCUGAACAGAACAUUGCUGGAUAUGACACACUACAAGAUCAAAAUAAUGGAUAUACAGAACUAAGGAAAUCCAUUGUCACAAAAGAUCAAUAUGAUACACUUGGGGAACAUAAUAUAUAUGACUACAGUACAGUUUCAGAUUCAGAUUCAACAACAAACACUAAAGCUAUUAGUGCAGAUAGGGAAAACGGCGUCGACUGUUCUAGAGAUUGCGAGAACAUAUCAGAAACAUCUGGGCAUAAACAUAGAAAUAUCGGUAAAACAAAUCUGAAAUACUAUAAUGAACAGCUGCACAUUUCUACUGGAAACAAAAAUAGCUUAGAUGCUUCAGAAUCUGGAAUCAAAAAACAAAAAUCCGUAGAAAGUAUCGGUAAUAAUGAACCAGAUUACUCUUAUGUAAGUGGAUUUAAAGAUCGUCAGAAUGAUACCAAGCACGUUCAAGGUAUGGUACAAAGUUUAAACAAAGAUUUCGUUCCUGCAAGUCAAGAUAAUGAUGUUCACCAGGAUAUGCAGAGGGAAGAAUGUGUUAGUGAAAGAACAAAUAAAAGCAACAUCAUACAGGCUGUAGGUCCAAGGCUCGGCUUAUUGGUGUAGCUAUUGUCGUCCUUGUAGUAUUUGUUGGUUGUUUAGUCUUAGUUUUAUCUCUAAAGGAAAAAUCUAAAAGCAACUGUUACUCUUCAGAUAAAGGUUCGUAUAAACACUUAUAUGGCGUGUAAAAAAUAAAAACAACACUAUAUUUAAAAAACGUGUUACAUAUUGAUAUGUUUUAGUAGUUUGUUUAUAUGAAUUGCAUAUUCUCCUGCCGAAAACUUAUAUUCACCUCGCAAGACGUUGCGUUCUUUUAUUAGGUAAAUAAUUUUGGUAAAAAAAAGUUUGAUGUAAAAUGGUUUUGGUAAAUAAUUGCCAUUAAAUACAUUUCUCUCGGAACAUGGAAUAAAACAUUAAGAGAAAGCGAACUAAAAUGAUACCAAUGUCGAAUAAUAUACAAUUACUGUCUUUUGUUUCAGUACAUGUGUGGUUUAAUUGACUUUUGAAAAACUGAUAUUCAGUUUGGCCGUUGGCCUUUGUGAAUUACAGUUUUUCAAAAGUCAAUAAAACCACAUAUCUACCUCAUCAAAAGACAGUAAUUAUAUAGUAUUCCAUAUUGAUUACACUUUUGUGAGUUUUUUUCUAAAUGAAUUUGAUUUAAAUAAAUAAGCAUAUUCACCUGCGGAAAGGUAUAUUUACCGCGAAAAACGUCGUAUGCUUUAAUUUUACGUGUAUGAUUAUGUUACAAUCGUUUAAUGUAAAUUGGUAAAUAGUUCAUGUACCCUAAAAUCUCACUAGAUCCCCCAAAUUCCUUAACUUGCAACUUGUUUCAUUUGCAGUUUAAAAUAUCUGAACAUUUUUUUUAUCAUGCAGUUAUCUACUCUUUCACCAUUAUUUAUUUUCUUUCAUUAAUUCAGGUUUUCACCCACAGCCGUUAACUUUAACAGGUGAGCAGUAGUUUUAUCACAUAUAUUGUAUUUCGACAUGUCGAAAACAUCUACAGGUUCAGAGCAUUUAUACAUAAAAUGGUACUAUUAAUACAAUGUUAGUUUGCUAAAUGUUUCCAAUAAACGUUUCAAAUUAUUGCGAACAAGCGCUGGUGAGUUUCAGAAGAAAGAUAGAUUUAAAAACAAUUAGAAAACUUGGAGCCAGGUCCACUAAAUACUUCACUGACCAUUAAGGUAGAUCAAAACGCACCCAAACCAAUAACGGAAAACCCGGGAGGGGUUUUUCUUGAUUGCCUACAUUUUAUAAAAUAUAUAUUGCUUGAAUGCUUACAAAAUAAAUUGAAUUUGUGUUGUUUUGGUAAAAUGGUUUUGUUUUAGAACAAAAGUUUGAAGUAGGAAAAGUUAUAGUUUAAAGGUGGAAAAAUGUUGCCUUUACUAGAUCAAAAGUGUCAAUUUAAGAGGAACAGUUGUGUAUGGACUAUACCCCAGAUUUGUGAACCAAUUAAAAAUGUUUGAUUUUCCUGAAUGUCAAUAAAAAUGCCUCUUAUUUACAGGGGAUUGCUAUCACAAUACCAGCACCCAGUAUUUUGGAAGACUUAAUUAUACAGUAAGCGGUAGGGCUUGUCAGAAUUGGAGUAAGAAUUCUCCUCAUGUAACAAUAUUUAGACCUGAUAGAGACGCGGACAAGACCACAAACUAUUGUAGGGACAACAGUUAUUACAAACAUGGUACACCAUGGUGUUAUACAGAGGACCCUGAUUUCCGCUGGGAAUUUUGUCCCGUAUUUAAAUGUUCGUAUUCAAAUGCUUAUUGAUACAUAUUGUUGCUUGCUUUUAAAAAUGUUCUCAAUAUAACAAGUUAAUAAAUUGUUACGCUAUACGAGUAUUUCAUCUACAUAUAAGUCACCACGGGGGCUUGCAUAACAAAAGCAUAAAGCGAAACAAAACAUAAAGUUGGAGAGCAUUUCAGGUAAAAAUUCUGACAAAUAGAGCCAACCAUGACCAGAGCUAUAUAUUUAAGCCUUAAAAAAAACAUGUUUCGGAUACUUCAAUUUCUAAAGAAAAGAAAGUUACGGUAAAUGAUCAAAUCAAUGGGUUUGUUUUAUGUCAACAAUUUAUGCUGUGUUGAGUCCUAUAUUAGUAUUAUCUAAAAUUUAUCUUUAUGGGCACUAGGAAAAACCUACAUUUUGUUCUUCAAAAUCCCUGUUUCCAAUCAGACAAUGCAUAUAUAAAAUAUAAGUCAUUGUUAAAACCUUUUGAUGAUAUUAUCUGACAAAUCCCACACUGACUAAAGACACGCUUACUGACAGGGUUUUACUAACAUUUAGUAAGUUAAAUAACUAAGACAUCAUAAGAUAACAGAUCCAAAAAUCUGCAAGGAAAAUAAUUUUUUAGACGCCAUCAAUAUAUAUCCUACAAAAGAAUGUACGAAGUGUUUUUCUUUAACUCAGUAAAGAAUUUCUUUUCACCAAAAACUUAUGUAUUCUUUUUAGGUAAUGCCUGUACGAUGCUGCCAAAGGCCAAACCUGGAACAACAGUAAGUUAUAAUAUAACAUUUGGAGUUGUAGCUGCCACAUACACAUGCCAGUCUUUUAAGCCAGGAGUUUCAUUUCCUCAUUGUCCGAUAUCUACAUGUAGCAAUGGUAACAAAUGGCUGAAGUUCAACACAUCUUGUUCUGGUACGUACAAAUGGUAGUACUAAAUGUUAUAACGAAAAUACCGAAAUCAAACGUAAAUCAAAAUAGGUGAAGUCUAUAAAUAAAGGCAACAGUAGUAUACUGCUGUUCGAAAUUCAUAAAAAUCGAUUGAGAAAAAAAACAAAUCCGGGUAACAAACUAAAACUGAGGGAAACGUAAAAGCAGACAAAUCCAAACGCUGAACUCUACCAAUUCGAUUAUGUGUGACAUAUUUAAAACAUGUUUAUUACUGGGGUUUUGUACCUAAUAAGAAUUAUUUUUAGUAUUCGAAUAAAUGAAAGAAAGGGUUCCUUUGUUUCGCUUUCGAUGUUGACAUUCUUUCUUUGCCCAUCUCCGGUACGGGCCAAAUUGAUUGUGUGAAUAAAAAUUCAAAUGAAGUUGGAUUAUUGAAAUUCAUCGUUCCGACUGACAUAGUGUAUAUUCAAUUUUUGAACGUUAUACUAUUUGAAAUGGUAAACUGUAAUCACUAUAUACUAUAUUUUUUUAAAGGGCAUAAGCCAAGAUUAAGACUAAAGAAAUACAAUAUGAUUUGUUUGGUUCACUUAUAAAGCGGGAUUGUGAACGACUUAUUUCGUGUACAGAAAUAAUUUUUGUUCAAUUUUGUCGAAAACCCAAAACAACCGUGAUGUAUAAAUGAAUUUGAAUAAUCCAACCCCAUUUGAAUUUGUAUUCAUGCAACUUCAAUUUGACCCUUACCGGAGAAGGACAAAGAAAGAAUGUUAACGUUGAAAGCGAAACAAAUUAAAGGAACAAUUUCUUUGAUGUAUUCGAACUUCUAAAAUGCAUUCUUAUUAGAUAAACAAAAACCAGUGAUUAACAUAUCUUAAAUCUUUGACAAAAAAAUCAAACAGAUCUAGAAUUAAAAAAAAACAUUAAAGUACUUUUACACGUGCUUGUUUAAUACAAGUGAGCGGUUUAGCUUGCUAAAAUAAGAAGGUUCAAUCUACCAUUUUCUACAUAAGAAAAUAUUUGUACAAAGUCAGGAAUACGACCGUUGGUACAUAUUCGUUUGGUGUCUUUGAGCUUUUAAUUUUGCCAUUUGACUUUCCUUUAAAAGAGGGACGAAAGAUACCAAAGGGACAGUCAAACUCAUAGAUUGAAAAUAAACUGACAACUAAACAAUUUUCCUCUGAGUUCGAUAUUAUUGUUAUAUUACUUUUGGUGCAUUUAUAUUAACAGUAGUUCUACUAAAUCAAUCGAAUGACUGAAAAACAACUGUUAUAUUCCUGACUGAAUGUUUUCCGAACGAAAGAGAGGCGGAAGACCUAAAAGCAUCAUAAGUCGAACGAAAACUUACAACAGCAUUGCAAAAAACAAAAAAAACCGACAUAAACACAUAAACACAAGCUAUAAUAGUUGUACAAAUUUAAGGAAUACGCAUAUAAUAUUCGUGAAAUAUGAGACGUAAUUGCACAAACUCAUAUCUAAUCAAACGAGAAAAAAAAUAAACGUCUAGCAGGCCGGCUAGGAUUAGGAUGAAGUGCGACUGAAAUACAAUGGUUUAUGUCCACAAUAACGAAUUGGUAAACAAAUGAUUGUGAUGCAUCCGUGGAUCAACACACGAGAUACUAGUACAUUUAUACGUGGUCUUAAAUCUUUUGAUAGACAUUAGAAAAGUAUUGUCAGAUUUUUUAAUGCGGACGGAUUUUUAUUUACUAUCGCGAUUGUUUUACCAAGUAUUGAUUGAAGUAAUGCAUGCAUAAAAGAAGACUUAUUUUCUCAACGCGGGAUAUACGUAUUUUGAGCAUCGUUAAACUCAAUGAAAAAGUAUUAUACUAGUGCUGUUCUGGAUUUACCUUCACCGGGAAGGUCAAAUUUUAACAUUUAAAAGGCACAGAGGCGUAAAAUCGCAGCAACGUUAGGAAAUAAAAAAACAAAUUAAAAAUGACACGAACAGAAGAGUCAUAUCAAGUACUUUCCACUUUGCCUGAACUACUGUUGCCAUAGUUGAAUAUUUGCAUUUUCUUAUAAAAAACUUUAGGUUAAGAAGUCACUAUAUAUUUCUGUCGUUUAUUUCAGUUGAAGAUCGCUAUCUCAAUAGCACUAAAUACAACGGAAAAGUGUCCUGUUCAGUUAGUGGAACACCCUGUAUGAUUUGGAAUCUACAAAAACGCCACCUUUUACCUAUCAACUCAGAUGAUCAUGUAACAAAUUACUGCAGGGAUCCAGACGGGAAAGGACAGCCAUGGUGUUAUGUAGAUCAUCAAGGAACUGUUGAAAAAUGGGAAUUUUGUUAUGUUCCAAGGAGAUGAAGAAGAACCUUACAAGAACAUCAAUAUCCUUGAAAGUCUGUCAUACGCAAAAUGACGUGUUUACUACCUUAAUCAGGUUUUGUUACCAGUUAUGUAAUUUUGUGGAAUUUAAAAUUUUAAAAAUAAAUUUUGUGCUUAAAAUAUUUUCAAUAGUGUAAAUUUAGCCGUUAAAAUAUAUGUGAAAAGUAAAGGCAACAGUAGUAUACCGCUGUUCAAAACUCAUAAAUCGAUAGAAAAAAAUCAAAUCCGGGUAACAAACUAAAACUGAGGGAAACGCAUUAAAUACAAGAGGAGAUCAACGGCACAACAUUUAAAUGUAACACACAGAGAAACGAACUAAGCAUUAGACAAAAUCCGACGAGAAUAACAAAUAUAACAUCAAAACAAAAUAAACCCCACAAUAUUGAUAUUUGCACAGAUAAUUGCAAAUUUACUGCAAAUUCACAUUGGUAUACGAUUGUGCAUGCAUCAAAUAAUUUUAAAAUGACUUAGCAUGUGAUGACUAAAAUAUAUAGCUCAUGAUGACAAUAUGAAAUAGAUACCUUAUUUUCGAAGUGAUGUUAAUAUACUUGGUGAAUACUCUCUCUCCACAUUUUUAUGUAUUGCCUAUUCUAGAUAUUCACCUUCAAAAUUCAUCUCACAUAUCAUUUUUAUACCCCCGGUUUGAAAAAAGUAGGGGGGUAUACUGUUUUACCUCUGUUUGUCCUUCCGUCAGUCCGUCCGUCCCAUGAAUAUUUUUCGUCGCAUUUUUCUCAGGAACUACAAUAUAAGGAUUUCUGAAAUUUGGUUUUAGGGUUUAUAUAAGUCUGCUACACCGUUUGAUGCCUUUUCAGAUUCAUCACUCGACAACUUCCUGUUUACCGAACACUUGUGUUGUAAACGUAGAAUUCCGAGCGUUCAUAAAUUUAUAACUUAACACCAUCUUUGUAGAAAAUAGCAGUCACGAUUUAUUCACACUAUAUGUAUAUACAGACGUUACAUAAAAUACAAGAUACACAGCAUACACUCCAACAGUUACUGUCUUCAGUGCAACGCGAUUUUUCUACGGACUUUAAAGAUUGUCUACAAUGUUCCUGCCACAAUAUUUCUUUGAUAAGUUCACUAACUGUUGACGGUUCUUUAGUCAGAACUCUAUAUCCAAUGUUACCAUCAGGAUAUCCAUAUAUAGCAUACUCAGUAAUCAGCUUCACUAAUAAAUCUUCGUUCACACCAGGGAACGAUUUCCGAACAUUUAUCUCAGUUCUACAUACGUACUCUUGAACGCUUUCACUUGUAAGCAUAGUUAUAUUUCUCAAUUUCAUUCUACAAAUCUGAGCAGUCUCAAUAUCACCAAAUCGACUUUUCAAUGCAGAAUACAAAACAGAUACAUUAUAAAGAUCUCUGUGUGGUAAAUACGACACAUAUUCUAAAGCUUUACCUCUCAGUGAAGUAACCAAAUAAAAAGCCAUAUCACUAGAUGACCAAUUAAAACGUUCAGCAAAGAUAGAAAAUUUCAUCCAGAAACCUUCAAAAAGUUCAGUACCGUCAAACUCUGGUAAGUCACACCAGCUCAUGGUUAAUAUAUAUCAAAAUGCUGACAAAUAUAAGUUAUAGACAUACAUAAAACAACAAUUAUUUAUAGAUAAACGUAACAAUGUUGAUUUCUUUCAAAUUUGCACCUUAGAUUGUCAUUUUAUCCUUGAUGCUAACACCGAACAAAAAAUGUUUAAUUAAUUUCCGUCCACUUUUGCCGAUUAAAUACUUCUCUGUGAAUUAUGUGGUCGAAUCUGUUUUAAUUCCAAUAUCAGUUUUAAAAUGGUGAAUCUUCGUAUUCCAGUGCCGUAUCGUCCUUCUGUUGUAAUGUAUACAUUUGGUCACAAUCGUAUUGUCAAAUAAACUUGUUUACGGUACAUUCAUUGUUUAAUUUCAUAUUUCCUCCCCUCUUUAAAAGCAUUCCGUCUGUAUAAAAAUAUAAAUCAUCUGUUUGCGUAGAUCCGUUUCUGUUCGCUGCCACCAAUGUUGUAAACGUAGAAUUCCGAGCGUUCAUAAAUUUAUAACUUAACACCAUCUUUGUAGAAAAUAACAGUCACGAUUUAUUCACACUAUAUGUAUAUACAGACGUUACAUAAAAUACAAAAUACACGGCAUACACUCCGACAGUACAAACAUUCAGCCAUCUUGUCCAUCCGGCAACACAUCUCUCUCUCUCCCACGUCACUAUCACACAACGUCAAUAAUACGGGAAACAACGUUAACACUGUUUUGCGACAUUACGGACAUGAAGACAAAGUCACAUUCACAACAUAUAUCAACCUGAUUGUUUUGACCAACAAAACACAGCUUUACAUUAAAAAAGGUCUGCAUUGUUUUCCAGUAGCAUCUUUACUAUUUCAAUAUUAUUAAGACGACAAGCCACACGCAGAGGAGAUACUUCAGCAUCAUCACAUUUGUUAACGUCUGCCUUGUAUUGAAGUAACAGGUUUACUAUUUCAAUAUUAUUCUCCUGACAAGCUAUAAACAGGGGAGUCAUUCCAAGAACGACAUAUUUAUUAACGUCUGCCUUAUAUUCAAGUAACAUCUGAACUAUUUCAAUAUUAUUCUUAUGACAAGCUGUAAACAGGGGAGAUACUUUAUCAGUUGUACAUUUAUUAACGUCUGCCUUGUAUUCAAGUAACAUCUUAACUACAUCACCAUGAUUCCUCUGACAAGCCAUUAACAAGGAAGAUACUUCAUUAGCUUUACAUUUAUUAACAUCUGCCUUGUAUUCAAGUAGCAUCUUAACUACUUCAACAUGAUUCUUCUCACAAGCCAUAAGCAGGGGAGAUACUUCAUCCUCAUCACAUUUAUCAACGUCUGCCUUGUAUUCAAGUAGCAUCUUAACUACUUCAACAUGAUUCUUCUCACAAGCCAUAAACAGGGGAGAUACUUCAUCCUCAUCACAUUUAUUAACGUCUGCCUUGUAUUUAAGUAACAUCUUUACUAUUUCAAUAUGAUUCUGCUGACAAGCCACAAACAGGGGAGAUACUUCUUCAGCUUUACAUUUAUUAACAUCUGCCUUGUAUUCAAGUAGAAUCUUAACUACAUCAACAUGAUUCUCCUGACAAGCCAUAAACAAGGGAGAUACUUCAUCAGCUUUACAUUUAUUAACAUCUGCCUUGUAUUCAAGUAAUAUCUUAACUAUUUGAACAUGGUUUUUCUCACAAGCCACAAAGAAAGGGGAUACUUCAUCCUUAUUCCGUUUAUUAACAUCUGCCUUGUAUUCAAGUAAUAUCUUUACUAUUUGAACAUGGUUGUUCUGACAAGCCAUAAAUAAAGGAGAUAUUUCAUUAUCAUCCCAUUUAUUAACAUCUGCCUUGUAUUCAAGUAAUAUCUUUACUAUUUGAACAUGGUUGUUCUGACAAGCCAUAAAUAAAGGAGAUAUUUCAUUAUCAUACCAUUUAUUAACAUCUGCCUUGUAUUCAAGUAGCAUCUCAACUAUAUCAACAUGACCCAACUGACAAGCUAUAAACAGGGGAGAUACUUCAUUCUCAUCACAUUUAUUAACAUCUGCCUUGUACUUAAGUAGCAUCUUAACUAUAUCAAUAUGAUUCGUCUGACAAGCUAUAUGCAAGGAAGAUACUUUAGCCUCAUCACAUUUAUUGACAUCUGCCUUGUAUUCAAGUAACAGCUUUACUGCUUUAGUAUCACCUUCUUGUGACGAAACAAAUACAGGACUAACACCAUCCGAUCUACAUUGGUUAACAUCUGCACCAUAAUAACAACACCACUGAAUUAAAGAAAAGUCACAUAUAAAACAACAAUCCAAUAGUGCAUUAUAUUUGUAUUCGAUAUCAUUAAUUUGGGCUAAUUGUUUUUGGUAUGAUAAAUCAAGUGUUUCCACAAAAUUCAAAAAUCUCUUUCUGAAAUCUGGUUUUUCCAUAUUUAUAUUAUUGAACACUGACAUAACUCUACCAAUAGACCAGUCAUCAACCAUUCUUUGAAUGUAAAUUUGAUGGUAUUGUGGUGGUACAACAAUGAUAAACUGUUCCAUAUCUUCUUCUCUUUCGAAUGAUAAUCGUUCGCUGAUAAACAUACUUUGUGAAUUCUUAAUCAAACACUGAAUUAUCAUUUUCCCAAAAUAAUGAGAUAAAAAGUCGAAUAGUUUAUCAUGUAUUGUUUUGUAAAUGCCAUCUUCUUUUUUCAAAAAAGUAUGUUCGAGUGUAUCAAGUUCAUCCAAUAACAUUAAUCGUGAUGUACUUCUUUCUAACCUACAAGCCUCACAGGUGUUCUUUAUGAUCCUUUUUGUUUCUUUAUCAAUCUCUUCUGUUAACACUUCCUCGUUUAACUCGUUAUUGAACAUGACAAGCAAUGCCAAAGCACAGUAUUUUCCAAAAAUUUCUUUUUUCUUGAGCUGUUCAAUUUCUGCUUCAUACACUGAGAAUGGAUUCUGGAAAAAUUCUGUAAUAUUGAGUUCAGUGUUAUCACGAUAAAGUUUACAGAGAAGCGGAAAACAUUCAUAUAAAUGACAAUAUUGGAUAAUCUCUGAAGCUUCUGUUUCAAGAUAAAUUUCUGCUAUUGACUCCUUUUCAGCCUGUGACAAACAUAAAUUUUCCGAUAACAAGUUACAUACAUUGGUUUUAAAAAUAGACAGCGCUUCAAAUUUGUUAUCUUUGUAUACUUGUAUUCUACAGGCCACAAUAAUUUUGAUGAGUGAUUUAUGAAUUAGCCCUUCAAUACGCGUCAUAACUGGUUCCCAAUUGUAUAGAUCAGACUGGUUAAUAGAAUAUGUUCCACAAAAGUUAUCAAUAACAAACAAUGUUUUCUGAUUUGGAUUAUAAUAAUCAAUAAUGUUAUGUGGAUUGGUUACAAGAAGCACAUCAUACCCUUCUUCUGCCAUUUUUAAAACUACAUGUUGUAGGGUUGCUGUCUUGCCAACACCAGAACUAGCAGUUAUGGUGACACAACUAUUUUCUUUGAUACAUUUUAGCACAUGUUUUGCAGCUUUAGUCUCGACAAAAUUUAAAUCAUUCUUUUGCCACUGAUCCAAUAGUUGAAUGAUUUGUACUGAAAUAUAAAUAAAUCAAUAUUAUUGGUUGUUAAUCAAAUGAAAUAACAUAAGAAAUAUGUCCAAGUUAGUUUUUCAAUAAUUUGUCACAUUAUCUCAAACAAAUCAUGUUUUCAUUCACAUUGAACAAACCAAAGAGAGAUAUGAUCAAUCAAAAACAGGGGAUAACAUGCACUGGAGAUUCAUUUAAAACAAUGAGAGGAAUGAACUAUGUGUUUCUUUUCGAAAAAAUACAUCCAAAGCUUCACAACACUCUAUCAAAAUUCCAAGUAAAAUGUAAAUCCUACAAAAUGAUUCAUGUGUGCAUUACUCAUCAAACAAAACCCUUAAUUAUGCAUAUAUUUUCACAUUAUAUUUAAAUUUAGGGCCAAAUAUAUUUAUAUUCUAAAUGACAAGUGAUUAGUUUCAGAAUUGCAAUGCAUCCCACCCAAAUUUUAAUUGAAACUUUCUACAGUUUAAAUACAGAGAUGAACUACAGGAUGUUUUUAUGGUAUUGCAUUUUAUUUGUUCACCAAUAUGGGUCAUAAAGUCAUCUGAAGCAAGUAUUAUGCUUAAGAAAUGAAUGUAUCAAUCUAAUCAUUCAUACUAAAUUAAGGCAUUAAUUUAACAGUAGUGUACAUAGGUUCAAAUGUCAUUAAUGAAUUAGGAUAAGAAGUAAAGGCUACAAAGACGAACCAACGUAAUUCUUGAAAAAAAAAAGUCGGUGAGUUUAGCCGGAAUAAUUUAUAUGCUUCUUCCGGUUGACAAUCGUUAGGUAUAAUAAAAAGAAUCUAGCAUCAAUUUUAAAUUCCAGAUUCUUUUUAUUAUAACUAAGUUCAUCCUGAAAGUAAAUCCUCAAAAAUACAUAAGAAUCUGAAAACCGUUAAUUAUUUGACCUGGUGUGAGAAUAACUAACCAUGAAAUGCAGUUGGUGUUGGUGUGUGUUUUUUUUAAAUAUAAAUUGCAUGCUGCCCAAGCUUAGUUGCAAUUCGAUAAGACAUUCAUAUCUUCAUCUACCUACAUACCUACCUACCUUUAAACGAUUGUCAACCGGAAGUAGCAUAUAGAUUAUUCCGGCAAAACUUACCGACUGCAAUAUUUGUUUGGCGUUUAUACGUUAUGGAUUCAUAAAAAAAGAGGAUAUAGUUUUUUAUCAGAAUAAGUUCAUACUAUCUUCUGAUCUACAUUGUUUCGUAGAUCCAUUUCGAGACUUAUUUAAAUGGCUCGAACGUAACCUUAUAUUUGCAAUUGUAUUGUGUGGGUCUCAAAUCGAAAGAAAAAAAUCUAGAACCUGAUUAAAUUUGGGUAUAUGACCUGUAAUCGGCUCUUGAAGUCUUACAUGAAAACAAAAAUGGUGUUAUGGAGGAAAUUACUUUAUUCUGUAUCGUAGUAAACAAAAUUAAAAUGUCCGAAAAUUUGGCAAUAGUUCCUAAAUCUCACCUAAUUACAGGUAAAUGAUUACAGUUUUAUCACUAACACUACAUGCUAAAGUUUUUUGUUAAAGAUCUUACCUCUAAUAUUCCAAGGUACUGUUGACUGGUCUAAAUGUUUUGAUCUUAGCUCUUGACAUUCCUCAUACAUAUUUAGACCACCAAGUCUCUUCACAGCCUAUGAACAAAUGAUGUUUUACAGGUAAAAAUCAUAUAUUCGAAUCCAACAGGCUAUAAACAAAAAGAUGGUAUUAUAAUCAUUACGAGAUUAAAAAGAGCUAAGUAUAAGUUUGAACAUUAAAUCAAUAACUGUGUCGAAUUCUGAAUAUUAGUAGAUCGAUCACUACAGUUAAUAUAUCACUUGAAACCAAAACGGCUAUUUAAAUUUCAAGACCUUUUAAAAAACUGAACAUUGAAUUAUGAAGUCAGGUUCAGUGUUAAUUAAUAUUCAUAAUUAUCUACAUGUACUGUUCAGGAAAUAUGUUGAUUAAAAUAUCAAGGAGUCAAAGAAAAACGUGAAAAUGUAUUCUUACUCCACUGAUAUCUUUCCAUGCAGUAACAAAGACUGUAGAUUUGAUCUUUCCGUCUUCAAAAUGAUGUAGGAGGUUUCUGUAGUGUUUAAUUCUUGCCAGGUCAGCCGUAGAUGUGAUAUCUGUACUUAAUGGUAAGAAGUCAUAUCCACAUACGGGUGAAGGUACAUUUGUCAAAUUCCUGAGUAAUACUACCAUUAAUGUGACAUCAAAAGUGUUAGAGUCAGGGACACCUGUAACACAAAAUUUAGUAUAAGCCCUUAAUUGAGAUGAACACUAAAAUUAAAGCUUUUUCUAUAAGGGAUGAAAGAAUGGAGAAGACACCAAACGGAUAUCCACAGUGAUAUUUAUAUAAUAUACUAAUGUUUUAGGGUGAACUAAGGAAAUGACAAGAAAAACAGUGUUUAGUACAAAAAUGUCAGUAUUCACCUCAAAAGCUUACAAAACCUUUAAACAUACUUAUUAAGAAGGGAUAUAGUUACGAUACUGUUGUCAGGUCAAUAAAGAUUGCAAAUUUUUGCUUUAAUAUUGAUUCACUUUGUAUUUGUUUGGUUUAUAACUAUUUUGAUAUGAGCGUCACUGAUGAGUCUUAUGUAGACGAAAUGCGCGUCUGGCGUACUAAAUUAUGAUCCUGGUACCUUUGAUAAGUAUUAUAGGGUCUAUGCAUCGGAACUAAACACAUUUAUUCAAAAAGACAGUUGUUGGCAUGACACGGGUUAUGUUCUUCUCAUAUAUUUUAUGAUAGUAUGAUACUAGGCCCCUAACGGGAGGGAUUGUGCCUGAUAUUCAUAUGAUGAAGACACAAUCUUUCAAUCAGUUUUAUUGAGGUCUGGAGCUGGCAUGUCAGUUAAUGGAUAGCAGUCUGCUGUUAUUUAUGUAUUAUUGUCAUUUUAUUUAUUUUCUUUUAUUUUAUCUUCUGACAUCGGACUCGGACUUCUCUUGAACUGAAUUUUAAUGUUCGUAUUGUUAUGCGUUUACUUUUAUGCAUUGGCUAGAGGUAUAGGGGGAGGGUUGAGAUCUCAUAAACAUGUUUAACCCCGCCGCAAUUUUGCGCCUGUCCCAAGUCAGGAGCCUCUGGCCUUUGUUAGUCUUGUAUGAAUUUUAAUUUUAGUUUCUUGUGUACAAUUUGGAGUUUAGUAUGACGUCCAUUAUCACUGUACUAGUAUACAUAUUUUUGUAAGGGGCCAGCUGAAGGACGCCUACAUUGAAGACCCAUUGGUGACCUUCGGCUGUUGUCUGCUCUAUGGUCGGGUUGUUGUCGCUUUGACACAUUCCCCAUUUCCUUUCUCAAUUUUAUUUAGAGAUAUAACUAGGUGUUUAUUUCUAUGUUAUCAAAAUUUGUUUCUUUUCCAAAAUAUAUUUGAGAUAUUGCACAACUUUUGUUGGAUUGAAAUGACAAUACAUGUCAACAAAUUUACUUUCAAAGUUUGAAGUUAAAUCAAUUACUUCAUUUGUUUAAAUAUGUAAGAUACAUCAGCACAUAUACAAAUAAUUGCUUUGGAAGAAUCAUUGCACCGUCCAUUUUCAAAAUAUCUUAUACAUACCAACACGAGGAAAAAGUAAAUUCCAUUGAGCUCCGUUAAUAACACGUUUCAUUCUUAAGUCAAGCAGUUUUCCAUGUUCCUUUUUAAUUGUAGCAUGUAAGCAAGAAGGAUGAAAUUCUUUAUCAAAUAAAACCCGUACAGCCCUUGAAGAAAUGUCUGUCAUCAACAAAUGUAUUCGCAAAUAGUUUUCUUCUUCCUCUGAAACAUGUGAUAUAUAGGCAGUUGACAUUUUGAUUAUCUAUUUCAAAAUCUGGAUGUUCUUUUUCAAUAGAUGAUUGUUUUACCGGUGUUAUCGUUUUAUUUUUAAUUCAGUAUUUCUUGAAACUAUACUUCCAUUCUUGCCAUGUGGGACCUUCUUCCUUGCUGUUUGGUAAUUCAAAUAUGCAAAGACUCUCAAGAUUAUUUCCAUAGACUCUUGGUUAUGUAAGAACAUUAUUUCUUACUUUUGAUUGUUCAAGUAUAAUGUGUUGUUUAGAAUUGUCUCUCUGACAGUCUAGUAUUUGAAAUGUCAACAUGUUCGCAUUUUUUUAAAUUUUAUUUCAUUGUCCUGUACAUAUUUGCUUUCCUUGCAGUCUUUUCAUUCCAGUUUAGCUGAAGUUCAGAAUUUACUCCCUACUUGUUGGACCUCAUAUUUAAAAUCAUCUCACAUGCUGCUUUUUAUUCCAUAAUAAACUGUAAAAAAACAAAAAAUGUAUUCUGAAAUAUGUUUUCAGAACAGUUAUUUGCAAAAGAUUCCGAUUGAUUUACUUUCCAUUUUACGAGUUGACGAUCUAUUUUUUCAUUCCAAAAGAAGGCAUUUGAAAAAAAGACUUCAGAUAUUGAAAACGUUUGGGACAUCCAUCCAUAUAAUGAUUGUAGAAAAGUAUACUGGUCGACAUUGAAAUUAAAGGACCGUAGAUAUGUGUAUAACAGCGGGUGGUAAAAAUUGUGUAAAUGAGUAAACGUAUCAAAUGAAAUUUAGGUGUUCAUUAAUUUUGCCAUCUUCAUUGGGAACGGACAAAAUUGAAGGUAGAUUUUUAAUUUGACUUUAGGCAUAAAAUGCACUUAAUAUUUUUUAUCCAGUUCCUGCCAUACAUAAAAUUGUAAACAUGUGUGUCAAUACUAAGAGUACAUUUUCAGGUGUAAGCACAGUCAUAAUAAUGUAUUUUUCAUUUUGAAAUUAAGGAGUUUUUAGAUGUUUUUUGUUUGUGUCUGUUUUCCAAAACUUGAAACUGUUUAUUCAUUUGAAUUUGAUAUUCAUAAAUUGUAAUAUAAGAAUCCAAUCAAUCGAUACUGUUAAGGACCUAAAAAAUAUAGGUGUCAGACCCCCAAUUACUCCCACCAAUUUAGAACGUAUGUAGCCCUACUCUGACACAAAAUAGUGUGUUUGAUGUCAUUGUGUACUUAUAAACUAACCAAAAAUAUACAGAGAUGGAACUUUUGGUGAAAGAGAAAUAUAUUUAGACCAUGCUGAGCCACAAUUCACUUGUCUUUGAGUUUGCAUUAUAAAAUUCAGGAUUAAUGCGCUACAUAAUAUAGUAAUUACUGAUUUCCAGAAAACCAGGGGUAAAUUUUGGAGUACCUCUGUACGAAGGUCAGUUUUACUUUUAUACGACUUUAAAGGUAUGAUGAAAAUUAACAUGUAGAAAGCUGAUGCCUGCAAAAUUCAGGAUACACCUGGUUUUUAUGAAGUUCUACUUAAGGUAAAAUAUUAGGAAGCUGUGAAAAUUUUAUAAUUUGGUUCAACAGAUCACGGAAUGGUGGUCUGCCAUCUAUAGCAAAAUUGAAAUAAACUAUAGAUGCAUAAUAAAUCAUAGCGUUAUCGAGAUAAGUAUUAUUUCUAUGUUAGUAACUUGAUUGAACUAUUUGAUCUUAAAUUACUUUGGAUGUGAAAAUUCAAAAGAAUAUACCAAUUUUCUUGCUAUAACUUAUUCACCAGCAGGAAAAACUGCAUUUAUUUCAAUGCUUAAAUGGGCAAAUGUAUGUCCGCAUAAAGCAUCAACGAACCUUUCACUGACAUUUUCAACCACCAAUUGACAAACAUCAACAUACACCAACUAAACAAACUUUAACAGACAAAGACAGCAUUAUUUUAACAGUCCAAGCAGUCAAUCACCAACGAAACAGACCUACUAAAUGGGAACGUCAAAUGUUAUUUCAACUACGCCAACAAGCAAAGUCACAACUAACUUAAAACAAUUUAACAGUCAAACAAUCCGCGUGAUAUUGCAACAGCGAGCACAGUCAAUCACCACCCAAACAGAUCUACCAACAAGAGAACACGUCAACUGCUAAUUCACCAAACUAAUAGCAAAGUUAAACGUUUACUCAACAAUACUUGAACAUACUGAGUCAAAUCUACCAGCAAACCAACAACCAACAUAACAAAACAUACAUCCAACAGGCUAAUUCUAUUAGACAUAAAACUUACUUUCAAUUGCAAACAAAAAUCGGGGCCACAACACUACCUUUUGGAGUCAUAAUUUCAUUUUGUAAGAUCAAGUAUUGCUGAGUUGUGAUGCUGUUCAUAGUUUAAUUUAUAAGAAGUAGUGGAUUCAUAAAUGAGAGUCAUACGCGACGUUAGUCGAAAGUUAAUUGUCGUUUUUGAAACCUGUACUUCUUAUAAUAGUUUCUUUCUAAACCUAUGUUAUUCUUAGCAUUUUUGUCAGUGGCAGUUAUUCACUAUUUACUGUUGUUUUCAAGAUAUUAAUACAAUUAAUGCGACUUAUCCUAAGUUUCCUUACUUUUGAUUUGUAGACAUGGUGGUUAUGCUGGUUGUUUGGCGGAACAAAUACACAAAUUUAAUUCCAAUAACCUUAUUGAAAUUGAUCUUUGAUUUCAGAGGAGGAGAUCUUUGCAAACGUUUUCGAUGGUCGACGAUAACGAAGUUGAUAGACGCCAUGUCAUGACAAUAACUUAAUAUGUGGCUUAUUUGGGUCAGGUUAAUAUAGAAAGCUAUAUUUUGAAGACUCCCUUUUUACAUUCUUAAGUUUAAAUUGCUCACAGUGAAACUGACAUUGUGAAUUAAAACCUAUAAACAAACAUAAAUACAUACCUCCUUCUUUAUUAAAGCAACUAGACUGCAAGAAUUACGAGACACACACCAUUUACAUUUUCCUUUCAAAAAUUACGACCUACUCUGUAGUGAAUAAGAACACGUUUACAACUGAUAAAGACUUAAGAUAAAAAUUUAGAUUACAAUAUUUGAGAGUUUAUACUGUGCCAGAUAACCUAUAAUGUUAUAUAUAUGAUGUUUAUUUAACUUUUAUAGAGGACUUAAAACUAUAAAACUUUGAUCAAAUGAUACUAUCAGAUUUUUUAUCUAUGUUAGUAUCUGCAUCUGAUUCAGACAACCCCUAUAAUAGGUAGUGUCACAGUAACCUUGAAGUUCCGACUGAUUCAUGGCAAGAUAGAUUUUAAUAAUUUGUUUCGUUGAGCAUACGACAGUCCCUGUUAUAUAACGUUGGUUGCAUGUUGGGGGAACACAUGUUUAAUUCAUUUGAUAUCCUGUAAAGUGAAGGAAGAUACAGUUUUCAUCAAUGUUUGUUUACCCUACUCGGUUAGACUUAUCAACCUUAUUCGUAGAUCUGUUCACAUUAUUAUCUUUUACUGUUUUAAGUAGAUAUAUGAAGAUGUGGUAUGAGUGCCAAUGAGACAACUCCCCAUCUAAGUGUCUUUAUAUCUAUUAUAAUUUUAAUGCAAGUAGACUUACACUAUAAAAAAUGGUAAAUUCAUAACUAAACGUCAUUAACCCCCAUAAGUAGUCAACUGACAAUUUCAGCUAUAGCCCUUGUUUGAAGAUAUUUUCUUGCUAAUCAUGUUUGUUAUUUAAAGUUUCUAUCUGUAUAUCAUGCACUAUAAACCAAAGUUUGAACACAUACUCGACAAGGCUUAAAACAGUCUCAACCUGAUUUGGACCUGUAUUUAACCAGUUUGUAUUUUUAAUGUCGCUAACAAAACCCGACCAAUUGACUUGAAAGUCUGAACCGUACACAAACAAAGUCUAAACCUUACUUGACCAAUACACUUCUACAUUAUCAAUCUUUAAUUAUAUAAAUGUAAAUUUAUUCAACAGUACAUUACUUAUUUUACAUUGAUUUUUUUAUCCGACAAAUUACUUAUUUACAUAUUACUCUUUCUAAGGAAAACACAUAUUGAAAAAAUAGACUCUAAAUAAAUGAAGAACAGACAAAAUGAGGUCGAGGAUUGUCAAAGUCUAGUAUGGUUCAAACUUGAGUGUAGUAUAAUUCAGACUCUUUAUAACGGUCAAACAGGUUUAGUAUAGGUUCAGAGUGUUUAGUAUGCUUCAGACUAUAGGUAAGGAAAAUUCAGACCAAUAUGGGUAAGGAAAAUUAAGACCAAUAUGGGUAAGGAAAAUUCAGACCAAUUCGGGAUGUGCGAGUAAAUUCAGUACUGCACGUUUCAGAUGUUUUUCUAGUUUGUAGUGAUGGUUCUGAAGAUAAUAAACAAAUUAGCAAAAGUAGUCAUUAAUGAGUUGCAUCCUCAAUAUGUAGACAACUGACAAUUUCGGCCAUGUAGAAAUAUUGGUGAAUAUAUUGCCUUGUUGAUUAUUUUUGCUGUUUAUACUUUACACUUCCUAAAAAUAACAGGCAAAAGCUAUAGUAAAAAUUGGUAAAAUUGUCAUUCAAUGGCACUUAUUACUGUUAGAAGUCACCUGACGGUUAUGAUGUAAAGGGAUAGUGGUUAGAUCUCAUCAUUCUAAUCAGUUGCCCCCGUCAUAUUGUCGCUUUCUAUAGCGUUUUGUUAAGAGAGCAGAAACAAAUUGCACUUUACGAUUAUGAGUGUUGAGACAUGUAGUUUAUAUCUGCUGACACUUUAUCAAAAUAUAUAUAUGGAUUCUUUUUUCGAUUUUAAAAGUGUAUAGAAAUAGAUUGAACUAUACAGGAAAUGUGUUACUGGAUGUCAUUUUGCAUACAUAGCCCGAUGUCGUAAUCUGUUAUAGAAAUACAUUGAACUAUACAGGAAAUGUGUUACUGGAUGUCAUUUUGCAUACAUAGCCCGAUGUCGUAAUCUGUUAUAGAAAUAGAUUGAACUAUACAGGAAAUGUGUUACUGGAUGUCAUUCAUUUUGCAUACAUAGCCCGAUGUCGUAAUCUGUUAAGUGUUACAAAAUCUUUUCAGAAAAUGCGGCGCCAAAUUUGACUAAACUAUAAAAGGAAUAUUCAGUUUAUAUGGAUUCAGUUUCGAUUUUAAAAGUUUUGAGUAGUACACACAAUUAUCCGUUUUUAAAAUCAAAUUGCUCAGGAUUUUGGAAAUGUACCUUUGUAUAAUCAGAGUUCUGUCUGAGUAAUAUUGUUUAAGCCACAAUUCAUGUUUAACUAAGCAGUAAAUAAAGGUAAACUGUUAUAUUUACCUGCAAGAAAUAUGGAUAAAUUUGAAAUGUUAUCGGUCUAACUGAACAAACAAUAACCAGUGUUAAUAAGUGUGUUUACUGAUAACAAAUAUUUGGUAAACUUGAUCAUCACAAUUUAGGUAUACAGAUGAUAUGAAAAUGACUCUUGUGUUUCAAUUUUUUUCCCAUUUUUUUUUUUAAAGUAAUUAUUCCCCAAUAGUUACAUUGAAUGGAUCCCCAAAACAUGAGAAAGAAUGUCAUAUGACAUUUCUGAAUGCUUAAUAUUUUGCUGUCUUGUUGACCAACAUCCCCUUAAAUAGACUUACGAAAAACCAAGAAGUCUAGUAUCAACAAAAAUACAAUUUGGUACCAACGAAAAUAUUAAUUCACAGAAUUCAGAUUUGGUGUAUUUUUUAUUUCAGUAUUGAAUUCAUACAGUGAAAAACUGUAAUAUUUUUUUUUGUAUCGUUAUUUAAAGUAAGAGUAAAUCUUUUAAUGUUUAACAAUCUGUGCUUCCGUUCGUCUGUUGUUUUGAUUAUUUAAACGGUCGCCCAUCUGUUCGUCCGUCUGUCCGUUCAUUCGUCCGUCUGUCCCGCUUCUUGUUGAAGUUUUUGGUUAACAUUGUUGGUCAAGGUCGUUUUUGACAUAAACACAAGCAAGCUAUUACGGGCCCCAAAACAAUUAGUGAAAACAUAUUCAAACGGGAAAAACCAACAGUCAAAUCUAUAUAAAGAAACGAGAAACACCUAUAAACCACAUCAACAAACGACAACAACUGAACAUCAAAUUCAUGACUUAUGACAGGUGCAAACAAAUGAAGUGGGUUUAAACGUUUUAAUAGGUACCAGCAUUUACCCUUAUUUAAAAUAAUAGUGUAACAUCAUAACCAAAAAUGACACACUACAACAUAUUAAUUAAAAUGGCGGAAUUCAAGCAAAAGACAUAUAUAAAACACAAGUGAACAUACACUACACGAAUAAAUUUGAUCGUUGACACAAUGUAAAUGCAAAAUCAAUAUAAAAAUCUGUUAGAUGUUUAAUUUUUUGAGAAAAAAAAACUAUAAACCUGAAAUGUCGCCAAAUAGAAUAAGAAUAAUAAUAGACACAGUUAAAUGACAGUAAUUGGUUGUAAGGUAUACAGUACAUAUAUAGAGAACGGAAAUAUGUUUUACAAAAUACAUAUUUAUGUUCUUCAUAAUACUAGAACAAAAGUGAAAAUUUAUAGUUCUGCACUUAAGCUUGUUAGUACAGCUAUCUAUAAUACCCCAAUAAAAGUGAAAAUGAGUUUUAGGCAAAUACGUUGUACUCAGUACAUGCAAAACUGGCAACAAACAUUACUUCAAAAUUGACUUAUAAUUUAGUUUAAACAAUGUCAGGUUUUGAAUGAAAUAACAUCUAUAAAUAGGAAUAUAAAUCAUUACAAAAUAGACUAACAACUGAAGAUAGACAUGUUUAAUGAUAGAACAGCAUUAGAAUCGUAAAAAUUUGAGAAAGUUCUGGAUAUCUAAUCCCAAGCUAAGUGACCUAAGAUAAAAAAAAAUCUUCAUCUCUGCUGGACUGUUUCACGUUGUGCUUAGCAUUUGUAACUUGAUAAGCAAUUCAUAUAUUAAAGGAAUUUGUAAUGUGGGACCGUUAAAACAAGGCUCUGAUCUUUGACUGGAAAACAUAUAGUGAAGACAUGGAAGGUUUAGCAAAUCUCCAAUAUCAAUACUGGUCUAAAUUGGAUACGNNNNNNNNNNNNNNNNNNNNNNNNNNNNNNNNNNNNNNNNNNNNNNNNNNNNNNNNNNNNNNNNNNNNNNNNNNNNNNNNNNNNNNNNNNNNNNNNNNNNNNNNNNNNNNNNNNNNNNNNNNNNNNNNNNNNNNNNNNNNNNNNNNNNNNNNNNNNNNNNNNNNNNNNNNNNNNNNNNNNNNNNNNNNNNNNNNNNNNNNNNNNNNNNNNNNNNNNNNNNNNNNNNNNNNNNNNNNNNNNNNNNNNNNNNNNNNNNNNNNNNNNNNNNNNNNNNNNNNNNNNNNNNNNNNNNNNNNNNNNNNNNNNNNNNNNNNNNNNNNNNNNNNNNNNNNNNNNNNNNNNNNNNNNNNNNNNNNNNNNNNNNNNNNNNNNNNNNNNNNNNNNNNNNNNNNNNNNNNNNNNNNNNNNNNNNNNNNNNNNNNNNNNNNNNNNNNNNNNNNNNNNNNNNNNNNNNNNNNNNNNNNNNNNNNNNNNNNNNNNNNNNNNNNNNNNNNNNNNNNNNNNNNNNNNNNNNNNNNNNNNNNNNNNNNNNNNNNNNNNNNNNNNNNNNNNNNNNNNNNNNNNNNNNNNNNNNNNNNNNNNNNNNNNNNNNNNNNNNNNNNNNNNNNNNNNNNNNNNNNNNNNNNNNNNNNNNNNNNNNNNNNNNNNNNNNNNNNNNNNNNNNNNNNNNNNNNNNNNNNNNNNNNNNNNNNNNNNNNNNNNNNNNNNNNNNNNNNNNNNNNNNNNNNNNNNNNNNNNNNNNNNNNNNNNNNNNNNNNNNNNNNNNNNNNNNNNNNNNNNNNNNNNNNNNNNNNNNNNNNNNNNNNNNNNNNNNNNNNNNNNNNNNNNNNNNNNNNNNNNNNNNNNNNNNNNNNNNNNNNNNNNNNNNNNNNNNNNNNNNNNNNNNNNNNNNNNNNNNNNNNNNNNNNNNNNNNNNNNNNNNNNNNNNNNNNNNNNNNNNNNNNNNNNNNNNNNNNNNNNNNNNNNNNNNNNNNNNNNNNNNNNNNNNNNNNNNNNNNNNNNNNNNNNNNNNNNNNNNNNNNNNNNNNNNNNNNNNNNNNNNNNNNNNNNNNNNNNNNNNNNNNNNNNNNNNNNNNNNNNNNNNNNNNNNNNNNNNNNNNNNNNNNNNNNNNNNNNNNNNNNNNNNNNNNNNNNNNNNNNNNNNNNNNNNNNNNNNNNNNNNNNNNNNNNNNNNNNNNNNNNNNNNNNNNNNNNNNNNNNNNNNNNNNNNNNNNNNNNNNNNNNNNNNNNNNNNNNNNNNNNNNNNNNNNNNNNNNNNNNNNNNNNNNNNNNNNNNNNNNNNNNNNNNNNNNNNNNNNNNNNNNNNNNNNNNNNNNNNNNNNNNNNNNNNNNNNNNNNNNNNNNNNNNNNNNNNNNNNNNNNNNNNNNNNNNNNNNNNNNNNNNNNNNNNNNNNNNNNNNNNNNNNNNNNNNNNNNNNNNNNNNNNNNNNNNNNNNNNNNNNNNNNNNNNNNNNNNNNNNNNNNNNNNNNNNNNNNNNNNNNNNNNNNNNNNNNNNNNNNNNNNNNNNNNNNNNNNNNNNNNNNNNNNNNNNNNNNNNNNNNNNNNNNNNNNNNNNNNNNNNNNNNNNNNNNNNNNNNNNNNNNNNNNNNNNNNNNNNNNNNNNNNNNNNNNNNNNNNNNNNNNNNNNNNNNNNNNNNNNNNNNNNNNNNNNNNNNNNNNNNNNNNNNNNNNNNNNNNNNNNNNNNNNNNNNNNNNNNNNNNNNNNNNNNNNNNNNNNNNNNNNNNNNNNNNNNNNNNNNNNNNNNNNNNNNNNNNNNNNNNNNNNNNNNNNNNNNNNNNNNNNNNNNNNNNNNNNNNNNNNNNNNNNNNNNNNNNNNNNNNNNNNNNNNNNNNNNNNNNNNNNNNNNNNNNNNNNNNNNNNNNNNNNNNNNNNNNNNNNNNNNNNNNNNNNNNNNNNNNNNNNNNNNNNNNNNNNNNNNNNNNNNNNNNNNNNNNNNNNNNNNNNNNNNNNNNNNNNNNNNNNNNNNNNNNNNNNNNNNNNNNNNNNNNNNNNNNNNNNNNNNNNNNNNNNNNNNNNNNNNNNNNNNNNNNNNNNNNNNNNNNNNNNNNNNNNNNNNNNNNNNNNNNNNNNNNNNNNNNNNNNNNNNNNNNNNNNNNNNNNNNNNNNNNNNNNNNNNNNNNNNNNNNNNNNNNNNNNNNNNNNNNNNNNNNNNNNNNNNNNNNNNNNNNNNNNNNNNNNNNNNNNNNNNNNNACUUAAAUUGUUUUUACGUUCCAUAAUUAAUCUUUAUCCAAAAAAUCUUCUGGUACUCUAAUUUUAAAAGGGAGUUUACUGAUUCAAUAUUUUAAUAAUGUACAAAUUCUGAAAACAAUAUUCGUAAGGCCAAAUAAAAUAGUGUUUGGUUCCAGUUACAUCUAAAAAAUAAACCAGAUGCCCGCAGGGCGUAGCUUUAUACGACCACAGAGGUUGAACCUGAACAUUUGGGGCAAGUAUGGACACAACAUUCAAGCUGGAUUCAGCUAAAUUUGGAUUGUGUUAAAUAGUUGACACAGCAUAGUUCUGACACAGAAUGAAUGUGUUUCUAAUGAACUUAAAAUUUUUGUUUUCUCUUGAGCAAUUCACUAUGCUGUUGAAUAUUAUCCUCUCAAAAAAAUGUUUGAAGAAAUUUUCUUUUUUAUUUAUGAAAUUUCAAAAUGAGAAACCAGGUGCUCCGCAGGGCGCAGCUUUAUACGACCGCAGAGGUCGAACCCUGAACAGUUGGGCAAGUAUGGACAAAACAUUCUAGCGUGAUACAGCUCUGAAUUUGGAUUGUGAUCAAAUUUUUGACAUAACAUGGUUUUUUUUACACAAAACAAAUGUCAAGAUUUUACAAAUUUACAAUUAAAGAUUUCUUCUUCAACUUUUUAAAUCAAAAUUAAAUAGUUGACACAGCAUAGGUUCUGACACAGAAUGAAUGUGGUCUAAUGAACUUAAAAGUUUUUUUUGCCUUUUUAGCAAUUCACUAUGCUGUUGAAUAUUAAUCCUCUCAAAAAAAUGUUUGAAGAAAUUUUUUUUUAUUUAUAAAUCUGAAAUGAGAAAAAUUUAACCCCCCCCCCCCUUUUUUUCACAUCCCCGUUUCCCUUUUUCCAAAACUGAUAUCAAUUCAAAUUUCUAAUGGAGUUUGCAACAAUAACUACUCUUUUAAAUACAUCAUAAAAUAUUAAAAUGUAAAAUAAAGUGCUUGUUAUCACUGAAUGGUAAAGAUUGGUUGGUAGUAAAAGUGAAUAUACAUUGUUUUUGUAUAAAACAAUAAAAAAAACUUCAUCAGCAACAUUUUAUAUUGGCAAAUUUCCAAUGAAGUUAUUUACAUAAAGUUAUUGGCAAAUAAAAAUAGAAAAUGACAUCAUAGUCAUGUCUGGCAAAUGUCCAACAUACAUUACCUAAAAACAUUUUAGAUAAGAUAAGGAAAUAAGAUGUAAAAAAAACUGCUUGUUAUCACUGAAUGUAAAGAUUAUUUCAAUUUAUCUGUUGGUAGUAAAAAGUGAAUAUACAUUGUAUAUUGUAUAUAACCAAAGAUUUAAGUUGAUUUGGACAAAGAAAGAUAACUCCAAUUAAAAACAAAUAUUGCUAUUUCACAAUAUUGUGCAAUUAGAUAUUUCUUGCUUACUAUUCUGGACAAAGAAAGAUAACUCUAAUUAAAAAAAAUAUUGCUAUUUCACAAUACUGUGCAAUUAUAUAUUUCUUGCCAUUGUGCAAUACUGUGCAAUUGAAAAGACUUGCUAUUGCACAAUACUUAAUAUAAUAUUUUAGAUCCUGAUUUGGACCAACUUUGAAAACUGGCCCAUAAUAAAAAAUCUAAGUACAUUUUUGGAUUCAGCAUAUCAAAGAACCCCAAGAUUUCAAUUUUUGUUAAAAUCAGACUAAGUUUAAUUUUGGACAAACGGGACAAAAAGUUAAGAAUCUACAUACACAGUCAUGACAGUUAGCUUCGGCAUAUCAAAGAACCCCAAUUAUUCAAUUUUGAUGAAAUCAAACAAAGUUUAAUUUUGGACCCUUUGGGGCCCUUAUUCUGUUGGGACCAAAACUCCCAAAAUCAAUACCAACCUUCCUGUUAUGGUCAUAAACCUUAUGUUUAAAUUUCAAUAGUUCUAUUUACUUAUACUAACUAUGGUGCGAAAACCAAGAAAAAUGCUUAUUUGGGUCCUUUUUGGCCCUAAUUCCUAAACUGUUGGGACCUAAACUCCCAAAAUCAAUACCAACCUUCCUUUGUAGUCAUUAAACAUUGUGUUUAAAUUUCAUUGAAUUUCUAUUUACUUAAACUAAAGUUAUUGUGGAAAACCAAGAAUAAUGCUUAUUUGGGCCCUUUUUUGGCCCCUAAUUCCUAAACUGUUGAACCAAAACUCCCAAAAUCAAUCCAACCGUUCUUUUGUGGUCAUAAAAACCUUGUGUCAAAAUUUCAUAGAUUUCUAUUAACUUAAACUCAAGUUAUAGUGCGAAAACCAAGAAAAUGCUUAUUUGGGCCCUUUUUGGCCCCUAAUUCCUAAAAUGUUGGGACCAAAACUCCCAAAAUCAAUACCAACCUUCCUUUUGUGGUCAUAAACCUUGUGUUAAAAUUUCAUAGAUUUCCAUUCACUUUUACUAAAGUUAGAGUGCGAAAACUAAAAGUAUUCGGACGACGACACGACGAAGACGACGACGCCAACGUGAUAGCAAUAUACGACGAAAAUUUUUUCAAAUUUUGCGGUCGUAUAAAAAGUUAGGGUACAUGUAGGUACAUUUUUAGGUCAUGUCUGUAGGGAUUUUUUAUAUUUUGUUUUUACAUAGAGUCUAUGGGACUGACAUUCUGACUUUAACAGCCCUUAAUGAAAUAUGACAAAAAAAUUAAGGGUAGGCUAUUAUUGAGACUAAAAAGUAGGGUAGGUACGUACAAAUGUAGGGUAAUUGGAACCACACAUAUAAAUUUUUAUGUGGCAUAAUAGUAGGUUAGUAAUCCACAUUAUGGCAAAUGUAAACUAACAUCAUGCAUACAAUUUUGAUAGGAAUGUGUAGAAGUAUUAAUGUAUGUAAAUAGUUAUCAAAGGUACCAGGAUUAUAAUUUAGUACGCCAGACGCACAACUUACCUUUGUAGCAUUUUGAACAAAGUCCCAUGGUCUUUGCUGAUCUAAAAAAGAAAAGAAAAACAUUAAAUAUGCUACAAUAAUGAUUUAAACAGAAUGCAGGAUUCACACUUUACCUCAGAAUCAUAGGGAGAAAUGACUUCACUUUUAGAAACUGAUAGGGAGAAGUGGCGGGAUUGGAAAGCAUCUAGGCAGAUUCAAAAAUGGAUAAAAAAUUUAGUUGAUUAAAUAGGGAAUCACUGAAGCAUGACUGGAGUGGUCCACCUUAGGUCAGACAGCAGGCCCCCAUUAUGAAAAGUUCUGGAUCCGCCACUGGAAAGGGAAGUACUUGUUCAUAAAUGUUGUCAGGCCAAAAAAAUGUAUAUCUGUUUAAGGUUACAUCAUCAAAAUAAAUAGGGUAGGUUGGUCUAUUAUUUUUUAUCCAUUUUAUUUUUUGCACCAUGAUUUGGAGUUGUGUUGUCCAUGGGCUGAGUUUACCCGUAUUUUUAAUGAUUGGACUAUUCCCCUUGGUUAUUGGUUGGAAGAAAAUGGCGGUCAAGUUUUUAUUUCAUUACACAAGGUUGCAUGUUUCCUUAAAACAGCUGUCAUAUUGGCGAUAAUGAACAUUGGGAUGUAUCAGGCAAUAGACAACAUUCGAGUUCGAUGCAUUUCCGUCAAAAACUUCAGUUUUAGUGAAAGUCACUUGUGCGUUUAGGUGCGUUGUGACUUCCGUUUCAAUGUUGAGCGAGUGGUUGAAAAACUAUAAAGCUAUAUUGUACGAAUUAUUCAGCAAAUUAAAUUCUCAUAAUUGACAAUCUGCACCGCUGUCAUUAGGGAAUUGUGAUUAAGUACCUACUGAACAACCUUUAUUUCAAGUUUAUCCUGCACAAUGACGAUCACAAAGACGCUUGAUGAACGUUUAUAGAGCAGGGCUACAGGAGAGCCCCUUUAUCUGGAUAAUGACGUCACAAAGGCGCGUAUAAUUGAUGAGUUUUUUCCGGUGACGGAUGAACUCUAAACAUGCUAAAGUGGUCUAUUGAUUAAAUUUAUUGGCAACCCUUACAUCGCCUUUGACACAAGUUUUAUUAGUUAUUCACUUUACAAUGGAAAUAAAAUGGCUAAGGGUCAUCGCUCAAAUUAGGGUAGGUCGGGUAACCAUAACAGACAUAAAUCUUUUUUGACCUCAGCUAUAUGCCAGUCUUGUAUCUUUAGUUAUCAUAGUAAGAAUACUGAUUUUCGUCAUAGCUGAUCUGCAUCCCAUGAAUCUCGCACAAAUAUUUUAAUAUCAGGCGGACAAAGAAAAUUCAUGUCUAUCUGGAUAAUGACGUCACAAAGGCACGUAUAAAUGAUGAGUUUUUUCCGGUGACGGAUGAACUCUAAAGUGGUCUAUUGAUUAAAUGUAUUGGCAACCCUUACAUCGCCUUUUGACACAAGUUCUAUUAAUUAUUCACUUUACAAUGGAAAUAAAAUGGCUAAGGGUCAUCGCUCAAAUUAGGGUAGGUCGGGUAACCAUAAACAGACAUAAAUCUUUUUUUGACCUCAGCUAUAUGCCAGUCUUGUAUCUUUAGUUAUCAUAGUAAGAAUACUGAUUUUCGUCAUAGCUGAUCUGCAUCCCAUGAAUCUCGCACAAAUAUUUUGAUGUCAGGCGGACAAAGAAAAUUCAUGAAAAUAAAUAUUAUAUGUUUGACAAGAGAUUUCAUAAGGAAUAUCAGGGCUCACACUACUUCAGAAUUAUAGGGAGAAGUGACUUCUCUUUUUGAAACUGAUAGGGAGAAGUGGUGAGAUUUGAAAGAGAAGUGCUCAUUCGCGCGGUGCGAUACAAUGUUUGGAUUUUACAAUAGUAUAAAGGGCCAUAUGUAAAUAAUGUUCUUUUUAUAUUGUUCAAUUCAUAUCUGAGUAAAAGAAUUACAAUUAAAGUAACAUUUGAAAUUAAAAGUUGUUUAAGUUUUACUAAGGUUCUUGGGAGAAACUACCAACUAAAUAUCUAGCACUAAAAAAAAAAAAAUAUUUUAAAAAAUGUAAAGAAUUUAUAAUAUAUCAAUUACAAUUUAAUUAAAAAUUAUCUUGUGUAUGACAUUCAGUGUUUCUCAUAAAAAAAAUAUAAAAGUUAUUAAGCUGGGCCAGAAUAUAUUGAUAUUAGUAUAAUAGUCUCAGAGUUAAGCAACUUUAAUCAAUAGUUUGAAACAAUCCAUAAAAAAUAUAGGGAAUUAUAUACACCAAUCAAUUAGAUGUUACCAAAAGUCUCUUAAUGCGUGUGGAAUGCGUAAUUUUUCGCUUUGGAAUCAAUAUUCUUCUGUCAGCUGUUCCAUCUGUGCGUCCGUAGUAAUUAUUGUAAAAGUACGGAUUUCGGUCAUAGCUGAUCCGGUUCAGAUCCGGAGUUUAGAAAUCGGUCAAUGGCGGACGAAUGCAAGAAAAUUUAUAAAAAUAAACGAUGUUUGACAAGUUAUUUGGAAAGGAACAUGACGUUUUUAAUGCAAUAAAUGGAUUAAAAAUUUACUGGAGGCAACUUUUAUCACGUUUAAAUGAAGUAACAAACUUAUGUUGCCGCCGAAUUUGAGGUUGAUGUACGUUUUCGAGUAACAAGCACCGGAACUUGCAGAAAUGCACGAAGUGAUAAAAAGUUGUAUUUUUAUGAAAUAACCUGCUACACACUACGAAGACAAUGCUUCAACCUCUUUUCUAAAGAUAAUGAAUCGUUUAUGUCUGAAUUUCUUUAAUUAUCAAUAAAAAAUUGAUGUUUCAUCAACUUCAAGAACUUGGUAAAAAUUGAAAAUGUCCGAUGACGGAAGCGACUGAAAGCGACUAUCGUCAAGAACAGGGCGACUUGUUUUCGCUUUUGGGGGUCGGGGAAAGCGAAGUGACGGUCGGGAAGGCGACUUCUUCGCCCAAGUCGCCUGGUAGCGUGAGCCCUGGAAUAUCCGAAUAUGACGAUUCUAAUAAAUGGAUGAAACAUUAACGAAAGGCAAUUUACAUCAAGUUCUAACGAAAUAACAAACUUAUUUUGCUCAAAUCAAAAUGUUUUGAUGUACACUCUCAAGAAACAAGUACCUUUUCUCAUGUGUCUUAACAAAGUUUUGCAAACGGCUUGAAACGCUCAUUUGUCCAGAUAAAAUUUCACGUCUGGGGCAUGGGACUAUAGUGGCCAACAGGGCAGACUGUAAUAUUAUGGAAUAUUUCUUCUGUUUUGAAGUCAGAUUAAAUGUAUAAAGGGACUUUCAUUGAAUGACAACUAGUAUGACAAUGCAAAUUUUAGCAACCUCCAACAUGUCCAAGCGACCAUAACCAAUAAGUUCUUUUUCAUUGACCUUAAUAUGCUGAAACGAGCAUUAUUUAUCAAGCUGAACCAUUUUGCUUGUCACUUCAUGUCCCAACAAAGCAUAUAUAAUAUUGUAAUAUUAUGCUCAUAAAUAGCUAAUCACAAUCUUCUAUAAUCUAAAUUAUCAAGAUAAUUGCAAUUUAAAAUCACUUUUAAGUUUCAAUUGUCUCUUAUAGGGCCCAUAGAAUUGUUACCCAUUAACAUUACGGUGAGAAUCAAUUGUAUUUGAACAAAUGGGAAUAAUCAUGCUGUUAUCUGCUAAAGAUUUACAGAUGUUGACAUGCGAUGAUGCGUCAACACUUGUCAACAAAUGAACUGGUCUGAACAAUUAAUGAAAGAAAAAUCGGUUUAUUUCCCACCGAUCUUCCUUAUUCUUACCCGUAAAACCCACACGGACAUAAUAGCUGGUCACUACUCUUUGAAUCCUCCAUUUUUGCAAUGAAACUGUAGUUUCCAGGGCAAAAUAGAUGGUUCCUGGCGACUGACGGAUUGACAAUCGCCAGCGAAUAAUUCGACCUGCCAAUAGAGGGCGUCCUGAGUGCUUCCGGGGUCAAAAGGCAACAUACAAGUAAACUUAUCAAAUAGAGUUAUCUUUCUUUGAACAAAACCCUUAUAAAAAAUUGAAAACAACACGUUAAAUAUUUUCAUGCGUCCGAAGCGCUUUUCUGGAGUUACCUUCAUCAGGAACGCUCAAAGCCAAACAUUUGAAAUCAGAAGAAUGUAUAAGUACCGAAACAGUUGAAGAGCUAUAUGACAAAAAUACCUAAAAGAAAUAGUUAAAUUCAUCUGUGGUCAACUUUGAAGGACUGAGUUAAAACCUUAUAUAUAGUUUCUUUAUAAUUUCAAAAAAAAUAAACGAACAUUUUAGGAAGUUUGUUAAUUUAUAAAUCAUGUCAGUAACGAAGUACUGAAUACUAAUCUAAUGACUUCUGCUGCUGUUAUCAGAGCUGGAAUCGUCUGGCCCUGUGUUCUGUUUAUUGUUUGCUUUUGUUUUAUUUAUUUGCUUAGCUUAUCAGUGUCAGUAUGCCAGUUAAAGCAAAAUUUGCUUUUCAUUUCUUUUAGCUUGCUUGCUUUGAUUUAUGCAUGUUUGCUUUGCUAUUAUAUUAUGCAUUUGUUUUAUUUGUAUGUGUAGUCUGUCAAAUGUGCCCCGAUAAUUUGUAAUUUUUCAUUUGUUUUAAAUAUCAAGUCGGUUAAUUUUAAGAGCUCUACAGAGCUCAUGUACCUUGUUGACAUGUACAUAUCAUGCCCGACUAUAAAUAAAAUUUUCUUACUUACUUAGUAAGUCUUACUACUUACUUACUUACUUACUUACUUACUUACUUACUUACUUACUUACUUACUUACUUACUUACUUACUUACUUACUUACUUACUUACUUACUUACUUACUUACUUACUUACUUGGGGACUGAUAGUCCACCAGUAGAGCCGGUAUCGAUCGACCCAGUGAUAAUAAGUUCUUUAUUUAAAUUUAUUCAAACAUACAUUCAAAUGGCGAUAAUUGAUAAAGCUUGAUUAAGUUUUCAUAUUCUUACACAAUAAACAUGAUAAAAGAAAGAAAACAAAUUAUUUACUUGCAUAGAAUUUACAAGAAAAUGAUUAUAACAAUGUUUCUUGAAUAGUUCCACAUUACGGCAAGUUUUAGAUGUUGCAGAAUAAUGAACAGAUUUUUUUUAUAAAAAAAAUGUAUUUGGUCUUGGAACAAAUAUAUCAUUAUUAGAGACAGAUUGUAAGUUGUGGUGUUGAACAUCAUCAACAUUUAGCAUUGCAAGUCAUCAGGUAUUAUUCCAUUUACAAUUUAAACAUAAGAAUUGAUUGUUGAUAUUUUAUUCUUUUAUUUCCUUUAAGAAGAGACUAGUCCGACAGAUAUCCAAUCUAUUUGUCUAUAGGAUUUGGCUACUUCGAAAGGAGGGUAGUAUACCUUACAUAAUAAUGCAUAUGACUUCACGAUUCAGCUAGCAAGCAAGCUAACCAAAGAUAUUAUACCGUUACCUACACACUCAUUGCAGUCGGCUGUAACGAAAACGAAAGGACACUGUUAGAGUUGCCGUCAACCAUGUCAACUGACAUAAUAUAUACUAAUAUUCACAGCUUUUAACAAGUAUAUAUCCGACUGUAGGUCAUGUUAAGUUAUGUAAUAAACAGGGAAGACAUAACAUGACGAAAACAACAACAACCAGCUACUUAUUUGAGGAAAUCGAUGACCGAUAUAAUAUGAUGAACAACAAAGUUUUAAUCUGACUAUAGAAUAUGAUGUUCCUUGUUAGUGGCAAAUACUUUUGUCGUGUUUACCAUGUUUACUGAGAUAUUAUUUAACUAGUGUUAGAAAUUAUUGCAUAUUGAUGCAAAUAGUGAUGUAAAGGUACCAAUUGGAGAUUCAAAUUCUCUUUUUCUGUUACUCUUUUUUAGAAGUCAACCCUUACUGUAUCUGAUUUUUCGUUUUCUUAAUUCAUAUUUAACGAAAAUUCAUAAAACAUUUUAAAGAUUACUUUUCGAAACAUGCCUUUAUGAAGUUGCAUUAAAGUUAAAAUUAUAAUAAUUAAAAUUGGUUUCUUUUAUUAUUUAUCGACUUGAAAUGUUUUUUUACAACUUUUCAAUCUCAAUUUUCUUAUCACAUGAAGAUAAAAACAAUAACAAAAAAAAACUAGUUUAGGUUAGAGUAAAGAAGGAUUUCAUGAAAUAGGGGAUCCUUAAACCGGCGGUCGCAGUGUUUUUUUUUCGCAUGGGAGUUUAUUCUAGAUCAUUCUAAGUGUUGAAUUUUUGGCAAAAGAAUGAGAAUGGAAAAACGUCUUUGUUUCAUUGAAGUUAUCCUUAUGUUAAUGAUGGGUUGAUCUUGUUUUAGACUGGCAUAUUCAAAAAUAUAUAUGGUGAUGGUAUGGCAAUUUAUAACUUCAUGAUACAUGUAGUUUUUUAGUGUUCGUUCUCUAAAGGUUAGUCAGUUGAUAUACAAUUAUUGAAUUUUGAUGAGAUUGAUACAACGAUGAUUUAAUCCCAGACAUAUAUAUUAUAAGUCAAAAAUUGUUUUAUUUAAGAAGAUGAAUUAUUUAUUAUAGUGCAACCUGAAAAUACAUAUAAAUAUAUGUUUUAAAAUAUAAAAUAAUCAGCCAGUCAAAUAGGUUUAUGAUGCACUGUAAUAAUAGUCUAUUCUGAGUCAUGAAAAUGAUUUUUUUUUUAAAUCAAAAUUUAACUUGGUUUGUUUCUAACAUGAAAGAAAAAUUUAAAGCAUUUUUAACUUGAACAGAUGUUGUAUAACAGGUUUGGUUAUUUAUAUACACACUAUGUAGAUUGAUUUUUUUUAAUUGAACAGUCAGUAAAAAAUUUUGCCACUGUUUUACUCUUAUUACUAUUUAGAAGUUCUUUUAGUUUAUCAAUUGAUGAAAGGUCCGGGAAGUCGUUGGUGAUGUAAAGUUUGUAUUCUUAACGGAUAUUGCAAUUUAUGUCUUCUACUUCAUGUUAUAUUACUUUUAUAACCAUCUCUAAUUCUCUGGUAUGAGAUCAUGGCAAGAUAUCUAACUCGUCCUUUUUUAUACUAUCUUCAGUAUAUUUUCGACUUUGCAGUUGUUAAGGUUAAUAUACAGUUGAAUUAGUAAAUACAUAUUCGAAAACAAAUUAGCAACAAGAAAAAAGAAUAAGAAGAAAGACUAGAAUGUGAAAGCCGUUAGAAAUCUUCGUUAUUGACGUCGAUUAGGAGAACAACUGUUUAUAGGUAGACGUUAUCUCUUACAUAUCUUAGACAGGUGCCACAUGUAGAGCAGAAACUGCUUACCCUUCUGGAGCAUACGAGAUCACCCCCAGGUUUGGGUGGGUUUCGUGUUGCCAAGUCAAGUUUUCUAUGUAAUAUUUUGUGUACUGUCUGCUUGUCUUUUUAGAUUUUAGCCAUGGCAUUAAUUUAUCAGUUUAUUUUCGAUUUAUAAGUUUAAAUGUCCAUUUGGUAUCUUCCGCCUCUCUUUGAUAUUAACCUCUCAUAUCUUUUUUGGCGGUGAAUAUAAUGUUUUAUCAAAGAAGAUCCAUUAUUAUUAAUUCAUAGAUUUACUGUUUACAAAAUUUUUGAAUUUUUGAAAUACUAAGGCUUUUCUACCUCAGGAAUAGAUUACCUUAGCUGUUUGGCAAAUCUUUGAGAUAUGUUGGUCCUAAAUGCUCUUCAAAUUCGUACUUUAUUUGGCCUUUUAACUUUUUUGGAUCGAGCGUCACUGAUGAGUCUUUUGUAGACAAAACGCGCGUCUGGCGUAAAUACAAAAUUUAAUCCUGGUAUCUAUGAUGAGUUUAUUUUGUUAUUACAAAAAUUGAAAACUUUUUGGUUGUACAUUGGUAUCACGUUGGCAUCAUCGUCUUCAUCCAAAGACAUUCGGUUUUCGCACUCUAACUUCAGUAAAAGUAAAAUGGAAAUAUAUGAAAUUUAGACACAAGAUUUAUGACCAUGAAAGGAAGGGUGGGAUUGAUUUGGGGUAUUUUGGUCUCAACAGUUUAGGAAUAAGGGGCCAAAUUAACAUUGUUCUUGGUUUUUGCUCUAUAACUUAAGUUGGUUAACAGAAAUCUAUGAUAUUUUAACAUAAGGUCUAUGGCCACAUAAGGAGGGUUGGGAUAGAUUUUGGUAAUUUUAGUUCCAACAGUGUAGGAUUUAGGGGCCAAAAAACAGGCCCCAAAUAAGCAUUUUUCCUUGGUUUUUGAAACAAUAACUUUAGUAUAAGUUAAUUGAAAAUCUAUAAAGGUUUAUGACCACAAAAGGUAGGUUUGGAUUAAUUUUGGUCCCAAGGAAUAAGGGGCCAAAAUUAAACUUUGUUUGAUUUCAUCAAAAAAAUGAAAUACGGUAUUGUGCUUCUUUGAUAUGCCAAAUCUAACCAUGUCCAAAUUCUUAAUUUUAGGUCCUGUUUUCUAAUUGGUCUACAUUAAAGUCCAAAGGGUCCAAAAUUAAAAUAAGCUUGAUUUUAAUAAAAAUUGAAUUCUUGGGGUUCUUUGAUAUGGUGAGUCUUAACAUGUACUUAGAUUUUUGAUUAUGGGCCCAGUUUUCAUGUUGGUCCAAAUCGGGGUCAAAAAUUAUUAUACUAACUGAGUAUUGUUGCAAUAGCAAAAGAAAUUUUCAAUUGCGCAGUAUUCUGCAAUAGCAAGAAAUCUUCAAUUGCACAGUAUUGUUCAAUACCAAGAAAUUUUCAAUUGCACAGUAUUGCACAAUAGCAAGAAAUCUCCAAUUGCACAGUAUUGUGCAAUAGCAAGAAAUUUUAAUUGCACAGUAUUGCACAAUAGCAAGAAAUAUUCAAUUGCACAGGAUUGUCCCUUUUUCAAAUUGGUUUACAUUAAGAUCCAAAGGGUCAAAAUUGAACUUUGUUUCAUUUCAACAAAAAUUGAAUUCUUAGGAUUCAAACGCAUUGAUCUCAGGAAUUUCUUCACUGUCGUUCCCUCAAUAACUGCAUUAAACAGUUUCUAAUCAUUAUUCAUUCGAAACCAUUUUAUUAUACCAAUGUCUCACACACAACAUAAUAUAGUAUACUGUUGUCUAUUAGUCCAUCAUCCACACUUCAGACAAUAACUAGAAAACACUUCCCCCUACUUUCAAGAAAAUUUGUUGAAAUGUUUAUAUCUAUUGACAUAAGCUCCACAUCGAUUUUAUAAAUUUUAGAAUUUUCAUUAUCAUGUUAUGAAGAGAGAUUUUAUCCUUAAAAAAGAGAGAAUUUUCCAAUUUUGAACAAUAACACAAAAAUGCAUCCAUCACCUUUAAUUAAACUUUGGUGAAUUGUUUACACCAUUGACCUAAGGUCCCUUUUGAUUGUAAUAAAUUUCAGAUUAUACAUUUCUGUGUUAUGAAUUUUUAUAUAUGCUAAAAAAAAGAAGGGAUUUUAUAGUUUUUGGACACCUUUAAGUGCAGGAGUUUUCUGGCUACAUUGAAAACCCAUUGGAGGCCUUCAGCUGUUGUCUACUCUAUGGUUGGGUUGUUGUCACUUUGACACUUUCCUCAUUUCCCAUCUCAAUUAUUCACAUAAACACUUCCACAUCAUUUUAUAAAACUUGGGUGAAUUGUCUAUGUCUGUUGACUUCAGCUACAUUCCAAAAUUUUAAAACAAGAUUAACAACUACAGGUCCCCAAAUAGCCUUCAACAAUGACAAAAGCUCAUACAGCACAGUCAGCUAUAAAAGACCUUAAAAUGACAAAUAUAAAAACACUGUAAAUGAGAAAAACAAAUAGACUAAUAAUUGUCACAAAACAAAAUAUAGUUCAACCUUAAGCAAGCUUAAAAGAAUCAAGACAUAUCAUGCGCUUACAGUGCAGCUAUUUAUUAACAAACUCCAUAUUCAAACACUCAAACAACUAAUUCACAGAGAGGGUGGAAGUUGAAGCCCCCCUUUUUUUUAUCAGUCAAUGAUUUGAAUGAAGACAUGUACACAAACUACAAUUUUAAUACACAUUUCCAGUCUGCUUUCUAUACAUUUGUAACGACCUUUUAACCCCACUGACAAUUUGCGUCUGUUGUCCAUACUUGUUUUGUUAUUAACAUAUGUUUUUGAUGUUAUUGACCACGACAUAAUUUCCACUAUAAUUCAAUAUAAUGACACAUAAUUAUAUUUUAUAUACAAGUUCACGAAGUACUUCUUUUGUUAUUCACAGAGAAACAGUUAAAUAACACAUAUGUUUCAGAGUCUAUCUGUGUCAUUCUUCAUUCAUGUACCAACACUACAUAUUCAAUGCUAAAUGCAUUUGCAAAUGUACGAAGCAAGAAGGAGUACUAGGGGUUAGGAUGGUCUUCUCUGGAAAUGAAUUCAAUGUGUGCGCUGCCUAUAAUUUUGCGAAAUGGUUGGGACGACCCCGAACAUCUUACCUCAUGCCAUUACUUUAACCAUGCAAUAUUUGAUAUAACACUGUCUCACUCUUUAUCAAAAUCAUAUGAUCACCUUUAAGAAUACAACUAUUGGAAACCAUGAAUCGAAUUUAAACUUGAGGGGUCUGUAAAUAAUAUCCUUGAAAACAUUAGGAUGUUUUAAUCCACAUUGAAGAGGGUUUCUUCAUAAUAAGCUUAACUUCCAAACUAAAAUUUUGUAUCUAAGAAAGAAUAAAGCAAAGGUUAGAAGACCUUUUUCAAAACACUUUCCCUCAUUUCAAUGUCAAUUGAUCAUUCCAAUCUUAAAUAUCACGAUAGUCUUGGACACAGCGAACAAGUUUAAGCAAAAUACACAUUCUACUUAAUAUAUUAUUAUAUCUCGAUCAUGCACAACUCUGAUUCCUUGUCCAGUUUAGGUUAUACCCAUUUGCCCUUCUAACGUCUUUAAUAAGUUUUCGAUUUUUAAAUAUUUUGGCCUGGAGCAAAUAGUGUCGAAAUGUGCAUCUGGUGCAGACAAUUGGUAACGUAAAUAUUAUUAUAAACGGAUUCAAAUGACCAUCUCCGAAAAAAAACGAAAUUAACAAUAGGGAAAAAGAAUUGCUUUUCAGUGGUUAUUUUUUUGUGUUAAGAUUUUAGCGUAAAACUGAAACAUUCGAAUACAGAAUAGAAUAGCUCUGUGAUGUAAAUUGUUUGAAUAUGUUUACUUUUAAUAAGUCAUUUGGGAUAAAUUUUUGUGUUAUCGAAAAUCAAUGAAAAGGUUUUGUUUUUUUUAAGAAAAAAUAUCAACCUCAUAGUAAUAAGGCUUUAUUAUUUUUUUUUCAAUUUAAUUGCAUUUAGACGUCUAUUCACCAAUUAAAUAAGUAUAUAAAAAGAAUAUCGUUGAAAGGAAGCACUAUUUGUACCAAUAGGAUAACAUCCAACCUGGCAAUACUGUUUUGGCAGAAACUGAAGUACAUAUCUAUAUGCCACUUAAAUAGCCAAAAAUUAUGACAUAAAUAGAUGCAGUAUGAUUGCCAGUGAGAAAACAUUUUGUUGUUAUAAGUGACAUCGACUAUGAAUGUGCAUUGAUUUUGCAAAUGAUGUCAACCACGGACAUGACUGCCGUCGUGGUUGUUUGUGCAUCUUGCUCAAAUUCGUGUUUCGGUACAGUGAAAUGUCCUGCUUUUGGUCGAAUAUAUAGAGGCUUACUCUUUUCACUAUUAUAGCCAUUUAUUUACAAUACAUAUUUACCACCAAACCUGUUUAGUUCUAUUAAUCAAUUUUAAGAAUCACAAAGUAUCCAGAAUAUUUCCCCGUUUAACAACAAAAGCAAAACCAAAUCUAAAAUUUGUAAGCUGAACUACAUGUAUAUGUUAAAUGAUGUGAAUAAGUUUCCUGCACUGGUCUUCUUUUAAUCACAGACUCGUUUCUGACAUGGCGACCCAAGUAUUUAGAUUUGGAGCUUUCUGUCAAAGGUCUGCCAUAGUCUGUACUGUGUGGUUUAAACACAAUCCAUGCAUAUUCAAUGUUAGCAAUAUGGUGAUCGUAUCUUCCUUUCGCUACAAUUCCUCUGAAAGAAUGGAAGUAACCUCUUGUUUGCGAGGGAGAUGAAGAUGAGGGAUAUCCACCAUUACUUCCAUAUGGGCCAUACGUACGACCAUAAUUAGUAUCAAAAGAUAUGCUAUCUAAAAGCAUACCUGCUCUUAGAUUGAUGUUUGUUAUGACUUCAGCCUCAUCAAGUUCAAAUUCAUGUUCUGAUAAAAUUGAAUUUUUAGCUUUUGGUCGGACGCCAUGAAGUACGAUCUUUCCGCUCUUAUACUCUAUUUGUAUUCCCCCAAUAUCGAUAUAUCCUUCCCAUCGAAUAAUCCAUAACCCAAUCUUUCUAGGUCGAUCAUUUAUAUCAACAAUUUCCUUGAAAUCUCUCACCAACUGAAGUUGAUCCGGAAGUUUGGAAAAAGAAUUUUGUACACAAGCCUUUGAAAAUUCCAAACUCUUCAGAAUCUGUGAAAAUUUUCUUUUUGGAUGAACAUUAUUCUUCAAAUAAAAAAAAGUGGAUUUAUCCAAGGUUUGAAAAGCAGAGUGAGUAUUAUAUGAAUAACUCAUUUUAUUCAUAACUAUUUUUGGUAUUUCUGAAAACUGAAUAACACUAAGAACAUCUUUCACAUAUGCUAUAUUAUCGACUUGAUUGGCUGUUAAUGUUUUACCAACAACUUCGAGAAUAUGAAGUUCAGAAUUAUCAACCGGAACCCCUUUAUGAAAAACGGACAGAUUACUGUUUUUUUUUACUAGGAACUUGAAGUCCUCAUAAGAAAGACGACAGAACGCAUUUUGCUCAACAAAUGAUUCAAAAUUUUCCGAUAAAUGCAGGAUUAUAGUAUCGAUCAAAUUGAUGAGGUAAAAACGAAUAGCGAAGGCAAGUAGAGAAUAUCACUAGAGUCAUCGAUGUUGUUUAUCAAACCGCGUUCACACUUGUACAAAAUAUGUUUGGCUUGGAGAUAUGAGAUAUGACGCUGUUGCAAUAACAUCCUGUAAUCUGUCAAAACUUAUUUAGAGUAUUUCAGUAUACACAAAGUUUAUGACAUCGUUUAACGCAUCGGGGGAGACGAAUUCUUCAUUCAGACAAAUAUUCCGCUCGUGGUUGUUGAAUUUUGUGUUUGCUUUAAAAUAAUCAGAAACAAAACUUCACUAUUGGCAUAGGUUUUAAAUUCACCGCACGUUAUUUCUAUAUCACAGUUCUUUUGUGCUCUCCAUUCACUUAUUUUGUUUUCUCGAAUGGCAAUUUAGAGACGUGUUCUGAAAACAGGAUUUUUAUUACCUGGUUUUCUGCAAGAAAAUAAGAAAAACAAUUAAUAAAUUUCUGAUACGCAAUACAACCACGUAUUGAUUGACUGUUUGAUUGAUUGAUUUUUGCUUGCUGAACGUAAAAUGUAAAAUUGGUAUGUUGACAUGUGUAAUAAUUGAAACCUCAACAUAUUCUGUAUGUGCCUGUCCAAAAUCAGGCGCUUUUUAUUCAGUGGUUGACGUUAGUUCAUGUUUUCAUAAAUGUUUCAGUAAAUUGCAAUUUCAUUGGCAUUCAUAACAUAUCUUUGUACAUGUAUUUGCAUAGUGAGCAUGGAAGCCUCAAAACAUUCUAUAAGAAGAAUGCGCCAAAACACUAAUCCAAAAUAGUCAAAGGUCACAGUAGUAUGUUUGUGAUUUAUUUUAACGUUAUAUUGUGGAUUCAAAUAUUUUUGUAGGUAUCAAUUUUCGUUAAUUGCGGAGAACUUACGUUUUCUAGGAAAUUUGAUUUUGUUGUUUCCCAGAUCUCUGCAUACAAAGUCAAUAGAAAAAUUUGUAAUUAGUUGAACAUUUGAAUUAAUAGUUUACCUGUACCAACGGAACCCCUGAAAACUGGUAUCCAUCGAAUAAUGUUGAAUCCACAGUAAUAUUAAAAACAUUAAUUUUCAUUGUCAUAUCACUAAUUAUAUGACAGUCAUUAUGUCCGCUGAUUUAGUUUUUAUCACAAGGAAAAUUCACACCAAAAAACCAUAAUUAUUACCAGGAUUAUAAUGUUUUCCGUACGCCAAAAGCAUCAGUCUACUAAAAACUCAGCAGUGAUGCGCGAAUAAAGAAAAUUAAAUGACCAAAUACAAUACGACGUUGAAGAGAAUUCAGGACCAAAAAUUUGUAAAGGUUUGCCAAUUACAACUAAGGUAGUUUGUUGUUAGAGUAGAACAGUCUUAAUUUUUCGAGCAAUUCAAAGUUUUGUGAAAAGUUAAUGUAUGAUUAUGAUCAUAGCAAUGAUAAUUCAUUUCAACAUAGAAAUGCUGACUACUGGGACAAAAGAAAAGUAUAAAACAAAAAUGAAACAUUUGCAUAUUGUACAUUGAUAAUGAUUUCGUGUAGUCUGUCUGCAUAAUCAUAUUUCCAUGUUCAAUUUACCGCUAAAUUUCAAAUCAAUCUAACUUUUGUAUUAUGUGAAAAUAUCAUAACAUAUCUAUGUUUUUAGUAUCAAUAUGAUUUGAACACAACAUCAUGGUAUAGUUUCUUAGACUAAAUUUAAAUCUUUAAGUUAUCUGUUGUUUUGGUAAAGUAUAUUAUAACUUCGAACCAUAGUUUCGAAUUUAAUUAUUUAUGAUUUAAUAGUUACAAUGAACUGGUUAUUUUGUACACAGGCAAAAUCCUAUUUUUAUGUUAAAGCAUAUACGUGAAUGACAUAUGAGUAAAACUACUCUUAUAAGGGAACCAAAGGAGAUAUUGCAAAUAAUUCUAUAUUCUGUUUUUGAAUGUCCUUAGUUGAUAAAUCGUGAAGUAAAACAUCGACUUUCUUUGAUGCAUUAGCAUAUUUUUCCACAGAAACCUUAAAUAAAUGGUAAAUACGUCUUUAGAUUUUCUAGUUUGUGUCUCGUGUACUAUUAUUUGUCUGAUUGUGUUUUUUUUUUAGCCAUGACGUUGCCAGUUUAUUUUUUAUCUUUGAGUUUGACUGUCCCUCUUGUAUCUUUCUACCUUCUUUUAAGAUGCUAGAAGUUUCACGCUGUUCCAAUUUCAUAAAUCGAGUAAAAAGAGACAAACAAAUUUAAGAAACAGACACUGACGCAAUUGCAUGAACCAAAUAAGAAGGGAGACCAGGUGUGUUGUCAAGGUAAGCGUUUGCUGCUACGUGUACUGCUACUUAAUACGAUUUUGUUUAUCAAAAUUAUCUUAAAUAACCCUCUUAUACUGUAAAAAUAAUUUGAGACAUCAAUGAUUUGCAAGUAUUUAUGUUUUCUGAAAGUUGGGAUUAAUAUAAACGAAAGUAGUUAACAGAUGUUUAAAUGUCAACGAUUAAAAAGAUAAAAUAAGAUAAGACAACACAAUUUAUUGCAAUAAACAAUUAUGCGAUGGCAAAUUUGAAUUACAACUUUAUCACGUGUAAGCAACAUGAAAUAUGUAAUUAUUUUAUAAUAUAUAGUUAUAUUUAUCAGCAGAGAGCUCAAUAAAUAUUAUGAAAACGUUUUUUAUGAAACAAAAACCCAAUAUACAUACCUAUGUUAAUAUGAAGACAAUUCAAAGUUAAAACUAAAACUCAAAGACUGGCUUUAAAUUCAAAAGGACCGAGACGUUUACGUCGACAGGACUAGUAUAAGUAAUCAUAUCAUUGAUUUUAUUUUUAAUGACAAGAUAAGGCCUUAGAAUUAAUUUAUCCUUUGAAUUAAUCAACAUAUCCAAAACCUUAUUUGUUUUUAAUAUCUGUCAAACGAAUGGUUGAGAACACCGACGGAUGGUGCUUGUUUAUAAGUUUUUAAUGAACGUUUGCAUAUGAAUAUGAAUUUACAGCAGCAUUGGACAGUCAAACACUAGUUGAUGUUAGGCAUCGUUCUACGCAGAUACCUGUCUCUGCGACUUCCUUUAAAAUGGUUAAUUUUAAUAGAGGGUGUAUGUUCUUCAUUGACCGUAUUGUUUGUUGCAAACACAGCCCAUACAAAUUCAAUGUUAGCAAUAAAGUGAUCGUAUCAAACUUUUAGCAUCAUGAUUCCUCUAAACGAAUGAAAAUAUCCACGUCUUUUAUUAGGCGACGAAGAUGACGGAUAUCCACCAUUACCACCAUAAGGACCAUAUGUACGACCAUAAUUCGUAUCAAAUGAUAAACUGUCUAUUAGCACACCUUUUUGGAGAUUUAUACUUGUGAUAACUUCAUCAUCAUCCAGUUCAAACUCAUGCUCCGAUAAUAUGGAAUGUCUAGCUUUUGGUCGGAUGCCAUGAAGUACACUUGUUCUACUCUUUUAUCGGACCACAGAUGAAUUAUCACGUUGUGAUUGGUUAAAUGCCGUCACCGUGGUGACCCCAUGAGACCGUAUGGUGUUAGUAAGUUUCAUAUGAGGUUCAUGACGCGUUAAUGGCGACGUCAUCUAUUAAUGUUGUUGUGUUUCAUUGUUUAUUUUUCAACAAACGCCGCAGAAAAAAGUCCAGCGUCCGAUAAAUUUCGUUAUACAGUUAACUACUGACCCCCUACCGGAUCCAUAAAGGGUGAAUAAAAUCAUAGGGGAUCGGACUCCGGCCUCACCCCUAUGGAUUUUACUAACCCUCUAUGGAUCCGUAUGGGGUCAGUAGCGAACCAUAUAACUUAUAAUAUUCCACUCGAAUUCCCCCGAUUACAAUAAUUCCUUCCCAACGUAUAACCCAUACCUCAACCCUAAUAGGUCUAUCAUUUACAGCUGGUACUUCUUCGAAACAUUUUACAAAAUUUAAGUCAUAUAAACUAUGAGGAUUGUUCGCAUGAAUUAUGGAAUGAUCUAAAAUUUUCAUAGAAUUAAUUUGAAAAUGUCCUUUCCUUGAGGUUAUUGUUCCUUAAAGUUGUAAAUGUUGAUCUAUCAAGGGUCUGAAAAGCAGGUACAUAUCAUAUAAAUUCCUAAGAUUUGCAGUUGGUAUUUCUAAAAACCGAAUCGCACUAAGGAAAUCUUUGACAGUUGAUUUUGCUUCAAUUUGAUUGGCUGUUAAAGAUUUAGCAACAGCAUCAAUAAUGUUAAUUUCAAUAUUGUCAACUGGAAUACCUUUACGAAACACAGAAAGAUUUCUAUUCAUCAACAAGAACUUAAAAUCGUCAUGGGACAGAGUUCUGAACUCAUUUUUCUCUACUAACGUAUCAAAAUCUUCCGAUAUCCAUAGGACUAUAGUAUCAGUCAAACUUCUCAGGUCGAAACGAAUUGCAAAAGGAAGAAUGCAAACGGCACUUACGUGAUCGACGCUAUUUAUCGAGAACUUUUCACAAACAUCUAAAAUGAGUUUGACUUGCAGAUAGGAAGCUGUUGCUAUAACAUCUUGUAAAUCGAUUUCUUAUUUCAAGAUCUCCAGUAUAUGCAAAGGUUACGAUAUGGCAUAACGUAUCGGAGGAAGUAAAUUUUCCGUUUAGAGCAAUUUUCCGUGUUUUCUUAUGAAAAUUUAGAUAAGCCUUAAAGUGAUCAGAAAUCGUUAACAAAACAUCACUAUGUGCCUUAGUUUUAAAUUCUCCACAUCUUAUUUCUAUGUCGCAGUUUUUUUUUUCUUUCCAUUGCCUUGUUUUGUUUUCGUCAACGGUAAUUUUUAGAUGAUUUAUCAAUACAUCAUUAUUGAACUUUCUGGAAGAGAGAAAAAUUUGUAUGAAAUAAUACAAAAUCAAAGAUAACAUAACUACACAAAAUAAAUGAUUCUCUCAUUUUACUGCACAACCUUGUACAUGUUGUACUGACUUUAACUCCCAGUUUUUAGUGGAAUUCGUGUUGUUUCUUAACUGUUGAUGUUAAUGUCCGUUGGCUUUGUGAGUCUUUGUUCACUCCUUGGUUUUGAUUGUUAUUGUCUUCAAUCUGAAAGAACACAGUCAAGUUUUGAAGGCAAAUGAAUCCCUUGAAAUUAUUUUAAAAAAUUGGCUCAUGGAGAUAAACAGGAAGAUUUGAAACAUGUUUUACUCGACACGUUACUAAAGUGAAACAGGAUUUAAAAAUCAUGUAUAGAGAAAAAAAAUGUAAACAUUAAAACCCUAUGUGGUCACAUACAGCUGGUAACAAAUUUAGCCACUUUAUAAAUAUGUCGGGAACAAUGUUGUAAAACAAUCACUUGUUUAAAUCUCCCGAGACCUUACGCAUCUGUCAGAACUGGUUAUACCAUAGACCAAUUUGAAAAUCUCACCCGAAUCCUCACGGAAAUAUAUUGUUUAAACAGCUCUUUCUUACCAGAAAUUUGUUUUUCCUUCCUUAUUUUUUAAAAACUAAUCAUAAGUCAAACAAGCAUUCUUUUUUUAUGAGUUGUUGAAGAAGUAUUGGAGACUUUUAAAGAUGAAGACCAGGCGCAAUUUAAAAAAAUAAUAAUCAAUUGCGUCCCUCUAAGCAGCAACGUCACAUUUUCAUGUCAUUCUGGGUCAAUUAUAAAUUAAACACAUGUGACGUCAUUCAUACAGACGAACAACGUUCACAGCGUUUUGUACGCGUACAAAAGUUAAACUAACUACUUCAUUUAUUAAAUGUUUUGAAUAAACUCAUCAUAGAUACAGAAUUGAAAUUUUGUAUUUGCGCCAGGUGCGCAUUUCAUCUUAUUGAAUGAAGAACAAAAUGCUGAUUAGAAAAAUUAGCCUGAGGGGCUCAUUUGAUAUACUAGCUUUAAAAAUCUGAAUGGAAAACAAAAAAUACCACUAUUGUAUAUUUACCAAAUUUAUUACAUUACCCCAAUUUUUUAUUUUUACAAAAAAUUGUAUAAUGUGACAAUUUAUGGAAUUAUUGUCAAGUCUUUCUUCUUUUCAUUAGAAAUAACUUAUAAUUAAGGGUCAUUUGUUUUCUUCCCCCACUAUUUUGUGCAGUUUUGUAUCUGCAACAUGUUGAUAAGAUAUUUUGAAAACAAUAUUGAAUUCUUUAACUUUAUAUUUUCAUUCGGUUUGCCAAACGCUUUUUCUUUGAAAGAGAAAUCUUCUUGAACUCUAGAUCUGUUAUUCUUUUGAUCACUGCUUCGUUUCAACUUUUAAAGAAAGUUAAUAAUGUUUUCCCAAAUUGCUCUAUAUAUCCUUAGAAUUCUUAGUUAAAUUUGACUGAAACAACACAGAUACUCAAUAUAACAGUUAUUUCCCUUCUGUUCUUGAUAUUUGAUAGAUGAAUGGAACUUGUAAACCUUAAGUGGUGGGGAUCUAUGAUAUUUUGAUUAAGGUCAAGAUUAAAGGCUAAGAUCACGUUCGAAAUGUUUACUUUUAACUUUUUGCAUUUAGUUAGACACCAAAAUAAAUAAUGGCAAACUUGUUAGUUACGAAAUAUUCGUGUUAAAAGGAUCCUAAGUCUUGAAAUAGUACUUUUCUCUCCUUGAAAUCUCUAAUAUAAAUUAUUUGUUGAUAUAACGAAUAAACAAUACAAAGUAAAACACUAGGGUAAUUUGAUCUCUGAUUAUUCUCAGAUGAGGUUUAAAUUUCUGUUAAUUGUAAAUAGGAGCAUCUGGAUUUUGACAAAUGUAUAAGUACCUUGAAGAGCAAAAAUAUCCCUUAUUUUAGGCUAACAAAAGGGUAACUAAAUAUAUAUGAAGCUUUUGCUGAAUGAGCUACCAUUUGACACCCGGCGCAGUUUUGAUUAGGCGAAAAAACGACAAUUAUCAACCUUAAUUGUUGCGAUAUAUCUCAAUUAAGAAACAUAUUCAUUUAUGGUGUCAGUAUAGAACAAGCUGUCGUCUGACAAUUGAAAACAAAAUAAUUUUUGCAACGUAAUUUUCACCUAAAAUACUUGAAAUUGAGUGCAAAGGAUCUUCAAUUUUUCUGAAUUUGUUUUAAUUUGCUUAGUGUAUGUUUUCAUCAGGUUUUAUUUUAAGCUGUUAGUACCAGCGUGUACAAAACUGUGCAUGAUAAAACUCUUUAUGUAUCUUUAUACAUGUCACAUUAAGUUGUAUGAUGUCAUAAUGAAAAACAAACUGAAAGAGGAAUGGCAAAAACAAAACAAAAUCGAAAAACAACAUGAAGGCAAACAUCAUUCACAAACACACAACAUUGACAACCAAAGAAUCAGCAAUAUCAACCACACCAGGAUCGAACUUAUUUGCUCAGGAACGUAAGCAAACCCUUUUCUAAAUAUAUGGAACCCAUCGUGGUGAUUAUUUAAAUACCAACCGAUUGAUAAGACUAAUUUGGUAGGUAAUUUUUGAGACAGAGGACGGGAUUGUGGUAACGACAACUGAAACAUAUCCAACCGCAUCUGUAAAACAAAUUUUCUAUAAAGGUCAACUAAUAGUAUAACUCUUGAUUGGAUUUGAAUUAUUUUCGAAGGGAUGAUUUCAAAUGGAAAUUUUGUUCUACAUACAGAGCCGAUACUGGAAUGUUGGUACAUAAAAAAAUAUAAAAUUUAGAAUCCGAGAAUAUAACUUUAAUGUUAUUUGUCGUCAAGUUGUGUUCUAAACUGACCCUUAUUGUCCAUUUCUUCAGCAGCGUCAUAUAUGGAAAUUAUCACAUUUUUUGUCUGGCUUGACAAGGUGUUUCUGAGACUGUUUAUGAAAUCCCUACUCUGAAUCUGUUGGAUAUGCACCGAUUGUAACUGCACUUUGAGAAAUCAUGAUACAUUCCUUUGUUAUAAUUGACUUUGUACUCGCUUUCAGAAAUGCGUGUACUUCUAUAUCGAUGCUUUCUAUCUUUUAUGGCAGUUGAUUUGUUUGUGCUUUGUACGAAUUUUUUAAGUUGCAAUUAUUCAAUGUAAGCCGAAUGCAUAUAAGGUAAUAUAUACCUUGAGUAGAAUAUCUUAAGAUGUUCGAAAACUUAAGAGGACUUUACGUCAGGACAAUUAGUGACUCAUUCACACAAUUUUUUUUAUGUCACAUUUAAGGUUUAGGCCGUUAAAUUUAUUUUGUCUGUCCGCACAAUCACAUAUCUAUAUAGUAAGGAUUGCCGCCUAAUUUGGCACAUACAUGUAUUCUGAAAAGAUCACACCACAACAAACAUGUAUAUUUAUAGCCAUUCUCAUUUGAACACACAGUCAUUAUAGAUUAUAUCAAACCAAAACUGAAACAUAUCUGUUGUUGUUUAUUGAAUCAAUAUAAUAACUUGAUAAUAUCAUCGUUUAAAAUGCGACUAUCUGCCUUUUAACUGUACACAUAUAUCGUUUAAGAUAUUCAUUUUGUUAAACAAAAACAAACCUAAUUUGCGGUUUUAUAAGCUGGAAUAUGACAGUUGUUUUUCAUUCGAUUGAUGUGUUUGAGCUUUCGAUUUUAGCCAUUUGACCAGGGACUUUCCAUUUUGAUUUUUUUUCGGAGUUCAGUAAUUUUGUGAUUUGACUUUUUUCAAUGUUAUUGCAUAUAUUAGAAUGAACGAGAAAACUACUUUGGUAGAUGUCAUGUGGAUAAAAUAUUUGCGCUUACAUCUCCCUUCUGUUGAUGGGUUCACACAGCUGCUUUUCGUUAAGAGUUUUCUUUUCUGUGACAGUUUUCUGGUUUUCUGACAAUAGUACUGCAACCAGAGUUCAUUUUUUAAAACUUUAAUGGUCCGGAAGAACACACACCUAAAUUAUAUAUCGAUGGAAAGAGGAAAACGUGUACAAUAAGAAAAAUUGGGUCGUAAAAAUCCUUAGUGGUCACAAUUUUGUGAAAUUGAGGUCAAAGGUCAGACCUAAAAAUAUCAACAUUUCAAACAAAAGGACAAAAAGGAGAAAUAUUCUGAUAUUUAUUCAAUAGAAUGCUACAAAAACGAUUCAAUCAUAAGCAUAUGCUAUAAACGAUGUUAAAACGACAAAUUUGACUACUUAUAUGAAAAGCUGCCAUUACAAAAUGGCGUUGAUUUGAACCUUCUGAUUUUUUUCCAUUUAAGACAUAGCAAAAGAAGAAGUGGCCUUGACCUUUUCACAUCCAUAAACUUUCAUAUUGUGUAUAGUAUUUCACUAUAGUAUAUUACAGAAUUAUUUUCUAAAGUAUAAAACACCAGUUUAUCAAAUUAUUUCAAUAUUUUUUCUAUCUUUGAAAAAAGCAAAAUUCAAGCGCUGAAACAGUGUUUUUAAUUUUGCAUCUUAAAGGUUGUGUAUUUUGUGAAAAUUAGUAUUUAGUUAUAGAUAAAUACAUAUUGUGUAUUUGCAAAGUCUGGACAGAGGAGUUAUAACACAAAAUAUACUAUAGUCACCCGAGGCGAAUGCGAGUUUAAAAAAAAAUUGAGUGUAAAACAGCCAGUUUGGUGCAUGAUCAUUUUUUUAGUGGAUAAUCCUGGUAAAAAAGUUAACUCAUUAAUUUUUUAAGGGAAGGAUGAAAAACUGUACAAUGCAAUGCCAAUUUUCUAAUGUUGUAAUUCAAAAUCAGUCAUGAUCCUUAUAUAACUUUUAAAAGCGACACACAAUAGCUCAAGUAUUGAUAAAUUGGGACAUGAAUUAAUCUCUUAGUCAUCAUAUGCGGAUUCAGUACGCGUAUUAGCAUUACAAGACACACGUUCGGCGCAGGACAGAGUUUGUUAAAAGCAAACACAGUUUUUGAGUACAAAUGCUAUCUGGAGCGUAAAUACCGUCAUGAUUCGGUCAAACUCGUCAGAUAUAGUCUUACCUUUGCAUAGGAAACCCAUAAGAAUUGUUAGUACAAAGUUUCGAUCAAUGUUCGUGACCCACAUUCCCAUAUGCAUAUGCAUGAUGUAUCUGUACUGCCAAUCCCAAAUGUAAUGGGGCGAAUGUUGCUAGCUACAGAAACGAUUGAUCUUGUAAUAGCAAUACAUUUACGAAUUUUUGUUAUUUUUAAGGACAAUAUACGGUUCAGAAGCGCCUUUGUGUUAUUUUUCAUCAAUUAACUAACAAAUGAACUUUUGAGCCUAGGCUCCGUGUUGAAGACCGGACCGUGACCUAUAAUGGUUUACUUUUAUAAAUUGUGACAUGGAUGGUGUGUUGUAUCAUUGGCACUCAUACCACAUCUUCCUAUAUCUAUUAACAAGCUAUGCGGGCAUCAUUUCCAAAAAAAUAUCAAAACGAGGACAUAGCUUAUAAGAGCACUGGUGGCAGGGUGACGUAAUUGUUCUUCUUUUAAUGUAUCCUUGAUAUUUUCAGACACACCUUGGUGUAAUUCUGAAAGUCUUAACAUAGACUUUAAUUUUCCUGCAGCAGAUAUGGCAUCCCCUAAAUUGAGUUCAGAGCUAAACUCUAUAUUUCAUAUCCCUUGGCCUCACUGUGUCUGAAUUGAGUAGUUUUCUGGUUUUUUUUAAAGGUUUGUCUUUUACACAAAAACCCUGUUGCGAGAUCGUAUAAAAGUGUCUGGUUGUGAGGAUACAUGUCGAUCAGUUUGAUCACAUAUAUUGAUUUCUGUUGUUUCUAAUUUAAAGUACCCCAAGGGUGACUGGGGAAACGAAACAUGAUCACUUGGUCUUCUCCCGACCGGCAGUAAAACGAAGUGGGCGGCGUCCGUUUGCUGUGGCGGGAUGUAUCAAGUUCGCAGUUACGUCCGGUCAGAAUGGGGACGUUAAGUCCGAUGCCUCGUGUAAAGGGAGUGUCACGUUCUUUGCACGUUAAAAACCCUUGCAUCAACUCUUUGAGGAGUCCGUAGGUGGCAUGUUGCAAUGGAAAAUUUCUGUCCCAAUCCAAUAUACCAUCAUUUUCCAGUGGCAGUCUACAUUUUCCCGAUCAUCAUCCCGAAUGGCCUCUAUUAUGACAAAAACUACCAAUUGUUUUUAUUCUUAACUUGUUCUCGUCCUGAACAUGCAUGAAAUAUUAGUCACUGGACGUUAAGCAACCAACAAUCAAUCAAUAUAAUUUAAAGACGCACCAAUGUUGCCUUCUGGUGCAAGUCUCAUAACAUCACUGAUGAUUCGCCCAAGGAAAGCAGAAUCUUCAAUAGUACUUUUCCCCCGACCACUUGCAUGCAUAUUAAUUGCUCUGAGGUUAAACAUUGACAUACAAUGUAUUUUCACACAAUGUCAACUAUAGUCAUAAUCCGGAAAAACCUCUUAUCCGAAGGAUUUGGUUAACUUUUAUAUAAAGUCAAAAUUUUAUGGAAUAUAGAUACAAUGGAUAAGCGUUGAUUCUUGAAAAGGAAAUCAUGAGCCCGGAGGGCGAAUGGUUUGUUUUUCAUGAAUCAACGCUUAUCCAUUGUUAUCUAUCACUUAAAACUUGUGUUAAUGUCUUUAAAAAUUAACGCCUAUUCUUAAUUAGAAGGUAUUGUAAGUGAGUUUAAAUAACCAUGUUAUUGUGUCAAAUGAUUCAUUACAAUAAAUUACAUAUCACAAUUAAAUGAUUUUAAAAAAACAUAAAAAAAAUAUUUUAACACUACACGUCUGCCCUUAAAGAUCUUCAUAUCAUCAGGCAUCUGAAAGUAAUCUUCUUUUUUUUACAAAAUAAGAAAUAUUCGAACUUAUUUCUAUUAAAAUUGAUCUUAAUGGGAAUCCGAAAUUGCUAGCAAUAAGCGUAAUUCUAGACACAUCACGAUUUUCUAGCAUAGGAAUUUGCGAAUUAAAAUUUGUGUAAAAUUAUGUAGUAAAUCAGAUGAAAUCCUAUUAUAUUAAUUUAUAAAACAAAAAUGGACCAAUACUAUGCAAUCCAUUUUUGUUUUGUUUCAAACAUGUGGAAUGGCCAACAAUAAUCCGAUAAUAAACGACCAAACUCGCUCUUAUUACACAAAAUAUCCACAAUAAUAUACAAAACAAGAACAAAAAUUGGAAAUCUAGACUAUAGGAACAACAAAGAGAAUUCAGGGAUUCGAACCUAGACAGACAAGUCCUUAGCUUUAAUUCAUUUAUCUUAACCAUAAAACCUCGUGGCUACCAACUCAUACUAUAUGUUUGCCUAUUGUGUAUAGAAUAGAAUAGAAUAUUUUUAUUACCAAAUUAGGGCCCCAGGAGGGCAUAUGAUACAGACAAUAUUAUUAUAAACAAUAAAUAUCAAUACACACACAGUAAAAGAUAUGUAACAAGUGUUAUAAAAUGAUAAAAUAAAAUAAUAUAACACAGAAAAUACACUCAACAAAAGUAGCAAUGUAUUAUUAUUCAAUGAAUACUAUGUUGAAAAUGACUCAAGUGCACCCGGUAAGUGUAUCUUUACUUUGAGAAGACAAACAUGAGGCAUUAGUAGUUUGUGCGGAGAAAUGUCAAUAUAUAUAAAAAAAAAAAAAAAAAAAAAAUACAAAUAAAAAACAAAGCAAUUAAGCACUCCCACAUUUGACUAUGAGGUAUACUGCAAAUAACAAAGUUUAUUUAAUAAAGGAUAUUUAAUAUGACUUAUCUGCAGAAAGCACCAAGAGUCGGUGCUUAAAGGGGAGUCCCUACUUGUACUUAAUGCAGAUGAGUCAGCUCCUUAAUUAUUGAAAAUAUAUUUUAAAAACAUAUUUUUAAGAUUAUAGAUUCUGUGUCCAGCCAGCAAAGAUCAUCAAGGGACGGUGCCAAAGAAUUUGAAAUUCUUCUUAUGAUCUGUGCAGGCUUAACAGGGUAUCCAAAUUCAUAUUAAAGAGUUAUAAUGAAUUAGUUAUUGCAGAUUAAGUUGUACUUUAAUUCUUAGUAUCUUCUAUAUAUUUGUAAAAUGCAAAUAAUACAUUAGGAUCCUCAUUAUUCAUUAUCCAAAUUAAUUUGUUAUCAAUAUUUAAAUUUUGAAAGUUUGGACAUGAUUUUAAUAUAUUUUGCAUCAUUUCCUCUCUUUUUAAUAAAUGAGUGUCACAUUUAAAUAAAAAAUGAACUUCAUCCUCAACCUCAUAUAUGUAUAUAUAAAGGUACAAGCCUUGUGUGUCCGUUGUACCGAUGUUUAUCAUAUAUUCAUUUAUAUAUAUAAAAUAGACUUAUCAAUCAUAACCGAUUGGUAGCCCAGAGGUUUCGUCGAUAUGUUGAUGUCAGUAACACGUAACAUAAUUAAUGAACGGGUUCAAUUCCCAGUGAAGGCAUAUAGAAAUUACAAAAAUUAAAGCUAAGUUCUUAAAAUAAUUCCAUUAGUGAACAGAAAUCAGUUAAUUAGUCAAUUCAAACUUAAUGAUAUUGGGCACACAAAGGAAACAAUGGAAUAUAAUCUGGUGAGUCCAUUUCAGCGACGGAUUUAAGAAGCGUUGAUUCUAGAAAAAGAAUCCACGGUAAAUGAAUAGGCUGACGUUACCACAACGGUUUAAUAACAAAAAUAUAACUUAUUAACAGAAAAUACACGAAAGAACUACUAUAUAUAUUCAAAUCACUCAAAAAUAAAUUAACUUCUCCUACAAAAUCUACAUAAUCACAUCGAAACUAUCAAAUUGAUGGUGUAGGAAAAAAUAAAUGGUGGAGCUGAUUGACGGAUUGGAAAUUUCCGUAAUUAAAAAAGGUACAAAUGAUGUUUUUAUUUUUGAGUUUUGACAAAUUGUUUGGAAUUUGCCCAACAAACUUUGCAUGCAGUAUCGAAAUAAUAUGUUUUGUCCUCUCAAAUGUCAAAUACUAUUUUUGAAUCAUAUGUUUUCUCGUUUUCAAAGAAAAACGCGUUAAAUUUCUAUCUAAAAAACAGCCAACUUUAAGUUUGAAAGUUUUACUUGGAAAUGGUAUUAUACUUAUGUCUUCAUCAUUCCGAUGAUCCUUGAUGAUAUGUGCAUAGAAAAUAUUUACGAAACUAGCGGGAAAUUUAACCAAAAAAUAUAUUUUUGGAUUUUAAGGUAACUACCCAAAACCGUAAAUUGAGGGUUACCCCCAUUAAAGGGAUAAAAUACAAAAAUGUGACCAUAGAAACGUUUUACAACCCGACGGAAAUUAAAAUAUAGAUAUUAUUCUAUCAUUUAAAACAAUUUGCAGCCGUGUGUUAUUCCGGACCAUUAAAAGAGGGACGAAAGAUACCAAAGGGAUAGUCAAACUCAUAAAUCUUAAACAAACUGACAACGCCAUGGCUAAAAAUGAAAAAGCGUCUUUUUCGAUGUCAGUUGCAGUACUACAAGGAACUGAGUUGGAUAUGUUCAUGCCGUGUAAUCAAUUCAUUCUCCCUAGGAUGUUGCCUAAAGAAUGCUAGAAAUGAAAUAUUGUUCUCAUAAUUUUAGUUUGUUACUCAAAUAAGUACAACUUGCAUAAAUACAAAUGCAUCAACAGUGCCGUAGGUAGAUGGGAUGUUCUUAGCUUUUGGUAAUUGUAAUGUAUUCAACCCAAGAAUGAGAAAUACACCCCCCAAAAAAAUAAUAUGAAAACAAAAACCAAUGCAAAUAAAGCAAAACAAACAAAGAAAAACUUCUCCCGACAAAAGUUUCUACAAACUGAACAUUUGUGAAUUUAUUUGUGAAUAUAUAUAUAUGUUUUUUUCUAAUUCAAAAGGUCCUCAGAAAUAUAAUUCAAUACAAAUAUGUUAAUAACUAUUCAAAUAACAAAUGUUAUAAAGGUGGUCAAGGAUAUGCUAAAUACGUUUUUUUCAAUCCGGAACACAAUCUAUUUCAGAAUAUUUUCGUUUUGUAUAUGAACAAGAUCACUGUAGAGAAGCAAAUGUCCCCAGCUAAUGCACUGACAUUGUAAAUAUCAAUUUCAUUUAAAGCCAAAUAUUUCUCGUGAAAACAAAAUCUGGAUUCAAUUCAAAUUCGUCCAUAAUAAUGUUGGUAAUUUUCUUUUUUUAGACGACGAGGUUCCGUAUGCUUCAUAACACGGCGUUUAUAUAUAUAUCUAAACUCGUUCGUUAUGCCCGAUUGUGUAUUUUUUAUCAUGAUUUCCUUGAUCGAGGAUUGCUGAUCACAAGGAAGCUAUUAAACCAAGAGUUCCAAAUGGUGAAGAUGAAAUCAUCCGUUCGUGAAUUUUACGGACGCCAUCACGAGUUGAGUUGGUUGACCGUUAUGGAAUAACCGUUUCACAGAUGAUAUCGGAUAUGUUCCUUAUGUUGUUACUACAAUGAUCCCUUUCCCUUUUUCACAAAUUUGACCUAUGGAAUAAGUCACUUCAACGGAUUUGUAAUAACAUAAGCUACACGACGGGUGUCACAUGUGGAGCAGGAUCUGCUUACCUUUUCGGAGCAUCUGAGAUCACCCCCAGUUUUGGUGGGAUUCGUGUUGCUAAGUCUUAAGUUUUCUAUGUUGUGUCUUCUGUACUAUAAUUGUCUGUUUGUCCUUUUUUAUUUUUAGCCAUGGCGUUGUCAGUUUAUUUUCUAUCUAUGAGUUUGACUGGCCCUCUGGUAUCUUUCGUCCCUCUUUUGGGAUGUAAUAGAUUUUAACGAACGUUAUCAAUGCAUCAUCGAUCAAUUAUAAGCGAUUUCUUUACCACAAAUCACUUAAAACUUUUAUUAAAUAUUGUUAAACUCUUUCAUAGAUACAAAUAUUUGAUUAGUAAAUAAGGCUGUACCGAAAAACUAAUUUAAAACGGUAUUUCACAAUCUAAAUUUUACGGUAACAUUGUUUUUGUGGGGGUCUUGUUGCUUACCCUUUAGUCUAUAGUUUACUAUGUAGAGUCUUGUGUACUAUGAUUUGUCUGUGUGUCUUUUUCGUUUUUAGCGAUUGCGUCGUCAUAUUUGUAUCUUUGAGUUAGUUUGAAUGUCUCUCACCUUUGCUUCUCUUUUAAACUAAAAGCGCGGAUAUCACUAUGUCUUGGGGAAAUCACGAUAUCAUGGAUCUACAUCUGUCAAUACAUGUUUCUUGGCAUUGCACAAGGUCAUGUUUUUCUUUGACUGUUUCAGACGUCUUUACGCUAAAUCUAUUGAAUGUCGGAUGUGUACCGAUUGAUAAUUUAGUCUUAGAUGCAUGAUUUGUUUUAUUAGUUGUUAGUGGCUUUGAACUAGCUAUCAGUAACUGCGAAUACUCUCAGAUCUGUACUUAUUGUCUUUUUGUUGUUGGGAUGUUCACGUACCCGACCACGACCACUUGCAUUUGUAGUAUUUGUAUUUUUAUACAUCUGAUAAGUUAAGGUUUUUCAACUGAUUUUUAUAGUUGUUCUUAUGUUGUACUGUUACACCACAGUCCCAGGUACGAGGACGGUUAGGAUCCCGUAAACAUUUUUAACCCCGCUACAUUCUGUGUGUAUGUGCCUGUCACAAGUCAGGACCCUGUAAUUCAGUGGUUGUCGUUUUUUUUUAUGUGUUACAUAUUUGUUUUUCGUUCAUUAUUUGAACAUAAAUUAGGCCGUUAGUUUUCUCGUUUGAAUUGUUUUACAUUGUCAUUUCGGGUCCUUUUAUAGUUGACUAUGCGGUAUGGGCUUUGGUCAUUGCUGAAAACCGUUCGGCGAGGUAUAGUUGUUAAUCACAAUCAUACCACAUCCUCUUUUCUAUAUGUGAUUCGUGUAAACUCAUCGAACCUUUCAACAAAAUUAAUUGUAAAAGUUAUCUACCAAUGUUAAAAUUAGAUUUUUGAAUAUAAUUCACAUUGACAUAAUUAUCAAUUUUGUCAUCAGCAAAUUAAAACAUCGCUAAAUUAGUAUUCUUUAAAAAAAAAUUGGGAUGAAUUAAUACACAUCGACGUUUAAAUUCUAUAUUGAGAAUACUCUAUCUAUGUCGAUACUUUUAUUUUGGCAUUGUAUAAUUCAUGUCUUCCUUGACUGUCCAUGAACUUAAAACACUAAAUCCCUGGGAUGUUUAGUUGAUUUUCGUCUCCGAUGCAUGUUUUUUUAUAAAUUAUAUUUUUUUGGCUUUAAACUAGCUUUCAGUUUUUGCGAGUACUCUCAAAUCGUACUUUCGUGUUGAAACAGUUUGUAAUGCAUUUCUGUUAUGUAAUUUCACUUAUUUAGUGUUAAAUAUCGUCUCACUAAUUUUGAUAUAUACCACCUUUGAUAAGUGUUUGGUAUGAGGAUACAUUUUAACUUCUGUUCUCGUACUAUGUAUUUUGUAUAAAAUAUUUCGUACUCCAUGUAUACCUUACACAAAAAUAUUUUCAUUUUUAUGUGAGCGUUAUAUUGUUUAGCGGCAUUUUGUCCAAGGUCAUGGUUGUCUUUCUGGUAUUGUUUUACAUCUCAUUUAAAAAAAAGUGUCAUAGAUAAAACGUAUUCGUUUAAAUUGUCUUUUGAUAAGUCGGCGAGCUACUACUACCUCAAUGUUUCAAUUAUAAUUGUAAGAUAUUCCACUGUUAUUUAUAGUCAAAACCGAAAAUGUCUAAGGAGAUAAUGUACGAUGAAUAAAGAUGAACAACUGAAUCAACUUUCAUUCAUAAAAAGGUUUGUAGAAUUUAAACAAAUGAUUUGCUUCCCAGCGGAUUUUGAUUGUGACACAUUGAAAAAGAUUAUAAAGUCUCUAAAAAUAUUAUAAAUUUGAUAAUCAAAUUUACCUUGGAGGCAACCUCCCAUCUUCAGUCACUGACUAUAUUUUUGGUUUUACCUGUGUUUGUCACUAUUUUCUCUGUAAACUCUGAACUUUGGAACUGACUAUUUUUGAUUAUGAAAAUGAAGCACGCAUAUCUGUAAUAGUGUACGAAAAGUGCAAUAUAAUUGACUGAUAUGUCAAUAUUUGAUAACGCAUGUAAACUCAUAAAUACAGCUAAGUUAUGCACAAAAUCUAUAUAGACAAGUACAAAAAGUAAGAAAACAAGUAUACAAAAUUCCAUUUAGCAAAUUAUUCCAGACUUAACACUCUUAAAUAAAAAUAUAAAUGAAUGACACAGAAUAAAAUGUGUAUCAUCUUGUUCUUCAUCUAAUUAAAAUCGAAAUUCAAUUACCAAAUAACAUAAGAUAAAGCGAAGUUGAAAACAUAUUACAAACUUACAUGACCAUCGGGGAUAGUUCCACUAUAGUUAUUCAGAAACAACACAACCAUACAGUUUAACGUUUACUUCAUAUAUUAUAAAUUAGAGCUUCUACGGCUACCUCUCACACUGAUGUCAACUCUAGAUACAAAACGGUAAAACGCAACGUCUUAACUCAGGCUGUUUUCUCAACAUUCUCCUGAACGCGAAAAGUACAUAUUAAAAUUAAAUAACAAUAAAAAAAAAUGAAUUAAAAUAACUGUCUCUCAAAUUCUAAACUUAAACUUAAACUUAAGCACAGACACUUGAUUCCUGAUUAGUUAUCUUCUAGUUAAAUAACAAUGAGUCUAUUUCGUACACAGAUAAUUAACAGUGGCUAUAUUUUCCGGGCACCACAUAGUCAAAUAAUCAGUUUUUGCACUUAGUCAAUUGAAAUCAAGCAUAUUCGUAAAAUUCCAUAAUAAAUCAUAACAGUUCAUUGGUUACGCAUUAUCUAGUCCAUUUUGUUAUAUUUUCCCUGGCUCUUCUAGCUGGUUCUCGGUUUGACAAUAUCCGGCUUGUUGUCGCACUUGUCUCUUAUUAUUAAAACUGUCCCAUUUUAAUCUAAGUUUCCAUAUUCAUUGCAACAAAAUUUUAGCCGUAAUUGUCACUGGACUCAGUAAUCCAAGCAGAUCGUAAAAUUCUGACGAAUGUUUUAAUAUUUCUCGAUUAGAUACAAAUUGUGUCAUAUUUUUUGCCUUGUGUGUAUAGAAAAGAUAAUAUGUGUGGCUACUCCAUCUCAUUCCCGAUACCUUCGUGUCUAUGUCAGUGUCUAAAACAUUCUGAGAUACUGCUUGUUGUCGUACCUUUACGCUGUCGAAUUCCAAGUUUAAAGCGUCCAUCUCUCUGUCAAUGCUAGUCAAAAUGUUAUCCACAUAUAAAUCCUGUUCAAGCAUUCUUGCGGUAUAACUGUCUGUUUGUUGUAAAUGUUUUAUCAGGGUAGCGCUCAUGAGAAAUGAUGAGCAAAUUGCUCCAAAUAAUACUACUUUAAAUAUAUACGUCAUUAACGGAAUGGUUACAUCUGUAGAGUUACUUAACAAUGGAAAUGGGGUUACUGAUGAUUCCUGAUAGUCUUUCAAAUAAAAUUUCUAUUUUUCUUGAUUUAAAGAUGAAUCUUUGCCUAUCGAUUCAAGUUUACACAACGCCUUCAUGUUAAAGUCUGAUUUGACUAGUUAGUUAAAGAUGCCAGCUGUUGUAGACGAAUGUGCUAUACCUGACUGUAAGGGUCCUGAUAGCAAAUACCCAAGCUUUUAUCUUACCGCGGUCGGUCCAUCUCCUCGUAUAACCUCGAUUUUAAUAAAAUCUCAAUAAUAGUCGGCACCAGGUUUCAGUUGGUGGUCGCCAUUUUCUCAUUAAAAAAAAAUAAUUGUGGCGAUUAAAAUUCAUCAUUUGCGAAAGAAUUUUGCUAAAAAAAAAUCUAUUUAUAUAACGAUUUAAUUGUUUAUUUUGUUUCGGGUUUUCGGAUUUUACCUGAUCAGACAAUACUCAGAAUUUAUCUUGAACUCGUUAAGACAGAAAAUCAAGAAUCAUCUGAUUGUAUUUUAUAGCUGUAGGCAAUACAUGACUAAUUAAUAAAGGUGUUGAAUGUAUUGUUAGACAAAAUGAUAUGGUUAAAUGGCUUCCGUCAUAUGUUAUAUCAAGGAUUUAUCAAUCUCCUUGCGACGAACUUGUUUGAAGCAAACUUUUGACAUCCCCUCCACAGGCACUUGUCUUAUUCCGGCCUAUAUGCCCUAAUACAUAAAGGUAAUAUAUUAACAAAUUUCUGAGACCUGUGGUCUCCUCUCCUCUCAUUAACGAUGGUCCGGACAGGAAAAUUGUUAUUAAAGUAAAUUGUAUUUAUAUAAAAGUUUAAAGCAAAAUUUAGAAAUGGAAAACUACUUAAACUGUAAAUCUUUUGAAAAGAGAAGUAACAUAACAAAAAUGAGAAUUAGCGAUCAUAACUUAAUGAUAGAAAAAGGAAGACAUUUAAAAAUACCUAGAGAAAAAAGACUAUGCACAUCCUGUAAUAUAAUGGAGAAUGAAGCCCAUUUUAUUUUAUACUGCAAAAAAAAUGCUAAACUAAGAGAUAACUUUGUAAGAAAUGUAAUUAAACAUAUGCCAGAUUUUAUGUCCUGGCAAGAAAAUGAAAAAAUUAAAUAUCUUCUUUGUCCAUCAACCUCAAAAAAAGUAGAAAGCUUAGGGUCCUAUUUUUAACAGGCAUUAGAACUGAGGACAGGGGACUCUUGAUUUAUUUAUAAAAUAUAUUUAUAUAUCAUAUAGAUAGAUUGUUUUGCUUUUUUGCUUUUUUUUUUUCAUGGUUUGUUUUUUAAAUGUAUUUUGUGUAUGUUUAUAUUAUUUGUCACAAACUUAUUGUUCAGAGUUUAUAUGACAAUAAAUAUUUGACUUGAGUUAUUAUGACGAAAAAAUUGAAAAGCAAGAAAAAUCUCCAACUUAAAAACUUGAUCCUUUGACUUUGAAUUAAAUAAUGGAUUUGAGAGGGUAAUUUAAAGUGGUUUUGGCGACGCACGUGUUUUCAAGCAUAGUUUUACGUGUCAACUUUUUCAUUUUCGAUGGACCGGAAAAGAAAACGGUCGUUAUGAAAAAAUACAUUCAACCAGUUGGGAACCACCACUAAAACAAGAGGAAACCCUUCAAUGUAAAUGACUAUCCCUUUAAUAUGGAUCAAUUUCAAAUUGUAACAAAUUAGUUUGUUUCGUAAAAACCACUUCUUAGUACAAACGGGCACAUAUUUAUUUUAUUUGAAGAUUUUUUUCCCCAAGAACUACAAGUUUACAUUUAUCUGGUAUUAUAUGGUCAAAGCAUGUCCCAGAAUUUUGUUAUAUUUCUGGACUUAUAUCUUCUUUAUUAUUAAAAGUAAGUGGACCCCUCUUUAAGAAAAGUUGUUCCAAAUAUAAUGAAUUUUGCUCCCUCUAAGUUAAAAAAGCAAAGUUUUAUUUUUAAGGCAAAUGUUAAGUGUUUAUUCAUUACAAUGUAGACUAAAAGAUAGGAUUAAGAGAAUAAUCAUAGACAACAAUGGGCCAUACUUAUAUUAUUAAUUUGGGGUUGGGGGUCGAAAGAAGGAAAAGUUUAAACGAAAACUAUAUGUAUGUUAUUUGGCCAAAAAAAAAAAAAUCAAAGUGGGGAAAAUAUAUUAUUUUGGCGAAAUAGGUGGCAAAAAAAUAAUUUACCCAGGGGAUACCCUGGUCGUCACCAAAAAGUAAAGAAAAUUGAAAAGAAUCGUCUUUGGUAAUUGUAUGAGCGAAUCUCAAUCCUUUUAGAUAACUCGGUGAACUUGGCGCAUGUGAUUCUGAAUUGGGACUGCUAUGGUAGGUACAGUUAGAACUUAAAUUGGAAAUUUACGCCUUUUUUCUGUUUCAAUGUGUACGGUUGAUUUACGUAGUUCUCUCGUGUUGGUGUUGUCCUUUCGAAAUGUCGAUGUGUGUACUUCAACCCCUUCAGUUUUCAAAUUCAAUUUGUCGCUAGAUCAUCAAAUAAGAUAUUAGUUUCUAUUCACAUACUCCUUGACAAUACAGGAGCUACAUCUGUCUUCAAUGGCACAUUUGUACGCGUACGUGUCGAAGAAUGUAAACUUUUCGUAUCUUCCUUGUUUUCAGUAUUAUUAAUGAUAUUGACAGAUGCAGAUUAAAUUUUAUUUUGAAUAUUCUGUUUAUCUGGGUUGCUUGUAGUUUCCAUUUUUAUCAUGGUUACUUACACUGCAUAAGCUGGAAUGAUGUCUAUUGUUACAGUGUCUACAGCACGAUGAUUACCUUAACAAUUAAAACAUAAAUUGUCUCGUUUGAUUAUAGAUAUUCGGGAUUUAGAAUCACUAUCCUUGGUACAGUAUAUUGGCGCAUGUAUGUCUUUACAAAAACACAUGGUCUCUGUUUAAUAUUCCGGGGCUGGCUUUUUUUUCGCGUUGUGUGUUGUGUUUCCUUGUGGUGAUUUAUUUCCUGUGUGAAGUGUACUUAUAGUUGAGUUUGCAAACUGGCGGUCUGUGGAAUCAAGAUAAGUACCUGUAUUUUUUCCCGCCUCCAUGAUCUGAAUUUCGUUAAGUAUACUCUUCCUCAAAUCUUUCAAAUUCCAACUUGACGGUCCGUGUUGUCUUGCUAGGUUUUGGCGUAUUUCUGCGGGCAACUUGUUCAGAAUAACGGGUACCAGUAGUGAACCAUAAGUGUCUGUAGUCUGUCCGAGUGACUCUAGACCUCGUACGUAAGUUUCAGUUUUGUCAUAAUAAUUGCGGAGGCUUACUAAAGUAUAAAUCGGCGGCGAAAUCUCAAGUAGAGCUUGCAUGUAUGUUUGUAUUAUAGUAUGUAUUUGUCCAUACCUCUCUUGUAACAACGAAAUAGCUUUGCCGUAAUUAGUGUUUGUCAUAGAAAAACCUGAUAUGGUCUGAAACGCUUCUCCCUGUAGUAGUGACUUUAAGUAGUUAAACUUCUGUACAUCGCUGAGUGUUGGAUUUGUGUGAAUAUAUGUCUCAUAUGAAUCCCAAAAGGAUUGCCAAUCUAGAAUAUUCCCUUUAAAAGUAGGCAAGUUCAACUUUGGUAAUUUGUGGUACUGAUUAUUUGUGCUAGAAGACGAAUGUAAACUUGGAAUAUGCAUAGACGGGUUCGUAGUAGGAAUAAUCUCUGAUAUAGCGGGGUUAACUGUAUAAAACGAGGCUGCAUUCGAUUGUACAUGAGAUGUCGACGUGAAACAAUUGGCGUGCGGGUUCAAUUGAGAGGAGUCGCUUGCGGGUACACUUUAGGCUAUAUCGGAACUAAAAGAGGGACAAGGAGAUCAGAGGAACAGUCAAACUCAUAAAUCGAAAAUAAACUGACAAAGCCAUGGCUAAAAAUGAAAAGGACAAAUAGACAAACAAUAGUACACAUGCCACAACAAAGAAAACUAAAGAAUAAAUAACACGAACCCAACCAAAAACUAGGGGUGAUCUCAGGUGCUCCGGAAGAGUAAGCAGAUCCUGCUCCACAUGUGGCACCCGUCGUGUUGCUCAUGAGAUAUCAAAUCCGAUAAAUAGUCUAAUUCGUAGGUCACAUUAUGAAGGGAAGGGGAUUGUACUUACGACCAAGGAACUAUCCGAUAUCAUUUGUGAAACGGUUAUUCCAUAGCGGCAACCAACUCUGAUGGCUCCCAAAAUUUACCAAGAGAUGAUUCAACUUACCCAUUUGGAACUCUUGAUUUAAUAGCUUCCUUGUCAGCAACAACCCUCUAUCAAGAAAAUCAUAAUAGGAAACACAAACACGGGAAUAUCGUAUACUUGAGAGUAAAACAAUAAUGUAAUUUGUUUUUUGAUCUUAAAAAUGGAUGCCUGACACACUAAGUAUAUGUUUAAAUUGUUGUGAUCAUGCGAGGGUAUCAUCAGCUCAGUAAUCAGUACUUCGGUACUGAGAUGAUUUAUAACAAUCCUUCGUGGUCAUAUAGCACUUUAAUUUUUACGGUAUUUAUAAAUCCUUGGCAAAUAUUUAGCUGUGGGCGUUCCUGAUGACGGUAAUUCCAGAAAAAUGCUUAUAUAACGUGUGUUUUUUUUUACAGUGCUUGGAUGAUACCUCUACUGGUGGACUAUCAGUCCCCGAGGGUAUCAUCAGCUUAGUAGUCAAAACUAUUGUACUGAAAUGAUUUAUAUCAAUCCCUUCGAAAACUUUCUACAAGAGAUUAAAAGAUGUUGAUUUACGCAUAUAAACAUCACUAUACGGCAUUCAACAGUUUAAUAUAUGUAUUAAAAAAAUGCAGAUUCAUGUCAUUAUAGGCGGCAGACAUAUAAACAAAACAAAUAUAAACACAACGAAAAAUUAGAAAAUAUUCCAACACCAUACAUUGAUUGUAAAACAGUAAUAAUAUUUACGCAGGUUUUGGUGUGUAUUCUUCUCAGUGAAAUGAGAAAAACAUAUUAGGUAUAUUAAGCAACCAAAGGCCCGUGUAAGAUGAAAUGAAAAGUAAUUCAAAGAAGAAAGAUGACGACCUGUUCAAUACUAAAAUAAUUAACGAACAACCAAUAGGACAUACAUUAACAAAAACAAGGACUUUUUUGUGACAACCAAUAAAAAAACAAAUCGUGGCGGGGUCCAUCAUGUUAACAAGCGCUUUAACAACUCUCUCUUCCAAGGAACGCAUUACAACUAAUUCACAAAGAAUCAAGACUGAAGAUUAACUUGUACAUAUAAAACGGAUUACAGAUAAACGUCAAAAACAGUCCGGCAAUAAUGUUCUUGUGUAUGCAAAAUGUUGAUGAAUGUUAACAGUGUUCAAAACUGUAAAGUACUAUGUAUUUGGUAAUGCAUCACGGAAUUCGAUUUAAAUUAUUCAUUAAAAUCUUAACCAGUAAUUUAAGACAUGGACACAGCAAUAUGUAUAUGAUUGCUUGAUUAUUGGUUCCCUGUGUGUUAAAGACGAGAACAAAUCAACAAUAAAUAUAAUUUACUCUGUGUUCUUGUCAUGUUAGAUUUAUUGAUACCUUGAAUAUAAUUAAGCUUGUAAAUUGUAAGUUGACAAAAACAGCAAAAUAUAAUUAAUUAAAGACAUAAAAAAAUAUAACAGGAAUAAAAAAAACUAGUGUUGUAUAAAAAAUACAGUCAAAGCUUUAACCAAAAUUAAUAAACACUAAGAUAUAUACAUAUACACAAGCAUAUAUACAAGUGCAAUUAAUGUACAAAUAACAGUAACACUAUCUAACUUUGAGUUGAAGUAUUAUUUUUUGCAAGAAUCAAAUUCAUAAAAUCCAGUUCACUCAUCUUUCUUUAAAGUCAUGUAUUUUUUUUUUUAUUUCUUUAGAGAUUGAAUAAGUGUUCAUCACAAUGUUAUCUAGAUGAUUUUGUAUUACCUUAAUUCAUUUACAUUCUUCAGAUUGGUAAUUUUGAAAUUCAUUAUAACCAGAUGUAAUGAUGAACUUUACAAUAUCUCUGAUCCAGCAGCCAAAAAUUGUUAUAUAAACAUACAUGAUAGACUAACAAUGAACACAAAAACCGGGUGCACUAAGCAAUUGCUUCCCAAGUAGUGGAAUCUGAUGUUUAACUUAUAACAAUAACAAUAAAAUCGAGAAUGGAAAUGGGGAAUGUGUCAAAGUGACAACAAUCCGACUAUAGAACAGACAACAGCAGAAGGUCACCAAUAGGUCUUCAAUGCAGCGAGAAAUUCCCACUACCGCAGGCGUCCUUCAGCUGACCCCUAAAUAUAUAUAUAUACUAGUUCAGUGAAAAUGAACGGCAUACUAAACUCCAAAUUAUACACAAGAAAUUAAAAUUAAAAAUAAUACAAGACUAACAAAGACCAGAGGCUCCUGACUUGGGACAGGCGCAAAAAAAGCGGCGGGGUUAAACAUGUUUAUAAGAUGUCAAUCCUCCCCCUAUACCUCUAGCCAAUGUAGAAAAAGUUAAAGCAUAACAACAUUAAAAUUCAGUUCAGUAGAAGUCCGAGUCUGAUGUCAGAAGAUGUAACAAAAGAAAAUAAACAAAAUGACAAUAAUAAAUACAUAACAACAGAAUACUAGCAGUUAACCGACAUGACAGCUCCAUACUUCAAUUUAACUGAUUGAAAAAUUAUAUCUUCAUCAUAUGAAUAUCAGGCACAAUAGGUGUUUAGUAUCAUACCAUCAUAACAUAUAUGAGAAGAUCAUAACCCGUGUCAUGCCAACAACUGGUUUUUAAAAAAAUGUGUUCAGUUCCCAUGCAAAGACCCUGUAAGUGAAUCAAUAUAAAAGCCAUAAUAUGCAAACUUUAAUGACCUGUCAACAGUAUCGUAACUAUAUCCCUUCUUAAUAAGUCUAUUUAAAGGUUUUGUUACAUUUUGAGGUGAAUACUGACAUUUUUGUGCUAUCUAAAGGAUAUUACCAUAAAAGAUUGGAUGUGAAAUACCUGAACGUAUAAGAUGCGUGUUGAGUUAUAUUUACGAAUGAUGUACCGAUAAAAAGAUUUAGUAAAUGCUUUGACUAGUUUGUGAUAUCGAAAAUCCUGGUGUAAUUAUUUUUCAGUAGUUCAUAAUUUUUUCUCGUUAAAAUCUAAAACGUUGUUAAAUACACGAGCGCAUCGUACAAGUUGGGAUAUAUAAACACCGUAACGUGAUAACAAGGUAACGUCACCAUUCCAAAAUAGAUAAUUAACGAUAGGAAAUGAAAAAUCAUCUCUUUUAUCAUAAAUUUUAGUAUUAAGCUUUCCGUUAAUGAUAUAGAUAUCAAGAUCGAGGAAAGAGCAGUGGUCAUUGUUAGUAUUAGCCUAAAUAUAUUCAGUAUACAUACUGAGGUCGUCAUUAUUCAAAUAUCUCAUUCAAAUAUCUAAAAGUAUUUUUAAAUUUUUGUAUCAGAUGUUGUUUCGAUGAGUCUUUGCUGAUUUUUGUCAUAAAUUGUAACUCAUAUUAAUACAAAAACAGGUCCGCAAUAAGUGGUGCACAGUUAGUCCAUAUUGGAAUUCCGAUAACCUGACGAUAUACGGAAUCUCCAAAGCGAACACAAAUGUUAUCUGGUAAAAAUAAAUAAAAAUGCCUUGAUAGGUCGAAUUUGCGGAACACAGACAAAAAGAUUGUGAAUCGGAGAAAUAUUAUAUGAUAGUGAAUAUCUAUCUUUAGCACAUAAAUUUCAUAACAGGAAAAAUGUGUAUGGAGCCCGUAACAGAUUCAUAACAUGCUUAAGUGCAAGUCUUCUUUAAACAUUCGAGGUUACAAAGCCAUGAAAAUUCAAUGUUAGUAUUAUUUGUUGAGACGCUAGAGGGCUAAGCGAAAACCAUUGAUAGUAGAACUGACAACUCUAUUCAAUUUAGAUUAGAGUCAUGUGCACUUUCUCUCGUAGGAUUCGAACUCACCAUCUCAGUGUUACAGUAGUAACUACCGAGUGAACUGUAUUUAAAAUUUUGCUUUGUCAGUUGCUGUCCUUUAAAAUUUGCGACACUCAAAUCUGAAAGCAACAUCAAAAACAUUCAACUAAUGUACUGAUAUCUCUAUUUAACUGUUAUACCACAUAAAAUGUUCAAAAUAAAUAAAAACAUGUGAUUAUUACCAGUAACACCGACUGUGAUUGUUCAAAGAUGUUACCGAUGAAUUCGAUGGUCAACCAUGGAUGUUACUGCAGACGUCGCCAUAUAAACAGAAGCUUGACUUUACACAUUGCGUUAUAAUUCACUUAAAAUUACAUACUGUCAUUAAACAAGAUACAUCAAAUAAAGUUUGUUUUUGACCAUUUUCAACAAGCUCAACUUCGUUUUCAGAAACAAUAAAUGUCUUGUUUUUAAUCAAAUACCACGAGGCAUACUUUUAUAAUGCUUUAUUCCAAUAAUUGACCACCAUCUACAAUACAGUUUCUCCACCAAGCCUUUCAAGUUCUAUUAGUUAUCUUAGAAAUGAUAUAAGUAUCCAGAUUAUUUUCAUAUUUAACAGCAGAAAAAAAAUAAAGAUACAAAUAAUUUUAAAAUUUGUAAUAUAAACUUUGUCGGUCUUCGAAGUCUCUAGCCUUCUCCCUAUGUGCAGAUGUACCAUCUUCUGUGUUUUCCACAAACAUGUUUUCAUCCAUUUUAUGGAUCGCCGCGAGCUUGUUAAAAAUGGUUGUAUUCUUAUAAGCGUGCAUGUUCAACAUGGUUGAAUUCUUAUAAGCGUGCAUGUUCAACAUGGUUGCAUUCUUUUUAACGUGCAUAUUAACCAUGGGUACAUCGUCUUUAAUGUGAAUCUUCGGCUUUGUUUUCAUAUAGCAAUCAAAUUUAUGUAAAUCAAUAUAAUGAUCGUAGUCGUCCGUAUCGUGUUCUGUAAACACAACCCAUGUGAAAUCAGUGAUAGCAAUAUAGUAAUCGUAGUUUUGUCCUUUCAAUACAUUUCCUCUGAAGGAAUGGAAAUAACCACGUAUUUGUGAAGGCGACGAAGAAGACGGAUAUCCACCAUUACCCCCAUACGGGCCAUACGUACGACCAUAAUUCGUAUCGAAAGAGAUACUAUCUAAAAGCAUACCACUCUUAAGAUUUAUACUUGUUAUGACUUCAUCCUCAUCAAGUUCAAACUCGUGCUCCGAUAAUAUGGAGUGUCUAGCUUUUGGUCGGAUGCCAUUAAGGACAUUAGUUCCACUGUGAUAUUCCACUCGAAUUCCUCCAAUUACGGUAAAGCGUUCCCAUAUUGUAACCCAUAACGAUAUCUUUUUGGGGCGAUCAUUUAUAGCUGAAACUUUCUCGAAAGAUUUUUCCGACUUUAAGUGUGAUGCUUGUAUAUAACACUCUGAACUUUCCAAAAGUUUCGAGGAAUUUGAAAACCUCCUUUCUUUAAAUUUGAGAUCACUCACAGAAAAAUUUGUAAAGGUGGAUCUAUCAAUGGUAUGGAAGCAGGGAUAAAUAUCAUAUAUAGAACUCAGAUCAUCUUCGGAUAUUUCCGAAAAGAGAAUUGAAUAAAGAAUAUAUAAGACAGUUGGAUAAUCUUUGACUUGUUUAGCUGUUAAUCUUUUACCCACAGCUUCAAGAAUAUGGAGUUCAGGAUUAUUGACUGGAAUGCCUUUACGAAAAACGGAAAGAUUUCUCUGCAUCAACAAGAACUUGAACUCUUCAUUCGAAAGAGUGUAGAACAAAUUUUGCUGAACAAACGUAUCAAAAUUUUCAGAUAUAUACAUGACUAUAGUGGCAAUCAAAUUCAUUAGAUUGAAUUGAAUUGCACUUGGCAGAAGAGACAUAGCUGUGGAGUGAUCGAUGCUGUUGAUUAAGAACUUUUCACACUCAUCCAAGAUGAGUUCGACUCGGAGAUAAGAAGCUGUUUCUAAAAGAUCUUCAACUUUGUCUCUUGCUAUUUCAAGAUCCCCAGAAUAUGCAAAUUUUAUGACAUGACACAUCGCCUCGGAUGAAACACAUUCUUCACUCAGAACACAUUUUCGUGCUUGCUUAUUGAAAUUUGAUCUAGAAUUAAAGUAAUCAGAAACACUGGACAAAAUAUCACUGUGAACUUUGGUUUCAAAUUCACCGCAUGAUACUUCUAGUUCACAGUUUUUUUGUUCUUCCCAUUCCCUUAUUUUGUUUUCAUCAACGUUGGUAUUCAGAUGAAUUUUCAAAACAUCUAAAUUUCUGUAAGAUAACAAUUGAACGAUUAUAAAUAAUAAAAUAUGACAGAAUUAAAAAUAAAAAACGACACUCUUAUUUUAUUGUACAACGUUGUAUAGAUAAGACUUUAAUCUGAUAAGUGAAUUUGAAUGGAAAAGCAAUCAAUUGAAAUGUGUCUUAUGAAAAUAGAGGGGAAAGAGAAAACAAACAUCGUUGACUGAAGAAAAACAUUAAUAUUAGAUAAAUAACAAUUGUUAUAUAUUUUUUCAUACCGACUUUAUCAGAGCAAAUUUGAGAAAACCCAUUACUCUCGCUGAAAAAGUCAGUAUAGAAAAACGAAUAAUUUGACCUUCUGGGUUUGACCUUGCUCCGACUCGGACUGGUACAUAUACAUGAUUUAGCAAUAUGUUUAUUUGCUGCUAUCACAGUGUAAUUCAACUAUUUUACUCGUAAUUCAAACAACGAUAGGAAUGUAAAAAGUUUUAAUAUAAUAAUGGAAAAAGUGAAUCAUAUAUUUUCUGUAAUGCUCAAACAUUAUUUUGAACAUAUAUAAAAAUGAGAAUGGAAAUGGGGAAUGUGUCAAAGAGACAACAACCCGACCACAGAACAGACAACAGCAGAAGGUCGCCAACAGGUCUUCAAUGUAGCGAGUAAUUCCCGCACCUGGAGGCGUCCUUCAGCUGGCCCCUAAACAAAUAUGUAUACUAGUUCAGUGACAAUGAACGCCAUACUAAACUCCAAGUUGUACACAAGAAACUAAAAUUAAAAAUGAUACAAGACUAACAAAGGCCGGAGGCUUCUGACUUGGGACAGGCGCAAAACUAUUUUUGAUAGACGAAUUGUUUGUAAAAACCAAAUUGACAUUUGACUCAUAAGUCAAAACUAAACUCGGGGGUUGAUCACAUGUGCUCUGGACGAGAAAGCAGAUAAUGGUCCACAUAAUGCACUCGUCGUGGUGGCCAUUUUAAAUGUAUCAAACUGUCGACAAGACUUAUUCGCUUGGUAACAUUGUAGAAAAGAUGGAUGGAAUUUGGGUAACGAUACGUGAAACAUAUUUAUCUGCGUAUGUAAUAGUUAUCAAAGUUACAAGGAUUAUAAUUUAAUACGCCAAACGCUCGUUUCGUCUACAUAAGACUCAUCAGUGACGCUCAGAUCUAAAUAGUUAUAAAGCCAAACAAGUACAAAGUUGAAGAGCAUAACGCUUACCUGACACGUGAUGGUGUUCUCAAAUGUUUUAAAGGGAUGACUUGAACUUCAUCAAUUUGAAUUCUUGCAUCAAUGGCUUCUUUGCAAACGAAAAAUUAUUGUUUAGGAAAUUAUGAAAUGCAAGCUCUGGGAUAUCGUAUUAACUCCAUAUGCACACACAACAAAAAAAAGUGUUGCUACAUUGAAAGUUCGAAAUCUGUAAGCAGAACACAUUUCUUUUGUUGUCAAAAUUUGUUCUCAACUGAGCCCUGUUGUCAAUUGCUAGAUAUGAAUCAAGAUAUUGACAGUUUCUGUUAUUAUCAAUUCGGUUGGAGGGAGGAAAUCAUAAAAACUACCUUAUUGUGAAAUGUUUAGUGAGACCAAAUCAUCUACAUAGAGGAAUAUGAUAUACUAAGAUAUUAAUAGCAAACCUCGAGGACAGAGAUUAUGUCCGUUCAAUACUUUACAAUACUACACACAUCUUAAGUGCAGUAUUGCGGAACAUGUAUAGAACGAAUAUGAACUCUGCGCCAGAAUGUUAUUGAUAGUUUUUUUCAUUCCUCCUAAGAUUCUUUUGUAUAAAGUCUGCCUCGUGUGAAUGAAAAAAUAAGUCGACAAGAGGAUGAGCAUUUUUGAUACCAAUGAGAAGUCCUCAAAACGCAGCAAUGUUACAAUGUCAAAACAGUCUUGAUAAUGCAAAUUACAAAUAUGUUUUAGUUUGAAACUGAGUGAUUUUUCAGGGUAUGAUUUUCCUUCUCAAAAAGAUGUAUGGUCAUUACUUUUUAUGAAACGAAGUAGAACAAAGUCUUUCAGGUUGUCUUUAUGUUUGAUUAAUGUAAUGCUUGACUAAUGUCUAAAAAAUAGUCCGUUUGUUAUUCUGCUACAAGAGAAAAGAAACAAAUGUACUUUAUCAGAUCUUAUGUAUGUUACAGUAUCAACGUCUGAUUCACACCGCUUCUAUAGUAAAUAGUUCAAAGACGUUUUGAAGCCCGGUUUAUAUAGAAGAUGAAAUGAUGUUUAAACUUUUUAAAAGAGGUUGUGUGGAGCAAAUUGAUGAUCAAUCAGUAUAGCGUUAUUUCUAAGACCAUUUAUGUAACUUAAUUAUCCAAUACCCUGCGGAAAGAUCCACUUAUUCGUUUAAUUCCGAAGGAACAUAUACAAAAAAAAAAUGAUUUUUCAGGAUUACCUCUUUAAUAAUUGUCGUUCAAUUUUGGAUAAAUGUUGAGGGUCCAAGUGAAUUUUUAAUACAUUUUUAAUUUUGUUGCAGUUUUACGUUAUGAUAUUUUACGCAAAAACGUUGUUGUUUUGGUUGAUAUUCGAGGGGGACAAUAACAACUUUAUCAUGGAGGUAAGAAAGGUGCUGAACCACUUUCAAUUAUCUAAUGAUCGAUGAAGCAUAGUGUAUAUUGUGUCCACUAGCCGAAAAAAGGUGAAAACUUCUAUGUUUCCGGUUAUCAGUAUGCGCAUGCACAAAUACUCAAAAUAAGCAGUAAUGUCUUGUAGUGAAGAUUGUGCAAAAUCGGUUAAAUUCGAAUCAAACUUCAGGACCAUGUAAGAACUUUUGAAAUAUGUUUAACUUAACUUCUUGAUCACCCGUCUGUUCAUCGUUCUGAUUAAAGAUCUUCACAAAUUUUAUGCAGAGGGUCAGACAUUGGACUUUCUAAAAACUCUGUUUUUGGGAACGAUAUAGAGAUAAAUAUGGAAUUCUUAGUACAGUUCUAGACUGAUUUCAAUCUUCUUUUGUGAGACAUUCCUAAUCAUGAAUUUUUGGAUAUAAAAAAGUAAUGUUUGAAGCCUUUUCUGCUGGACAAAUAAAAAUCAAUAAAAAUCAGGAGAGUCUGUAUAAUUGCCAAUGGAAUAACAAUCCUUCAAAGUUCAAAUGAAGUAGAUGUAAGCAAUUAUAUCAACCAUGCAGCCUUCAACAAUGAGAAAACUCAUGCUGCAUGAUCGACUAUAAAAGACCCCGACACGAAACAUUUCAAUACAGAAAACUAGCAAUUCAGUUGAAAAAAAUAAUUCGAGUUAGAAAACUAGCAAUUCAAUUUGAAACAAUAGCAAUUGAGAAAAACUUUCUUUCAAGAUAUAUAUAAUUUCCAAGUGACCAAGUGAGAAUUUGUUUUAAGAUGUAGCAAUGCAUACAAGCAUAACAGAAGACCAAUAAUUAGAACAAAGGUAAACAAUAUUUGUACUUACAUCUCAUUAUUGUCGAUUUGUUCAUCUAGUAGCUCUGUGUAUGGUGAUCCGUUCACCAGGGACAGUCCUCCCGUCUGACAAAUAGCUACUCAGAUGCUCGAGAUUACUAGCCAUCGUUCAAAAUAUCGGGCUUAAAGAAUGCCUAAAAGAUAACAAUAUGUUUUAUCUUCAAUUUAAUACUGUUUCAUUUGUUUGUAUAUGAAAAUUACGCUUCACUAGUUUAAACCCUAAAUGCAAGUGCCUUUUUACUUUUACUAAAUGCUAUCAACUCCUAGGAACCUAAAUGAAACUGCUUCAUAUAUAUUUUUUAACUAUUCAGAGACAAACUGCAUAUUUGUGGUCAAAAUCAUUAUGUAUUUGAAUAAACAGUACAUAAUCAUGAUAAUUUUAUGCACUCUUAACACAUUGAAAUAUCUAUAAGCUGAGAAAAUGAAAAUGCAUUUUAAUAUAAAUCUCAUAACCACCGCCAUUUAUUCUAAUUGUGAUUGACCGUUAUGAAUCAUCACGGAAAUUAAACCGAACAACUUAUGUACUAUUCAAGUUUUUUUAAUGGUGUUUGUGCGUCUUAUUUACAAAAUAAUAUGAAAAUAAUAUUUUACUUAACCUGAUAUCUAUGAUGAAUGAACUAGGUAUAUUCCCUUUAAAAGACCUAUCUGAAUUAUUACGAACACACAAACACAUACACUUUUAUAGUACUAUCGUAUGUAUAUAACCGCUUAGAAGGAGAUCACAAGUCUUACAUACAGGAACAGAAAUGAAGAAUUAGAACAAAACGUUCUUAAGAAAUAGAAUUUUACCUUGAUGAGAACUUCCUAUUUUUAUCCUGAAAAUUUUCAAAUGUAGUGUGGGUUUUUCCUGUUAAACAAGUGUCGCUGUUUAAAUUAACAUUUAUAUUAUAUAUAGUUACCUAUUGAUGACGUAAAUAUAAAUUAUGUGCUUACGGUGUCUGAGUUAAACGAUUUCUUGAUAUUUAGAGUCAUAUAAAGUUUAUUAAAUGUACAUAUCAUAUGACAGUAUAUGGAUUGGGUUGAGACCUUCAUAAAAAGUAUGCUGAUCGAAGCGUUGCUGGGUUGAUACAGUUGAAAUUGGUUAAAACCUAAUGUUAAAAUAAAUGAAAUAUUGGCCACAGAUAAGAAUAAUUUGAUAAACUUAUUUUACUCAACUAAAAAAAAUAAAAGUUGGUGACAGCAAUGUAAGCUGUAUAAUCUAAUCGUUAUUACUUUAUAUAUGCAUGAUUGAUAAUGCGCCAUAUGAUUCAUUCAAAAAUAGUGCAAGUGCAAAUUAUUGUAUGUUUUGUUCUUUUGAAAUAUGUUGUUAUAUCCAACUGUAUAUUUUGCACGCUAAGACAAUAUGGUAGCUUUGUUUGACCAGAUAUCUUAGGUCCAUGAAAUUCGCACAUUAGUAUACUGAUGAUACUGUUUUUUGUUGAGCGUAAAAUGUAAAAUUUGUUUGAGUUAGAAUGACAGCUGCAACGUUUUUUAUGUUAAGUAUUAUUAGUAUGAACUAGUUUUCUCCUCUGUCGACCUGUUACUUUCAAUGUGAAGUGACUACAACUUCAACCGUAACUACGUUAAAGACUAUAACCUUAUGAGGGAUAGAUUGAAAAACAGAUAAAAAGAAGGACAAAAACAUAUCUUCUGGUAUGCGGUUAUCGAUUAAAAAAUAAAAAAGCAAGAAGUCACACAGCGAAAAAAACACAAAACAGUCCAUGGUCAUAAAAUUACAAGACAAUCAAAGGCAUGAUUUUCCUGACUAAAGAUUUGUGGAAUAAAGCCACCUGCUUAAACGUGUUUACUUUUAUGCAAUCUCCUAUAAGAAAAUUCUACUAAUUCUACUGAAGAAAUAUAGAAUGUUAACAUAUUUCAUUAAUAGAUACUACUAGACGGAGAGAAUAUUCAUUAUUAAUUUUUAUUAUGCCCACCUACGAUAGUAGAGGGGCAUUAUGUUUCUCGUCUGUGCCUCCAUCCGUCCGUCUGUUCGUCAAUCCGUUCGUCCCGCUUCAGGUUAAAGUUUUUGGUCAAGGUAGUUUUUGAUGAAGUUGAAGUCCAAUCAACUUGAAACUUAGUAGACAUGUUCCUUUUGAUAUGAUCUUUCUAAUUUUAAAUCUAAAUUAGACUUUUGACCCCAACUUCACGGUCCACUGAACAUAGAAAAAUUAAAGUGUGAGUUUCAGGUUAAAGUUUUUGUUCAAGGUCGAUUUUGAUGAAGUCGAAGUCCAAUCAACUUGAAACUUAGUACACAUGUUCCUUUUGAUAUGAUCUUUCUAAUUUUAAAUCUAAAUUAGACUUUUGACCCCAACUUCACGGUCCACUGAACAUAGAAAAUUAAAGUGUGAGUUUCAGGUUAAAGUUUUUGUUCAAGGUCGAUUUUGAUGAAGUCGAAGUCCAAUCAACUUGAAACUUAGUACACAUGUUCCCUAUGGUAUGAUCUUUCUAAUUUGAAUGCCAAAUUAGAUUUUGUACCCAAUUUCACGGUCCAUUGAACAUGCAAAAUGAUAGUGCGAGUGGGGCAUCUAUGUACUUUGAACACAUUCUUGUUUUAGACUAAAUUUAUUCAUAAUAGAUUAUAUUAAAAAUUGUCAUAUAUACAUACACAUUCUCACAGGUUUGAACAGUCAUUACAUUUAUGAAAAUUAUAUGAAACGUAUGAGCACCAAUGAGCAGGAAUGCGUAUUCAAAAAUAGCUAAAUAUCUCAAUUUUAAAAGGACGUGAAUGAAAAAAAAAUGUACUUGGAUGGUUUUAAUUCACAAGUUUCAAUACCUUUCCUCUCACAAGAAACGGAGUGCAUAUUGUACAAAAAUCAAAACAAAUUAAUUACGUACAGUCAUAAUGUUAAUUCUUUUAUAUUGUUUUAGAAUGAAUUUAUUAGUGUCUGGUUAUAUUUUAUUUAGCAAUAUACUCGCGUAGUAGAAUAUUAGACUUAAAAAAUGAUUUAUAAUAAAUAGAAUAUCCGUAAAUACUUGAAGUAUUCUUCAUUGAUAUGGGUUAUAAAAGAGGGACGAAACAUACCAGAGGGAGAGCCAAACUCAUCAAUAGAAAAUAAACUGACAACGCCAUGGCUGAAAAUAAAAAGACAAACAGAAAAAUAAUAGUACAGAUGACACAACAAAGAAAACUAAAGACUAAGCAACACGAACUCCACCAAAAACUGGGGAUGAUCUCAGGUGAGCAGGAAUGUAACUUCUUUGAUAUUAUAUUCUAAAUUGUCGGAAAAAAUAGAUAUGUAUGUUGAUUAUAAAAUUUCAAAAAAUGUGUUUGAUUGUUAGUUUUAAUAGUUCAAAAUUAUAACAUCUAACUAUUUUUACUAUGGUGCGAUUCUAAAACUUGUAUUUAUUGUGUUGACCAGCUAUCCUACACGUCUUGAUUCAUUUCCAUUGUACAUCAUCUUAUUCGCACGUACACUAUCGUUUAGCGUUUACAAAAUUGUGAAUAAAAAGUCAAUUAAACGGGAAUCAAAACAUUUCAGGUAGGUAGUUUGACAGUCGAAUUCAACUGUCAGAUCAUUAUAUUCUUAUCGUGAAUGCAAAUUUUCGCUUUUAUCACCUUAAUUCAGGACAUGGCAGUAAGAGCUUGGCAUGUGACUUCCAAGCACGGUAAUCAUACCUAACAGUAAUUAGUUUAAGAAAGAUGCAAGCAGAUGUAUCUCCGCUUAGUAUGAUUUAAAGAGUUUUAAAAAGUAUAACUGUACGUCCGUCUAGUAUUCAUUGUUUUCAUUGUACAUAAAGAGUUGUACGCAUAACUAAAGCAAAUGCAUAUUAUAAUUGCCGUAUUUCAGAAUAUAAUCAGAAAGGACAACUCCAAGGAUAGCUUAUGUGGUUGUAAUUUUAUUUGAUUAAAACACGUGGCCGCGUGAUGUGCUAUAAACAUUGAAAAGUGUUUACUUUAUACUUUGUAAUAAUCUAAUAUAUUUACAGCCUGCCGCUUCACAUAUUUGCACAUUAUUCAAAAAGCGAUACUUCGCAAAUUGUAAAUGACCAGAUAAGGACACGUUUUGACAAUACUUCACUUAUGAUCACGAGGAAAAGGACUGAUCGCAUCAUAUAACGUAGAUUUAAACCUGUUUUCAACCAAAAAAACACAUAUUAUUUUUACAAACUGAUAUUACCCAUCUUCAUAUCAUGUUUGUUUAUUCAUUGACCCUUUUACUUAAUUACAGACAAAUGUAAAAAGAAAAGAAUUACGAAUAAAUAGUUUUUUUUUAAAUCUUUGUUUGCACAUUAUCGGUAAUAUUUGUUAUUUUUCUGCAGGUUACAAAAAAAAUAUAAUGUGUAAUGUGUUUACCCUUCCGGAGCACCUGAUAUUAACACUAGUGUUUGGUUGGGUUCAAUAUAUAGUUUUUUAUAGUGUGUCAUGAGUACUAUUGGUUGCCUUUUCAUUUUUAGCCAUGGCGUUGUCAGUUUAUUUUGGAUUUAUGAAUUUGAUUGUCCCUUUGGUAUCUUUCGUCCCUCUUUUACAAAAUGUAUGUUUGUAUCUUUUAAGUUACGCAAAAAAAGGAAAAAAACGUUCGUCUCAUUUUUUCUAUCUAUAUUGCAUUUCUGAUGCUGAUGUUUGUUUUGAGAUAUUUUAAAUGUAAUCAGAUUUCAUCAAGGACAUCAAUCUCAUUGCUUUGUUAGUCUUGUAUGAUUUUUAACUUAAGUUCAUUUAUAUGUUUUGGAGUUUAUUAUGGCGUCCAUUUUUACUUAACUUGUACAUUUUUUGCUUAGGGGCAAGCAGAAGCCACCCUCUGUGAACGGGAUUUUGUCGCUAUAGUGAAGACCCAUUAGUAGCCUUGUGCUGUUUUCUGCUCUUUGGUAUGGCUUGUGUCUCUAGCACACAUUCCCCUUUUCCAUGAUCAAUGUUAUCGUAACGUAAAAAAAAAGACAAAAAAAGAGGUAUUUCAUGACUUUAUAGCUAAUAGAAAAUGGCAUAUCUUAAAAUGAUUCCUGGCAACGACAAUUCAAUUAAAACUGUCUUGCAUUUUGAUUUUGCACGACAAAUGAGAUAUCCUAUCUCUUCUUUCACAACAGAUAAUAAUUGCCUUAUCAAUACACUUACAAAUAUACUAUAAUAAGGGACUUCCUUGUUGAAUACUUGGAAUCAGAAAAAGUUAAAACGAUUUACAGUAUUGUUCUUUGUUGUACUUAAUAUGAAAAGUACAGAUUUGACGAUUUGAAUUUUGAUGGGGAUUUAUAUAUGUUUGUUCAUUUAAAGAAUUGAAUUACAUUUUUGUAUAUUGUUAAUUCAGUAAAAUGAUAUUAUGUUUGUGUAUAUAAUCACUACCUCAGUAUCAUAUACUCGUCCGUUUUGUAUUAAAUGACGUACUUGAUAAAUGUUCCGAGCUAAAUUUAGAACGUUAGCACAGCUGUCAUAUUCUCACAGUGUAAAAUAAAAUCCGGGGUUCUAGAAAGUUAUAUUUCUGUUAACUGUUUAUUAGAUCCAGAAUAGUGAUGGUUAUAUAACAUGUUUACAUUUAUUUGAGCUUCAUGCUGUAGAUAUGUGGUACGAUUGCCGAUAAAAAAAACCAACUUCUUAGGUGUUUAAUCGCGGAAUUUUAACUUUCAAUAUCCACACUCUAACACAUCUGUGGUACAAUGUUUGAGGAACACAUUUCUUAAUUUAAACAUAGUUUGGGUAAAUUUUAGGAUAACAUAUUAUCUUAAAAAUAUUUGUUCUAUAAUAUAGUGUGGGUUGUGGGGAGGGGAGGGUUCUUUGAUGUUCUAUGUACUUUUUUCGUUUUUAUUUUCUCUCCGAUUUAAAUGCUAUCAUGUGUGCCAUACAUCUCUGCCAUCUGAUAUUGUUACCAAUGACGAGUAUAUGAUACUGAUGGCGUGGUUAUAAACGUAAACAUAAUAUCAUCUUACAGCUUUAACAAUACAAUAUAUUUAUAGUUCUCAUUAAAUUGACGAAAAUAUAUUUAUCACCAUAAAACUUUAAAAUGUCAAAUAAUUAACUUAUUUUCUACAUAGAAAAUGACUGUACAAUAACUUUUAUCAUAAUCAAUAUUACACAUAUGCUAUUUUUUUAAAAACCUGUUCAACAGAAGAUACCCUUUCAUUGUACUAAUAUAUGCAUGCAUUUUAAACUUUAAAAUAUUGAAUCAACACAUAUUUCUCUGUAAAUCCUGUAAAUUUCUGAUUGGCCUUAAAAGUCUAAUAAAAGUUUGUUAAUGUAUUUUAUUGCAAAUGAUCACAUUGAAAAUAUUGAAAAAGAGAAGAACUCGCUUAUACCAAAAGAAUUUAAAUCAAGUGAUUGUAUUUCGGUAUCAUCAAAAUGUUUCAAUGAUUUUUAAAGUACUGAUUUUAUCUUGCAGUAAAUCUAUAAGAUUAGAACUUUUUUUGUGAAAUCGAAAUUCUUUUUAAAAUGUUUAGUUUGGGUAACAAUAUCAAAUAAACAACAUAUUUUCUGAACUAUAUCAGAUAUUUAAAUAUUUGUUGUUUUCUACUGAGUGUCACAAGAAGCUUUUGAACCAAAAGUUCCAAGUGAUAAAGUUGAAAUUAUUCCUUUGUAACUGAUGAUAGCGGACAUGUUCUUAAUGACGUCCUCGUGUAAUAUAAUUUGAAAAGGACACCGAACAAUGAAAUUCUAUACUAGUUUUUGAGCUGAUGAGACCAAAUAACCUGAUGGUGAACUUCUGUAACAAGAAGCACGAAAUUUUACAUGAAAAUGCACUGAUUUCACAGUUAUUAUUACCGGAGACUUCAACAUUGUCAAUAAAACUUCCCUGCAAAAUUUUUAUUCAAAGGUCCGAAAUAUCGUGAGCCAAAAUUCAUCAUUUGGAAAUACAACUUCAAAAUAUUGAUGGAUUCAGUCGAUGUAUAUCCCAGGGCUAAACGCUAGAAAAAAGACGUAAAUACUCUUUUCGAAUGGAUAAAAGAGUGACGAAAGAUACCAAAGGGACAGUCAAAUUCAUAAAUCUAAAACAUACUGACAACACCAUGGCUAAAAAUGAAAAAGACAAACAAACAACAACACAUGACACAACAAUAAAAAAACUUAAGAAUAAACAACACGAACCCCUAAAAAACUAGAGGUGAUCUCAGGUGCUCCGGAAGGGUAAGCAGAUCCUGCUCCAGAUGUGGCACCCAUCGUGUUGCUUAUUUGAUAAAAAAUCCGGUAAAUAGUCUAAUUCGGUAUGUAACAUUUAAGAAAGGGUAGGGAUUGUAGUUACGACGUAAGGAACAUAUCCGAUAUCAUUUGUGAAACGGUUAUUUCAUAACGGUCAACCAACUCGUGAUGGCGUCCGUAAAAAUGACGAAGGGAUAAUUUCAACUUCACCAUUUGGAACUCUUGGUUUAAUAGCUUCCUUGUGAGCAGCAACCCUCUAUCAAGAAAAUCAUGAUAGGAAAUGUAAGCACGGGAAUAUGAUAUCAAUUGGGAGAUAUAUACCCCGCAUGCAGGUGCUGCUAGAAUGUUGCUAAUUAGAAAUGGAAAGUUCGCAAUUGGAAAGCUGAAAUCAUCUCUUUUGUCGUAAAGUUUUGUUUUCAACCGACCCUCAUUGUCAAUUUCUAAAUGUAAGUCAAGAUAUGAGGCCGACUUAACUGUAUAAGGAUGGGAUAGAUGCGUUCCACAUGAUAGUCACCAAAUUUUGAAUUAUUUAGUGAAAGAACAUCAUCUAUAUAGCGGAAAGUAGAGUUAAAGGAUAUCGCUAACUUCUUAUCUUUCUUUCUAAGAAGUUCCUGCAUGAAGUCAGCCUCAUAAUAAUAAAGAAACAAGUCAGCAAGUAGAGGGGCACAGUUUGUUCUCAUUGGAAAGCCGACAGUCUGUUGAAAAACACGUCCUUCGAACGUAACAAAUAUGUUGUCAUUCAAGAAAUCAAGCAUCUUGAUAAUAUCAGUUUCAGAGAAUUUUUUGUUUGAAUCAGAUUGAUCUUUUACAAAGUAGGAUUUAUCCCUCCCUAAGACAAGAUACUUGUAUCUACGUUGGCCAUUUCUUUUUUUUAUGAAGCAAAGCAAAUACCAACUCGUUCAAUUUUGUCUCUUAGUUUUGGAAUGUGGAAUACUUGUGUAAAGAGUAGAAAAGUCAAAUGUUUUAAUACUGUUACAAGAUGAAAGAGAGUUAGAUUGUAUGUACUUUAAAAGAUCUUUGGCAUUUUUAAGUAUCCACAUCUGAUUCACGCCCCCUCUAGAAUAGACAGUUUCACAAUAACUUUGAAGUCCGUCUUUGAUUACUGAUAAAAGAGAUGUUAAUAAUUUAGAAAGAGGAUUCGUUGAGCACUUGUAAUACCUAGCACUAUGAUAUACCGCUGUUUGUAAGGACACUUAUGUAGUUUAGGUAUCCAAUACAGUGAUGGAAGAUCCAGUUCUUAAUCUUUGGUUGAAAUUCCUAAGGAACACAUAACAGACCUAUGAUUAUCCCGGAUUUCCUCUUUGGUAAGUGCCGUGAGGGUAUAUAUAAAAAAGAAGAUGUAGUAUGAUUGCCAAUGAGACAGCUAUCCACAAAAGACCAAAAUGAAACAGACAUUAACAACUGUAGUCCACCGUACGGCCUUCAACAAUGAGCAAAACCCAUACCGCAUAGUCAGCUAUAAAAGGUCCCGACAAGACCAUAUAAAACAAUUCAAACGAGAAAACUAACGGCCUUUUUUAUGUAAAAAAAUGAACGAAAAACAAAUAUGUAACAAAUAAACAAACGACAACCACUGAAUUACAGGGUCCUGACUUGGGACAGGCACAUACAUAAAAAAUGUGGCGGAAUUAAAUAUGUUAAGUUUCCAAGUGAAUUGUCAAUACCUAAUUCGUUUAUCAAGCAGUUAAUGUAAUGAGUUUUACACACAAAAACGAUGUUGUUUGGGGCUUUAUCUGCAGGGACAACAACAUAUUUGUCAUGGAGGUAGGAUAGGUGUUUUGCAACAUUCGGGUCUUUAAAGAUUGACGUAGCAUGGGCAUUGAUAGACCCGUUCAGUUUUUUAAUUCUGAUUUAUAUCAACGACCUCACUGAAAGAGUGUCUACGUCUUCCUUCUCGCGUUUAUCCCAUUGCCUGGCAUAAUCGCAACUGAAUCAUCAAAAUUUUAAAGUUGUAUUUCCAAUUUAUGGAUUUAGGCUCACGAUAUUUCGGACCUUUCGAUAACACAUUUCGUAGAGAAGUGUUAUUAACAAUGUUGAGGUCACCGGUAAUAACGUGGCCAGCAGGAUUAAAUGUGAAAUGGGACCUAGCACAAGUGCAAUCAGGAGGUUUAGACUUGAAGUCGUCAAUAUCGAGAUCCUGCAAAACGUGUUUGUAAAUGAAAAUUUUAUUUGCAAUAGGUUUGGUAUAGGUAUAAGAAAUGAUUGGUACAGACUGGUCUUUGAAAUAAGGAGGUAUUUUCGAUUGAACUAAUUUAUGAUGAAGGAUGUUGCCUCAGUUGACGCCAUUGAGACCUUUGUUGGCAACGGAAAGAUUAAGGAAAGAUCUUCUCUCUUUUUGAAAAGUUUGUGACUUGCAAUAUCCGAAAUUUGAUAAUGGUUUGAAUGAGGGUUUGUAACUGUGGAUUCCAAACAUAAAUUGAACAGAGAAUGAAGUUUUGAAAGGGGUAAUGAAUAAAGGUUCGUGCGAAUGUGAUGAAUACCUAACGGCUUUUGUAUAAAUGGCAGCAAGUCCUUAGUAGAUACAUCAUGCAGAGAAGGUGAUGCAUGAUGACGAUGACCAUGACUGCGUCUACGUCGAGGAGUCGAGUUGAAAAUAUUCAUCACAUUCACUGAGUUACCGUGUCCAUGGUGACGUCUGUUUCGGACCUUUUUAUACUGGGCGACAUCCGAGCCAGUUUCCUGUUAGAUCUUCUUAAAUUCAUGCAAUUGUAGUUUUGCUACUGGGCGGAUGAUGUCCUCGAGGACAAGAUGUCCACCAGCAGAGACAUCGACCCAGUGGUUAUAAAAAUUGACGAAAGAUACCAAAAGGACAGUCAAAUCAAAAUCUAAAACAAACUGACAACGCCAUGGCUAAAAAUGAAAAAGACAAACAAACAACAGCACACAUGACACAACAUAGAAAACUAAAGAAUAAACAACACGAAAACAAAAGCUGUGAGGUUGUUGAUAAAAGUCCGAAUCAAGAAACUAAACGGGUCUAUCAAUACCCACGCUACGUCAAUUUCUAAAGACCCAAAUGUUGCAAAACACUUGUCCUACCUCUAUGACAAAUAUGUUGUUGUCCCCGCAGAUAAAGCCCCAAACAAUAUCGUUUUUUGUGUGUAAAUAUCAUUACACAAACUGCUUGAUAAACGAAUUAGGUAUUGACAAUUCACUUGGAAACUCAACAUAUCCCCUCACGACACUUACCAAAGAGUAAAUCCUGGAAAAUCAUAGGUCUGUUCUAUGUUCUUUUGGAGUUUCAACCAAAGAUGAAGAACUGGAUCUUCCAUCACUGUAUUGGAUACCUAAACUACAUAAGUGUCCUUACAAACAACGGUAUAUUACUGGGUCUUCCAAAUGCUCGAUGAAACCUCUUUCUAAAUUAUAACAUUUUCUUUUAUCAAAGCCGGGCUCCAAAGUUAUUGUGGAACUGCCCAAUCUAGAGGUGUCGUGAAUCAGAUGUAGAUACUUAAAAUUGCCAAAGAUCUUUCAGGUUACAUACAAUCUAAAAAAACACUCAUCUUGCAAUAUUAUUAAAAUAUUUGACUUUUCUGCACUUUACACAAGUAUUCAAAAUUCCAAUCUAAAAGACAAAUUGAAAGAGUUGGUAUUAAUUUGUUUCACUUAAAAGAAUUGCGAACGUAAAUACAAGUAUCUUGUUUUGGGUGGGAUAAAUCCUACUAUGUAUAGAAUCACUCGGAUUCAAACAAAAAAUUCUCUGAAUCAGACAUAAUCAAGAUGCUUGAUUUCGUGAUUAACAACAUAGUUGUUACGUUCGGAAGACGUGUUUUUCAACAGACUGUCAGAAUUCCAAUGGGAACCAAUGUGCCCUUCUUCUUGCCGACUUGUUUCUUUAUUAUUAUUAGGCUGACUUCAUACAGGAACUUCAUAUGAAAAAUGAUAAGAAGUGUUCUUUGACUGUACGUUCCGCUAUAUAGAUGAUGUUCUUUCGCUAAAUAAUACAAAAUUUGGUGACUAUAUGUUGAAAGAAUCUAUCCCAUGGAACUAGAGAUAAAGGAUACUACAGAUACAGUUUAGUACGCUUCAUCUCUUGACUUACAUCUAGAAAUUGACAACGAGGGUCGGUUGAAAACAAAACUGUCCGACAAAAGAGAUGAUUUCUGCUUCCCAAUUGUAAGCUUUCCGUUUUCAUGUAGCAAUAUUUCAGUAGCGCCUGCAUGCAGAGUUUUUUUUUACAGAGUAUACAGAGUAUAAUACAGUAUUGCUGCUCACAAGGAAGCUAUUACACCAAGAGUUUUAAUUGUAAAGUUGAAAUCAUCCCUUCGUAAAUUUUUCGGACACCAUCACGAGUUGGUUGACCGUUAUGGAAUAACCGUUUCACAGAUGAUAUCGGAUAUGUUCCGUAUGUCGUAACUACAAUUUCUUUCCCUUUUCUCGAAUGUGACCUACCGAAAUAGACUAUUUACCGGAUUUGUAAUAACAUAAUCAAAAAGACGGGUGCCACAUGUGGAGCAGGAUCUGCUUACCUUUCCGGAGCACCUGACAUCAUACAAGUUUUUGUUUGGUUCGUGUUGCUUAGUCUUUAGUUUUCUAUGUUUUGUCUUCUUUACUAUUGUUAUGAUAUUGUAAUUAUUGUAUUUAUUUAUGUUGGCCUGAUUUGUGUUGUGUGGCCUGAUAGUUUUCUACAGAAUAAUCUAGAACUGUUGCAGUUUAGAAUCACUGGAACAAUCACAGAAUGAUUGAACUUUCAUUUGACUUACACAUGAUUCCAGAAUGAUCCUAUUAAUAAAAGAUGCGUUAUAUAAACUUCUACAUUUAACUAGAAACUUCCGUUGUAACUUUCUAGGACGUUCCAUUCUAGAGUGUUCUAGAAUUUUCCGUGACAACUUUAUAUAUACAGACACUUUUUAAGUUAAACUCUCACACUUAGACUUAGACAUCGAUAGACAUUAUUAUUCAUAGUAUUUGGUUUGACACUUUUAUACUACAAACAACAUCAUACUGGAUUGUGACCGUAGUAGUGAAAGUAAUAUUCAGAUUGGAUUCCGAAGAUAUCCGAUACAGAUAAAAAUAAAAGAUUGGACUCAUAUUUUGACAGUUAGUUGACAUAAUAUUUGUGUGAUACUUCUUGUAAAUUGUAAAUGAAUAUUGUUAAAUUUUAUUAUUGAUUUGUGUCUUUUGUUGGCUACAAUUUAAAGGUAAUUUCUGGCCGUAACACUAUUAUUUGUCUGUUGUUUUUUUUUUAUUUUAGCCGUAGCGCUGUCAGUUUAUUUUCAAUGUAUGAGUAUGACUAUCCCUCUGGUAUCUUUCGCCCCUCUUUGAUGCUUAAAAUCUCCACUGCAGCAUAAUUAUAGUCCGUCAGAUAGCAUUCUUAAAACCGUAAUUCAUAAAACAGUCCUUGGAAACUAUUUUCCCGUUUGCUGCAAUCCAAGAAAGUCUGUAAUUAUCACUGUCAAGAAUUAAGUCUUUUUCUAUAUAUCUAAAUCGUCACAUAUUUGUGUCAGGGUAAUGUCUUAUUCUUCAUCGCACACAUAUAGCGAUCAUUUUAUUUUUUCUAUAUUAUGAUAUUUCUUAACUGUCGAUGAAUUUUAUUCAACUGUUAUUUGCGCCUUUGAAGAAGUCCGUUAUUUUUAGAAAGUGGGUGGCAUUUGAAUGGCCCAAAUCAAGGGAAUAUCUUUACAGACUCUUAUCAAAUUAUUUUCAAUGCAAAAAAAUUAAAAUAUAUAUAUGCAAAAUAUUUUUGUAAUAAUGACAGUUGCAAAAGGUUAAAAAUAUAUUUCAUAUUUUGGAUAGUUUUCCGAUGUUUCGUAAAUUAUACCAUAGUUUUUGUUGAAACCCCCGACAACCUCAUUCAACAUUCGGUCUCGUAAGGUUAAGGCCGGUGCUUUCAACAACAUCUAUUAAAUAUUUACGAAACACCCAAAAACUAUCCAAAAGAUAUGAAAUAUCUAUAUUUUACAAAAUAAUAGGUGUUAUGAAAAUAAGAAAGUGCACGUUUUAAAUGGUAUAGUCAUAAUAUGUACUAGAAAAGUUGAUAAAAAAUCAAUAUUUUUGAUAGUACAUCUAUUUUCAUAAAACUAUCUUCAUAUCAUGUUUAUGGAUUCGUGGGGACAGACUAUGGUGAAAAAAGCUUUAUUUUCUGCCAAAUUAUUUUACAUAUAACUCGAUAUGCCCACUGGUUGUACAUAUAUGUUAGAAGUGUUUUUUGUUCGCUUCCGUGUUAUUGUUGCAACAAAUUCCAAAUUAAUGUUUGAUUACUAUGCCAGAUUAAUUUUAUCGAUGUUACACCAUUUCUUUGUUCUUAAUUUCAAAUUGUGGUGUGAGCGUCGGGUUGCAAAGGUUCCACUUAGACAAGUUCCUUUGGUGAUAGUAUUGUUGUUGUUGUGCAUAAACUGAGUCUAUAAAAGAACAGACAGGAUAGGUACCCAAUAUCCUGUCUGUUCUUGUAUAGCAAAAGAUAACCGGACGAUCUACAAUGAUUAGAUAACACUAGUCAAUUAAUGAAAUCGUUACUGCAUCGUCAUAUAUUUCUUCGUCGUCAAAUUCGUCAGAUUCGUAACAGACGCUAGCUUUCAAAGGUGAGUUUCUAUCGGAUGAUCGAGGUUUNNNNNNNNNNNNNNNNNNNNNNNNNNNNNNNNNNNNNNNNNNNNNNNNNNNNNNNNNNNNNNNNNNNNNNNNNNNNNNNNNNNNNNNNNNNNNNNNNNNNNNNNNNNNNNNNNNNNNNNNNNNNNNNNNNNNNNNNNNNNNNNNNNNNNNNNNNNNNNNNNNNNNNNNNNNNNNNNNNNNNNNNNNNNNNNNNNNNNNNNNNNNNNNNNNNNNNNNNNNNNNNNNNNNNNNNNNNNNNNNNNNNNNNNNNNNNNNNNNNNNNNNNNNNNNNNNNNNNNNNNNNNNNNNNNNNNNNNNNNNNNNNNNNNNNNNNNNNNNNNNNNNNNNNNNNNNNNNNNNNNNNNNNNNNNNNNNNNNNNNNNNNNNNNNNNNNNNNNNNNNNNNNNNNNNNNNNNNNNNNNNNNNNNNNNNNNNNNNNNNNNNNNNNNNNNNNNNNNNNNNNNNNNNNNNNNNNNNNNNNNNNNNNNNNNNNNNNNNNNNNNNNNNNNNNNNNNNNNNNNNNNNNNNNNNNNNNNNNNNNNNNNNNNNNNNNNNNNNNNNNNNNNNNNNNNNNNNNNNNNNNNNNNNNNNNNNNNNNNNNNNNNNNNNNNNNNNNNNNNNNNNNNNNNNNNNNNNNNNNNNNNNNNNNNNNNNNNNNNNNNNNNNNNNNNNNNNNNNNNNNNNNNNNNNNNNNNNNNNNNNNNNNNNNNNNNNNNNNNNNNNNNNNNNNNNNNNNNNNNNNNNNNNNNNNNNNNNNNNNNNNNNNNNNNNNNNNNNNNNNNNNNNNNNNNNNNNNNNNNNNNNNNNNNNNNNNNNNNNNNNNNNNNNNNNNNNNNNNNNNNNNNNNNNNNNNNNNNNNNNNNNNNNNNNNNNNNNNNNNNNNNNNNNNNNNNNNNNNNNNNNNNNNNNNNNNNNNNNNNNNNNNNNNNNNNNNNNNNNNNNNNNNNNNNNNNNNNNNNNNNNNNNNNNNNNNNNNNNNNNNNNNNNNNNNNNNNNNNNNNNNNNNNNNNNNNNNNNNNNNNNNNNNNNNNNNNNNNNNNNNNNNNNNNNNNNNNNNNNNNNNNNNNNNNNNNNNNNNNNNNNNNNNNNNNNNNNNNNNNNNNNNNNNNNNNNNNNNNNNNNNNNNNNNNNNNNNNNNNNNNNNNNNNNNNNNNNNNNNNNNNNNNNNNNNNNNNNNNNNNNNNNNNNNNNNNNNNNNNNNNNNNNNNNNNNNNNNNNNNNNNNNNNNNNNNNNNNNNNNNNNNNNNNNNNNNNNNNNNNNNNNNNNNNNNNNNNNNNNNNNNNNNNNNNNNNNNNNNNNNNNNNNNNNNNNNNNNNNNNNNNNNNNNNNNNNNNNNNNNNNNNNNNNNNNNNNNNNNNNNNNNNNNNNNNNNNNNNNNNNNNNNNNNNNNNNNNNNNNNNNNNNNNNNNNNNNNNNNNNNNNNNNNNNNNNNNNNNNNNNNNNNNNNNNNNNNNNNNNNNNNNNNNNNNNNNNNNNNNNNNNNNNNNNNNNNNNNNNNNNNNNNNNNNNNNNNNNNNNNNNNNNNNNNNNNNNNNNNNNNNNNNNNNNNNNNNNNNNNNNNNNNNNNNNNNNNNNNNNNNNNNNNNNNNNNNNNNNNNNNNNNNNNNNNNNNNNNNNNNNNNNNNNNNNNNNNNNNNNNNNNNNNNNNNNNNNNNNNNNNNNNNNNNNNNNNNNNNNNNNNNNNNNNNNNNNNNNNNNNNNNNNNNNNNNNNNNNNNNNNNNNNNNNNNNNNNNNNNNNNNNNNNNNNNNNNNNNNNNNNNNNNNNNNNNNNNNNNNNNNNNNNNNNNNNNNNNNNNNNNNNNNNNNNNNNNNNNNNNNNNNNNNNNNNNNNNNNNNNNNNNNNNNNNNNNNNNNNNNNNNNNNNNNNNNNNNNNNNNNNNNNNNNNNNNNNNNNNNNNNNNNNNNNNNNNNNNNNNNNNNNNNNNNNNNNNNNNNNNNNNNNNNNNNNNNNNNNNNNNNNNNNNNNNNNNNNNNNNNNNNNNNNNNNNNNNNNNNNNNNNNNNNNNNNNNNNNNNNNNNNNNNNNNNNNNNNNNNNNNNNNNNNNNNNNNNNNNNNNNNNNNNNNNNNNNNNNNNNNNNNNNNNNNNNNNNNNNNNNNNNNNNNNNNNNNNNNNNNNNNNNNNNNNNNNNNNNNNNNNNNNNNNNNNNNNNNNNNNNNNNNNNNNNNNNNNNNNNNNNNNNNNNNNNNNNNNNNNNNNNNNNNNNNNNNNNNNNNNNNNNNNNNNNNNNNNNNNNNNNNNNNNNNNNNNNNNNNNNNNGACCUCCAAACUAAGCUUAUAUACCUGUAACAAAAUUUUAUUCAUCGUUUUUAUUUAUAUAAGAAUCAACUUUUUGUGGAUUGAAAAGGUAAACUAAAUGGUCUUUCCCUUUUGUUUUAAUUUCACUGUCAUCCUGUUUCUUUUUGUAGCGCCUGCGACUUUUGUCGCAAAAGCGAGACAUAACAAACCAUUCUGUCGUCAGUAGCGUCCACACAUAUUCACUAAGUGGUUAAAGUAGUUAUCAAAGGUACCAAGAUUAUAAAAUUGCCAAAUACGGCUAAGGUUAUCUAUGCCUAGAAUAAGAAAAUCCUUAAUUUUUCGAAAAAUUUAAAGUUUUGUAAACAGGAAAUUUAUAAAAAUGACCACAUUAUUGAUAUUCAUGUCAACACCAAAAUGUUGACUACUAGGCUGGUGAUACCCUCGGGGACGAAACGUCCACCAGCAGUGGCAUCGACCCAGUGGUUCAAAAGUACCAAGAUUAUAAUUUUGUACGCCAGACUCGCGUUUCGUUUACAUAAGACUCAUCAGUGACGCUCAUAUCGAAAUAUUUAUAAAGCCAAACAAGUACAAAGUUAGAGCAUUGAGGAUCCAAAAUUCCAAAUAGUUGUGCCAAAUACGGCUAAGGUAAUCUAUGCCAGGAAUAAGGAAAUCCUUAGUUUUUCGAAAAAUUUAAAGAUCUUUAAAUUCUAAUAAUUUUCUUAAAUUAUCCUGGAUUUCUACCAAACUUGAACAGAAGCUUGUUAAUGAUCAUAAGAUAAUUUGCAAGACAAGACAAGAAGUAAAUCUCGUAAAAAUAAAAUCUAGUUUUUCCGUAUUUUACUUAUAAAUGGACUUAAUUUAAAAUUGAUAAAGGAAAUGGGGAAUGUGUCAAAGCGACAACAUUGCCAGUAAACAAAACAUUCACACUGUGGUUAAGUUUUUAAAAUUUUAAUAACUUUCUCCAAAUAUCCUGGAUUUCUACCAAACUUGGACAAAAGCUUGUUUAUGAUCAUAAGAUAAUCUCCAGAAGUAAAGUUUGUAAAAAUAAAUCCUUUUUCGUAUAUUCCUUAUAAAUGGACUUUUUUCCAGUUUACUCUACAUACACCAUGUACACUCUGCGGUUAUUUUUUUUUUUACCUUUAUUGGUUUAUUAACCAAAUUUGGACAGAAGCUUCUUACAGUACUAGUCAAAAGAUAGUAUCUGGAGGAAAAUUUUAAUAUUUUUCCCCAUAUUUGUUGAGCCUGCGACUAACAGCAAAAGUAGGCGAGAUACUGGGUUCCGCGAAACCCUUACAAUUUAAAAUCUGAAUACAUCGGUAACCUAUCUCCAGCAAGGGGUUGAAUUGAAGCCGAAUUGAAGGUCACAUAAAUACGUAUUCAAUGAGGUCCAAUUAUUCACUCACAAGUGCACAACUCAUCAAACAGGUUUCUCAACUUAUUUUAGUAAAAAAAAUCAUAUUUAUUUUUUUGUAUAUCUUGUAGCUAAUGCUCCUAUAAUAAAAAGGUGCAAUUUAGGCUGAUCACUUUUUGAGAGUACUCACUGAUCUUCUAUAGUUGGUACUACCAUAACUUUUGAUCAGCUGACCAUAUUACAACAUUGUUUAAACAGUUAGUAAAUAGGUGUAAAAAUUCAUUUUAAAAUGAGUAAUUACUGGUAAUAACUGGGCAAUUUCAGGAAUAACUUGUAUUUACUAAAUGCACCAGGGAUUACGUGUAAUUCAUAAAUUUUAGUAACUACAUGUAAUUCCUAUUUUCACCUAUUUACUGUAACAUAUAUAAUGUAUACUAAAGAUAUAUUAAACCCAAUGUCAUUCUGGCCAACAUAAGCUUAUUUUUAAAAUAUUUUACUGCUACUUUUAAACUAAUGUUAUGACAUAAAUCAUAUCAUAUCAAUUAAUAAUGUUUCAUGUAUCAAGUUGUAAAAGUUUAAACCGAUGAAAAGUAUCAAAAUAUCAAUGUUAUUUGUACAAGGCUUAGAAACAGGUAGAAAGCGAGGCUGUGCCGAGCAUUUCUAGCUGUUUCGAGCCGAGUACAAAUAACAUUGAUAUAUCGAGACAAUGUAUGGUUAUUCUUUAUAUACUGCAACUCUUAUAACUGUUCUAAAUGAAGUAUCUAGGGUAAAAACCAUCAUUUCUUAAUUUUGAGCGGAAGAGGUAAAAUUUCCGCGAACCUGUAUGUUUUAUCGACGUCAUAAAUAAAACCCUACGGAAACACAUUGUCAACGUCAUAAACAAGCUAGGUUAUAUACGGUCAGUGACUGUAUAUCACAUAUGAAUAUACGGUCAAUGCAAUUUGACUGCUCAAAUAGCACAGCUGCAGUAUAUAUUGUAAUGCCGACAUUCCCCCUUUUUCAUAGUAAACCUAUGUAUGUCUGAAUAUUUUCUUGAAGUUAUGGAGGAUACAAGAUAGAUGUUAGUGAGAUGUUUUGUGUUGCAAGUCAUUAAGACUUGUAAUUUGUUAUUUUGGCUGUUGUUUUCAUGAUACGGCAUAUUUGUGUAUAUAUGUUAGUUUGUUAAGUUUGUUUAUUUCACGUACAGAUUCCGUGUUUUCGCGAUAGUUACCUUAUUAUACUAUAAACUCAAAUAAAACUGUUCUAUAGAUCUUUUAAUACAUAUAAAGUCAAAUCCAUCUUUAUUGAUGAAGAUCAAUUCAUGUUUACAAACAAUAUCAACAUUACGGGAAUUUCCCUUGUGUGAUCCAUGGUUUCCGAUUGGUAAACAAUAUGUAACAAGCUCUUCCAUUGGUCAGUCGAAAGUAUAAAUACAAAAGCAAUAACAGAAACGAUGGAGUGUUGGGUUAAUAAUGAAUGGGAAGUGACAAACUUAAAUAGAAGCUGGAAUAUGUCUGAGAAAUACAGACAAGCGUUGAAAGUUAACUUUGUUUUAAUUAAAGAUUGUCGGUGCCGGUGACGGUGCUAAAUAUAGGUGACGGUGACGGUGCUAAAUGCGGUUACCGGUGACGGUGACAGUGCCAGUGACAGUGCUAUUGAAGGUGCACAUUAAGAGUUCUGUUGGCGGUUUUGACAUGAUUAAUAUGUCAUUUAAUGUGUUAUACUAUUAAAGUUGUUGUCUUCUUAGUUCUAUAAUGUAGAAGAGCGUUUUUAUCCUUUAAUUGAGAUUAUAGAAAGAUACAAAAUAAGUGACAACCUUGUUACUUGACUGUUGAAUUAAACAUGCACUAGUUGUGUGUGUCUAUGCAAGACCAACCUUAACCGGGGACCUGACCAGACCAGAGACGGAUCCUGCAAGACCCAUUUCUUCCGUCGUGGAUAUUUUUUGAUAUUAAUUAAAUAUGAAACUUUAUUUUAUUCAGAUAUUUUAUUUCAUAACUGAGAAUUAUAUAUAAAUACAAGUAUACGUUUUCCUUUUCUGUAACUUGUUUUGGUCCGAGAGUUAUUAGUGGACGUCGAACCUUACACUUUAUAGAUCCUUUAAAUCCCUUUUUCUUUGUGACUCUGUGUUUUCUGAUGACCGACUCUAGCACCAAGGAGGCGGCGUUACAAUAUAUAGAAUAACCAUACAUUGUCUCGAAAUAUCAAUGUUAUUUGUACAAGGCUUAGAAACAGGUAGAAAGCGAGCAACAAUUCCUUUAAUGUCGGAAACUCCUGUUUUUGAGGUUUUCGUUAGUUUUUAUUUUAUUUCAACAAUUGAUUUUUUUAUUUUUAUCUCUAUUAACUGGGCCUGUUUGUUUUUAUGUGAGACGAGGGAAAGUUCAUAAGGAGUUUUCUGUUCCUCAAUUGAGCCAAAUGUUUUGAUAUCAUUGGCAAUGUUGCUUAUUUUACCAUCAAUUUUGAAGUGUAAAAUAAUUUUAUCAACAUAGUGGUUUCCAAUGACCAACUGCAGGUACGACUCAAUACUUAUUGCCUCUGUAGAGAUCUUCCGUAAUCCAAGGUAAAUUUGAAGGUUGGUCGCAUACUUGUCCAUAUCUUUUAGCUGUUGUUCAGCUUCAUGUGUAUAAUUAAUCCUACCUUCUCGGAUCUUUAAUGUUUGUUUAACACCAUCAUUUGAUUUAUUUGUUAUCUCGAAGAUUUCAUUUCUGAUCUCUUUUUCCAGUUUAUCAAAGUGGUCAUUACUUUGUGUUCUUGUUUCACUGAUCUUGGCGAGUAUUGUCUUUUCUUGCUGUUUUAUAUUUCCUUCUUUUUUCUUAAGCUCAUUUUGUAGAUUUUGUAUGUUUUCAAUUAUAUCUUUCAAACCUUGAUUUGUUUCUUGGAAAAGUGACGACUUUAUUACGUUUUCUGUAACCUUACCUUGGGGUACUAUACCUUUGCAUUAAUCAUGAUUCCCAAUACAUUUCAGGCAGAGAAGUUCAUCGUGAGCUUGGCAAACCAUUUGGUAUUGUUCAUUAUGUUCAACGCAAACCAUUCUUGUUUGUGAAAUAGACGGUGACAUUGCCGAGAAGUCCUGAAUUGAUACAGUCACGUGAUGUUAAGACAACUUUUUCAGCUGGACCAAAUCACUACUUUACAUUAAAAUUCAUGACCCCAUUUUUAUACAGCGUUAUUUUACCCCCUACUUGCUAUGUGAGGCAUUAAACAUAGAGAAAUAAAUUUGGAAGUGAUAUAAAAAAAUAUUGGCAAGUAACACACCAUCCACACUAGGGACUAUAUUCUUUGACAACGAAAAUCAAGGGACGACAAUUGUGGUCUCGGACCAAUUGGUUGACCGUUCUGUCAAUCAAUCUGGUGAUGGUUACAAACAAACAAACAAACAAACAAACAAAUAUUUUAUUUGCAAAUCAUGGCGCCCAAUAUGAACGGAAUAAUUACAGUUUAAAUUUUCAAACAUAAUGUUAAGUAAAUUAGAAAUAGGUUAAACAAAGUAAAUACAUUCAUUGCCUUUGAUGGUGACCCAUCUAUUGGUAAGUGGAUAACCAGGUUUCAGUGUAUAUCACAUGAUUUUAACAUUAAAAAUGAGGUAAGCAAUUCAGCUUUCGAACUUCAAAUGUGUUUUAGACAAUGAAGUAAUGCAUGAAAUUUAUGUGCAUAUAUUUGAUUUAACAAAACAUGCAUAUUUAAAAAAAAAAAGGAAUUAAAAAGAGAAUUACCUAGUGUUGCGUUUCUUAAGUCAGUUUUUAAUUAAGAAAUACUAGAUGCAAUCUAUUCUUUAUUGUAGUGUUAACAUGGGUAGGCAUUAUAUUCGUGAUUAUUUUUGCCCGAGCGAUAGCGAGUACUAGAAUACCAUGAAUAUAAUGCCUACCCAUGUUAAAUCUACAAUAAAAUAUAGCUUGCAUCAAUUAUUUGGAUUUUGAUGAGGAUCAAUUACGGUUAUUUCUAUGUCCGAUGUGUAUAAGUGUAGAGUGUUUGUUAAUGCUCUUCUAUGAACCUCCAUAAUUUUUUUCAGAGGGUUGGAUUUUGAAAAACCAACAUGACCGUUGUCGUUUCUAUGUCAAAUAGGUCAGUUGCGAAUUGUAGCACAUUGUUGUCAUUGCAUUAACAAGAUGUACAUCAUUUGACAGUUUGAAAAUUUUUAAGUUAAUAAUACCAAUUUGAUAAAAUUCAUUUUUCUGCAGUAGUCAAAAUACGCAUGUGCAAACAAAUUUUAUUGGAUUUUGAACUUGGGUUUUUUUUACAAAGCAAAAGAAACACGUCAUAUUAGUAUAUAUGACAAUGGUCAGAGUUAUUCAAAAAUUUAUAUGUUUUCAUUUUAUGUAUUUUGCACAUGAAAAAUCAAAUACGGAUGUCUCCCAGCUGAGACGAUAUUUCAGACCUUUUCUUACUUAUCAUAAUAUCAUAUCUUUCAUAUAGAGAGUUGAUGUCAACAAUUAAUCUAUCAAGUGAAGGAUUCUAAGAAGGUAGUUUGAAGUCCUUUGUUUUCAAGUUGGUGGGUGUAUUAACAUUUAGUUGACUGCUAUAAAAUAUCUGUGAUACAGAUGCAAAUUUCCGAAACCAAAGCUAUGUCCUCUUUUUUGUCGAUUGAUACCGAAAGACACAUCACGGAAAUUAUACUGACCAAGAGUAACAUGACAGGUGACAUGUGUUGAGCAAAGAUCGUGCAUACCUGAGGUCUCAUUCAAGAUUUUUGGUCUUUAAUUUGCUAUCAGUGUUUUGGGUUGUGGUUCAGUCUUUUCUACAAUGUUGUCAGAUUUGUUUUGAUUUAUGAGUUUAAAAUGUAAACUUGGCAUCGUUCUCCUAUUGUUUAGUUACAGUCUAGUUGAGGUUCUAUAUCUAUUGAUUUGUAUUUUUAUAAAUAAUUGCUAGAAACUAAAUAAAUAGACAAAAUCAUCAUUCAAAGAAAAGAUCUCCUUUAAUGAGUCGAUUGAUAAUUGGUUGUAGAUCUGAUCUUAUUGAUAAUUUUUAUUUUUUAUUUAAUCUAAUAUAUAUUCAAGAUAAUAGACAUAAUUACAAGACAUCGGUAAGCACACUGAAGAACAAUAACACAUAUAAGGAAUGAAUUGAAAAUUUAAGAAAUCUAACUUAUUAGAACAAUUUAUCUUGUUGGUAAUCUUUUUGUGUGAACAGUUUCUUUUUAUCUUUUAUACAUAUGUUUUUCCAAUUCGAAGUCAAAUCGCAAGAAUUUAGCAAAAAUUGAAAAUCGAGGAGACUUACUCCCUCUAAAAGUCGAUUAACAAUUUACUUAUGCUGUUUGUUCGUGUGUUUCUCAGACUGUUCAUGUGAUUCUUAGACUACAUUUCAGUAACUGUGAGUAGAUUUAUAUCGGUGAUUAUGUCUAUUGUUUUUUAGUAGUCGGUAUACUUGUGCUUUGAACCUAUUUAUUGAUCAAAACUUUCAGUACCUGAACUUACAAAUAGUUCUUAUAUAUUAAUACCGCUGUAAUACCACUGUCCCAAGUUAUAGAGAGUUGAGCAGAUACUAUCAUGUUUUAAACCUCCAUAUUCUGCAUGUGCCUCUCCCAAGUUAGAAACCUCUAAUUCAGUGCUUGUCAGUAGUUUAUGUUUGUAAUAGUUGUUCUUCGUAAAUUUUAUCAUCUACAUUUGGUCGCUUUUUCUCGUUUUAAUUGUUUCACGUUUUUCUUACAACUCAAUCUAAGACUCUAUCAUUUUGCAUAGUAUUAAAACAUUUGACCUUACUACACUCUACACAAUGAUUCCCCAUUUCAAACUAAAAGACACAUCGAAAGAGUUGGUAUUGCUUUGUUUCAUAAUAAAGAAUACAAGUAUCUUGUCUUAGGGAGGGAUAAAUGCUGCUCUGUAAAAACUCCCCUUAAUUCAUACAAAAAAAAUCUUAGAAACUGACAUUAUCAAGUUGCUUAAUUUAUUAAUUGACAACAUAUUUGUUACGUUUGGAGAACGUUUUCAACAGACUGUCGGCAUUCCAAUGGAAACCAAUUGUGCCCCUCUUCUUGCCGAAUUUUUCCUUUAUUAUUAUGAUGCUUAUUUCGUAUCAUGAUUUCCUUGAUAGAGGGUUGAUGCUCACGAGAAAGCUAGUAAGCCAAGAGUUCUAAUUGGUGAAAUUGAAAUCAUCUCUUCGGAUGUUUUACGAACGCCAGCACGAAUUGGUUGACCAUUAUCACGGCUGGUAAUCUACACACGCAGAACAUUUGGUUCUGCAAUGAAAACCGUGAGAGGAUUUUCCGGUUGUGCUUGAGUGGAGUAAUUGUCACCGCUUCAAAAGGUAUGUACAUUUCUAAAUCUCAAUUUUCUUAUUCAACUGAUCAAACUAUUGAAAAUCAAAGAAUGCUAUGCUGUGGCGACUACUUUAAAGAAGAAAUACAUGUAUCAUUUACUGUUGUACGUAGAGUUGAACUCUUAUAAAAUCAGUUGCCCCACGAGAAAUCGCCAAAAAAGUGACAUUUCAAUUUUAAAAUGGUUCUAUUUACAGACUUACAAGUUCAAAUUUAGUUUUUUUUAGGGCAAUGUGUAUGAAUGUUGUUUUUGGCGGCGUGUACGCUGUCCGGUGUUGAUAGACGUCUUAAUAAUUCCAAAAACUACAUUUUUUCAUUAAGUCAUGCGUGAGGGGAUCGGUUCUGAUUGAGGACAUCGUGAAUGCGUGAGGGGAAGUACAGAAAUUUUUUUUAAAUCUUUGGCUUUGUGACUUUUGUUGACUCAAUAAAUGUGAUCAAUGCUGAUUAAAAAUCAUCACAGAUUUGUCCUUAUACUUUAAGAGAUGUAAACUGAUCACUGAUUCAAUGAAAUCAAACUAUUUAACUUGUUUACUCAAAUUCAGAAAAUGCCAUUAUUCAAAGGUAAAAGGAAAAAGAGGACUAAAAUUGACUCUCUACAAAAAGCCAUGAAGAUAAAAGUUAUCCCCGCCCUCGAAGCGAACUAAACCCUGUGGGAGUAGUCCUGUCGUCAAAUAUACAUUGUACGUCACAGAGAUCACCACAUAUAUUAAAGAAAAGUAUAUCGCCGAUCAAAACUUCAACACCUAUAUAUAUUAGACGUAAUCUGUUCACCCAAAAUCACGAAAUUUUCGAAACAAAAAGGGCAGAUAUACAGAAUUUAUUAUUCACGAACAUCGAUGUAAGCCAAGAUAAUCUCGAGGAAGACCAUAAGGAAGAGCAUGUAUUAGACAACGAAGAAGACAUAGAAGAAGUCACAGAAGAAGACCACGUAGUAGACCACGAGAAAGACCACAUGGAAGACAUUGAGGAAGAACAUAAAGUUUUUCAAAGUGCUUUAGAUAAACUCUCAGACGAAGGGAAAAGGGAAAGAUUUUUGAUUUUUUUUCAUUAGUGGACGUUUUCCUUUAAACAACAUUGCAUUCGACCUGUUUUUGGACAUUGUUGAGUGGUUUGAAAAGGACGAAUCAAGACGAAUGAGAUACUCCCCAACAUCUCUGCAGAAUUUUUGGUUAUCGUUGACAACAUUUUUUGUUUUUAUUCUUCGUGAAACAUAUUAUUAAACCAUACGUUCCAACAAUUUAUUUCAAUAUCAAUCUCAGUGAUUUUUUUAGCACACAUUAUGUGUUUUUUUCAUGAACAAUGUAGCCUUAUUUAGGUAAGUUUCAACGACUCAUAGCUCGAAUAUAAAGAUAUGAUUUGUACUUCCCCUCACGCAUUCACGAUGUCCUCAAUCAGAACCGAUCCCCUCACGCAUGACUUAAUGAAAAAAUGUAGUUUUUGGAAUAAUUAAGACGUCUGACAAUCCCGGACAGCGUACACGCCGCCAAAAACAACAUUCAUACCCAUUGCCUAAAAAAAAACUAAAUUUGAACUUGUAGGUCUGUAAAUAGAACCAUUUCAAAUUGAAAUGUCACUUUUUAGGCAAUUUCUCGUGAGGCAACUGUUUUUGUAGAGUUCAACCUACGUACAACAGUAAAUGAUAUAUGUAUUUCUUCGUUAAAGUAUUCACCACAGCAUAGCAUUCUCUGAUUUUCAAUAUUUUGAUCAGUUGAAUAAGAAAAUUGAUAUUUAGAAAUGUACAUACCUUUUGAGGGUGACAAUUACUCCACUCAAGCACAACCGGAAAAUCCUCUCACGGUUUCAUUGCAGAACCAAUGUUCUGCGUGUGUAGAUUACCAGCCGUGAUUAUUGAAUAACCGUUUCACAGAUGAUAUCUUAUAUGUUCCUUAUAUCGUAACUACAAUCCCCGUCCCUUUUCACGCAUGUGACCUACCAUAUUAUACUAUUUACCGGAUUUAUUUGUUAUAAGAUCAUCAAUACGACGGUUACCAUAUGUGGAGCAGGAUCUGAUUACCCUUCUGGAGGACCUGAGAUCAUCCCGAGUUUUUGGUGGGGUUAGUGUUACUUAGUCUUUAGUUUUUAUGUUGUCUCAUGCAGUGUACUAUCAUUUGUAUGUUGUCUGAUUCUUUUUUAGCCAUGGCUUCGUCAGUUUAUUUACGGACUAUAAGUUUGAUAUCUGUCUCUGGUAUCUGUCGCCCAUCUUUCAUGUGAGGGCCUUUUAUAGCUAUACGGUAUUGUAUUUUUUGGUUAUUGAAUUCCGUGUGGUUGCUAUUGUUCUUAUCAUUAUUACUUGAACAGUGAGGAAUAUUUUUUUCAUUGUACCUGUUUUCCGUUACCUUCUUGUACAAUAACUAAGAAACAAUUAAAUGAGAAAACUUGGAAAUAAAGUAAGGCCAAGGACAUGUCAUACAUAGCGAUGAACUGACGAAACACCUCUCGCAAGACCUGAAUAUGUAUUAAUCUACCGUUAAAUAUUCCGACUUUUCACAACUAUCGACAAGACACUGGUACAUGUUUUUAUUUUAUUUUGAUAGCUUCAAGGAGAAAACAUUACUGACAAGCAACAUAACUGCACAUAGUAGCAAGAGCGUAUCCUUCUUUAUUGAAUUUGUAAGUCGCAACUUAAAUGUUUUAAUCUACCACUUCAUAUUCAAACACAGUUUGUUUUCCAUUUGCAACAAAAAGACGAUUGCGAUGUCUAUCGAAAUGUAAAGCACAAGGGAAUUGCAAUCCAUCGUCCUGAGACAAAAUUUGUUUGUUAUUUUUUCCAUCCGAGGACAGCACCAUUACACUGUUUGAUGAUGAACAUGCUACAUACACAUUCCCGCUUUUGUCUAAUGAUAUCCCGUGUGGGUACUUUAAUAUGUCAACAUUUUUAAAUGUCCAAAUAGAUUUGCCGUCCAUGUCACAACAAACAACAGUUUUAUAAAAAUCGUUGGUGUAAUACAUUUUAUUAUCAAAGAUUUCAAUAUAUGACCAUGAGGGUAAGUCUGCCUGGACGAUACAGGUACUACUUCCGUUCGAAGGGUUUAAUUUGAAAAUACCCUUUUGGGGCGCACACACAAACAAAGACCCAUUGUAAUGUGUUAUUCCAUAGCAUUGGUAGUUUGUUGAAAUGUACUUUGUUAUAACCUCUGUGUCAAUAUCUAUAAUAUUGAUACCUUUCCUGGUAUGUUCACAUGACGUAACAGCUACAGUCUUAUCAUCUAUAUAAGUUACAUCAAAUGCGUUAGCAGGAUUUAUUGAGAUUUUACAAAGUUUUUUCCAAUCGAUACUAAAGAUAACAACAUCCCAGCAUUUGGGAUCCAUGUCACUUAAUGCAAUGUUUCCACUCGGUAAGACAACAACACCUUUUAUGUCUGAAACCCCUGUAGUUGUGGUUUUUACUAGCCUGAUUUUUAAAUCAGUGAUUGGUUUAAUCUUUGUUGCUACCAGCUGAGCUUGUUUACUUUUGUGUGUGACAAGUGAAAGUUCACAAGGAGUUUUUUGUUCUUUAACUGAUCCAAAUAUUUGAAUAUCAUCGCUAAUGGUGCAUAUUUUGUCAUCCAAUUUAAAUGGAAAAGUGAUUUUAUCCAAGCUGUGGUCUCCAAUGAUCGAAUGUAGGUAAGAACCAGUAAUAGCAGCUUCCUUCUGAAUCUUUCUCAAUCCAAGGUACGUUUGAAGGUUGGUCGCGUACCUUUCCAUGUUUUGUAACUGUUGAUUAGCAUUAUUAGAAUCAGUAUUUCUGCUUUCUAGCAUCUGGAGUGUUUGUUUAACACAAUCAUUUGAUUUACGUGUUAUCUCAAAUAUUUCAUUUCUGAUCUUCUCUUCCAAUUUAUCAAAGUGAUGAUUAAUCUUGUUCCUUGUAUCGGUAAUCUGGGACAACAUAGUAUCUUCUUGCUGCUUUAUACUUCCUUGUUGUUUCUUUAGUUCACUCUGUAUAGUUUUUAUGUUAGCAUUUAUAUCUUUUAAACUUUGUAGCGUUUCUCGAAAUAGUGACGACUUUUUAACGUUUUCUAUAACGUUAUUUAGAGGUACAAUGCCUUUGCAUCCAUCGUGUUUUUCAAUGCAGUUGAGACAGACAAGUUCAUCGUGAGCUUGGCAAAGCAUUUGGUAUUGUUCGUUAUGUUCCAUGCACAUAUUACUGAUUUGCGAACUAGAUGAAGACAUUGACAAAUGAUUCAGCAUCGAAACAGUCACGUGAUGUUUAGAUAACUUUGAAACUCCGUGGUAAACGUUACAAUCGUCACAAAAUGCUUGUUCACAUUCGGGGCACCAAACGGUGGACGGUUUUGCAACAUGUAGUUUGUCACAGAUGUCACAGAGGUGCUGGGUAGCUGCCAUCUCAUAUAUUCUACAAAAAAUAUUUUAGAAAUCGUCAUGUUAUUACACUAAGUACACUGAAUGUUGGAUGUGUACUGAUCGAUAUUUAAGACUUAGACACAUGAUGGUUUUACUAGUCAAAAUAAAUAUAUUUAUAUAAUAGUUCUUAAAAAACUGGUCAUUAUCGUGAUAUAUGGACUGCCCACAGACAGUGGAUUGAUCAGAUAGUGAUAAUGACUGAGCAAAGCGAGGUCAUUAUCGCUGUCUCAGUCAAUACCACUGUCUAUGCCAGUCCAUGUAUCACGAUAAAUGACCAGUUUUUCAGAACUAUUAGUUUAUUUCAUUGGAAACCAUGUUUUGGGAAAAUCUCGUAAAUUAAAAUGCCUAAAGCGAACUCGGGUAAGUUGUACGAUUUCUGACAAAGAUGAAGACCAGUCGUAGUAAUACUGCCAUUCAUUUUAGUGCAUGUUUUUAGUAUAUAAAUACUUAAUCAAGUUAUCUUUAAUUUUAUAUUUAACGAAAACAUAUAAUAAACAAUUCACAACUAAAUACAAUAUUAAAAUCAGACACAUUUUCAUAAAGGUAUAAAACGAGAAGCUAGCCCCAGCGGUCAUUAUCAGACGGGAACCACGCACCAACGUCAUUAUCAGACGGAAACACGCCACCGGUAUAUCAUGUAAAGUUUUAACGAUCGUUUUCUGGUCCGUUUUUCUGUAAUGACCGAUGAAUUAUUACUGAAGAAUAAUGAAUGCCAUGUGACCCCUUUUUAUCCAAUACGAGAAUAUUAUUCUCAACCGAUAUGAAAUAAGCGUAGUUCAUGAUGAGAUUAAGGAUAUUGAACCCUUGUGUUGAUUCAAUGCUAAACAUAUGGGAAUUUUAAAGAAAAUCCACAGCAUUUCCCUUUGUACUCUCAUAUUUGGAAAUGCAAUGCUUGAUAGAUAGGAAAUUAGUUUAUGCAGUGCUAGCAACCAUUUCCUUUAAACAAGUUUUUAAAUUUAGAUAUUGGUGAAAACAAAUGAAAAUUUUGAUCAAUUUAAUUACACCUUCUAGUGUGCGCUCGACUUUCGUGACUCAACACGAGGGUUUUUAGAAAUGUAAAGGUUGUUUGGGACUUUUUACUAACCGGAUAAACGCUAGCACAUCAUUGCAAAAUAAGUGAGUAAUAUAUGUUUUCAGCAUUAAAGUCUAUAUAUUUUCUACAAAAAUCUUGGUUUUAUCAAAGACAUAUAUACACAUAUGUAUAUAUGUCUCUGGUUUUAUUUACCAAAAAGUCUUCUUUUUCUAUUAAAUGCAAUGCAACAAUAAAUAAUAAUGUUUUCAAGAAUUUUUGUGGAAGUUUCCCCUUGGUAUAUGUACAAAAAGGCCCAUUUCAAUUAUAGUGGAAGAUAUUAGCAAGCAAAAUCGAGUGAAUUGUGCAAAUGAUGAUACAAGCAUGAAAAUUACCACAAAGCAUCAUAAUUAUAUACUUUUUAAGAAAUAACUGCUGGCCAUUAAAAAAAAAAUUUUUUUCAAGAUGGCCACGGCCAUUUUCUAAAAUGGCUGUUUUCUUCAGUUUGAACAUACUAAUUUUUCUUGAAAACUUUUCAUUGAACUUCUAUUAGUAAAAAACAAUUAUCAGGUUUGGCGGCUACCUUCCUUACAUCACAUAUUUAUUAAGAUGAAUAUCCAGUAUUUGCGCAUGCGCGAAAAUGUUACAAAAUUCUUUCAAAAACAUUUGAACUAUUUACUAUUUAUGUAGUGUUUUUGGAUAUCUAAUGAUAUUAUGAAUUGGUUUCAUAACAUUUUUCAAGGUUAUCAUACACAAGUGUUUAACACUUUUGCGCAUCUGCAAACUAUUUAUAGACACCCAGAGCGAUUCGUAUGCACUACCAGGCAAUUCUAAGGUAUUCGAUGGAUAAGGCGAAAAUGUGGUGAAUCCCGGAGAAACAUCAAUUGUAACUGCAUAUCAGCCACUUUUGGAAAUGCCUAAGAAAAUUCACUGGGAAUGGCCUGAUUUUUACGGAAAAGAUAAGUUGAUCGUCAUGUUUGGUGGAUUGUACAUUAAAAUGACUUGUUAUAAAACUCUGGGUGAUAUAUUGCGUGAUAGGGGAUUGAAAAUUUGUCCUACUGAAGCCAAUAUUGUAACACCAAGAACGGCAGAUUCUUUUCAUGUAUGUUUAAAUGUAUCUAGGACUAGACAGGUGCAUCAGACAACUGCAUGUGAACUGUUAAUUUCGGAUUAUGAAAGCUAAACUCAGAAAGUAUAAUUAUGUCAUGACUCUGUGACGUUCUAUGAUUUAAAAGACUGGUGUAUAGAGUCAUCUUGACCACAGUUUCAUUCCUGGCGUUCAAUUAUAAAUUAAGAACUUCUUCUGAAUUUGGUAUUAUGCUCAUUUCAUGAAUGAGAUUUCGUACUUUACAAACAGUCCAUAUAGAUCAUGAUAGCGUAUUGUUUUAGGUCUUGGUCGUGUAAAUUAUGCUCGAUCGUAACAGACCCAUCCCCAAGAUAUGACUUCACCCACAGGUGGCUAUGGAAUUUGAAAAUGAUAAUUUCACUGUACGAAAGACCAGCAAAUUUCUUUCUUAUAACACAAUUGAUCAGGCACAAAAACAGAAUAAUGCCAUUGUGAAGGGCGAUGUUGGUGCCAUAGGAUUAACCGAAGAUCAAAUUUAGACAAAUGGAUGGUAGCUGGACCAGGAGUCAGUAUACUAGAAGAUGAAUUUGAAAGAUCUUGUGGUUUGUGUCAUUCUAUAACAGAUGAACGACCUAAUGAAGACUCUACGAAAACACAAAAAGAUGUCUUUAAACAGCUUUAAAGACUUUGUAAAGUGAUGAACGAGUUUGGAAAUUCAUUUCUAGAUUCGUGAGAUUUGUAAAAAAGUACUCCAUUUAGGAAAUGGUAGAACAGGUAAGAUAUGUAAACAAUUCCAAGAUAUUUGUCCAAACAAUACGAAGAUCUUUUGAAGCAAAUGCAAAAUGAAGGAGAACCUGCUUUUUAUAACCAAAUAAAAAAUAACAACUUCUUAUUUUGGCCGCAAAAUGAAACUGGAAACGUCUUUGUCAAAAACAAAGCUAGAGAACCUUAAAAGUGAUUGCGAUAUCUUUUCUAGACUUUGCAUUUCUUGUUACAGUAGACAGUUUUACUUCAAAUAUUUCUUUAUCCUUAAGAACCAAACUUCUCGUCUGUCUUUAUCUCAGGAUGUUUCUUGAAAUAGUGGUAUAAAAUCGCUGCAAAUGGGUUUAUUUGAAACAUUCUACGAUGAUCCAAAUUCGGACGCAUUUAUCGUCGGUGGGGUGGGUAGCAAUGGUUAAUUCAAGGUCGCAAAGUUGGGAAAAAAUAUUUGAUGAUUAUGCAAAUAAUGUCAUACUGCCUGACAAAAAAUCAUGCAUCGAUUAGUAUUCAAGAGUAGACAUUGUAUUUGAUGUUUACUAAAUAAAUAAUUUAAAGGCUGUGGCAAGACAAAGGCAAGGUUUUUGUGCCAGAUAGAAAGGUGUUGGCAGAACAUCAAGGAUUUGGAGUAGUUUUCUCUGUGAAGAUGACAACGAGACGAAAUUGUUCAAGUUUCUUGCUGACAAAAUUGCUUCUUAAGAGACUAAUGAAAAUGUGUAUGUUACACAUGGUGAAAAGAAUCUUUGUAAUUUCAAUAAGGAUACUUCCUAUCGACCCCUUGUAAUCAUGAAUAAGCAGAUACACGAAUGAUUGUCCAUGUUCGGCAUGAUUAUGAAAAGUGUUGUAAAAUGUAAUAUUAGGUAGUACUGACACAGAUGUAAUAGUAUCAAGAAUUACAGCAAUCGCAAAACUAGGUAGAACACAUUGUGUAUAGGCUAUGGAAGGAAUAAAGACUUUUGAUGGCUUCCUGUACGUGACAUAUCAAAUGCGUUUGAUCCUUGUGUAGCUGCUCUUCCUUUCGUUCAUGCAUUCAGUGGAUGUGACACUUUGUCGAAUUGUCGUGGAAAAGGGAAUUGGUCUUCUUGGCCCACAAUGGAAGGUUUUUCAAAUGUAAAGGCCGGUUUUUUUUGCUAAAAUAUGAAGCGAGUCACGAUGUGAAUUGUUUGCCAGGAAGCAGCGGCACUGUGAUGCAAUUCCGCCUACAUGAGGUUCUUUUCCAGAGCACAUAAAAAAAGAAGUAAAUCAAGGAGGAGUUGUUUUGGUUCAGCCUGAUUCGUGUAUUCGACAGGUACAUGUACCAAGUCAUGAACACUGGGGUUGGAUGAAAUAAACAAUCAAUGACAGUUGGAAACCGAAAUGGACUUCUGUGACUGCCGUUGCAUCCUUGUGUCAGGAACUUUUGAAAUACGGAGGCAAAAAUCCAGCUGUGUUGGUAACUGUAAAUGCUACCGUUCUGGCCUUCCUUGUACGGGUUGUUGUAUAGGCAACUGUCAGAUAAUUAUAAGAUAAGCAACCUGUUUUUCUAACCAAACUUGGCAUUUAAACUUAACAAAGAGUGCUAUCAAUUGUUAAGUUGGUGGAAAUUAUAAAAAUAUUUUCUACGUAUUUGCCUCCAUUUUGGAACCGGAAAUCACAAGUUUUUUUCAUUUGUGUGUUGUUUUGUCGUACUUAGGAACUGUUUUUAACGUUUUAUCAUAACUUACAUUUUAUUAUAUUUGAUUAUACCUAUAACACAUCUUUCAAGGAUUUACAUCCCUUGUGAAGUUGCUUGAAAGUAUAAGAAUUGAAAUUUUUGACUUUUUUGCCGGCAUUUUAAAACCGGAAGUCACCUUUAGUUUCAUUAAUGUAUUUUCUUGUCGUAUUUACUUUUUAUCAAAUCUAACAUUGAAUUUAAAUAUAACACACCUUUCAAAGAAUUAACGAGUUAUUGCCAAUUUAUAAUGACGCCAUUUCUAAAAUGUGUGGUGGCCAUCUUGAAAUUUUUUUUCUUUUUUUCUGGCCAGCAGCGGAUUUUUUAUAAGUAUCAUUUAGUCAACCUUUAUACCAAAUUUCAUGCUUGUAUCACGAUUUGCACAAUUAUGUCCAUAAUAUCUCCCACUAUUAUUCGUUAUCUUGAUUGUUUUGAAACUAUUGCAGUUUAAAAAAAAUUGUAAUUCACAUGGUUAAGGAAGGGUUCAUAAAUCUUAACCUGACAAAGUAUGUUAUUGCCAAAAGUAAGCUUUUCGGGAUAUCUGUACAAAUACUUAAGGUUUAUGAACCCUGUUCUGCGGUCUAUAAAUUACGAAUUUUUCAUACUACAAUAGUAUCAAAAUUGCAAAGAUAACGAAUAAUAGAUAUGGGUAAUUUUGUACAUAUACCAGGGGGAAACUUCGUGCAAAGCGUUAUUAAUCAUUGCUUCAUUGGUUUAUCGAAAAAAGGGGGAAUUUGGUGAAAAUAAAAGCAAGAUUUUUGUAGAAAAUCCACAGACCUUAAUACAGAGAAUUUUGUUAUAAAAUUUUAAACGCAGAUUACUUACUUGUUUUUUUUUAUGAUUUGCUAGCUUUUAAUGUUUUCAAAAAGUCCUCAGCAACCUUUAAAUUCCAAAACACCUCGCGCUGAGUCAAUUCGAGCGCACCCUAAAAGGUGUAUUUGGUCUGUAUUUAUAUAUCAUUUAACCAAUGUCUAAAUUUAUAAACUUGUCCUAAGGACAACAUUGCUAGCACAGCAUGCAAUAAUCCUCUAUCUAUCAGACAUCGAAUUGCCAAAUAUGAGAGUAAAAGGGGAAAGACUGUGGAUAUCAUUUUCUAUAAAAUUUCCAUAUAAUUAGCAUUGAAUCGACACAAGGGUAUAUAAUCCAUCAUGUAACCUAUUCAAUAAAAAGGUAAAAACAUUGGGCAUGUAAUAAAUCGAAUAAACCAAAGCUUAUAAUGUCUUUAACGUUAAUAAUUAAUCGAAUGGCACAGAUAAAUAACCGAAGAUACAACAAAAUAUUUACCUAUAGUUUGUAACAACGCUCAGGUAUUCGACCAGGAAGAUAUUCACAGGUAAAGAGUUACAUACCGUUGAUUAUUGUCAAGUAUUUAAACGCGGGAGAUUUUAAAUUUCAUUACACUGUGUAUAAAUUGUUGCUUCACUGUAACAGAAAAAGAAAAGAAAAACAAGAACAAAUAGACAAAUGUGCAUACUGAUUCCGUUUUCAAUGCGCAUGUAUUAUGUUUCCACUUUAUAUCAGCAAUGACUAUUUAAGUGUCUUAAACACCAAUAAUAUCUCUAUCAUUUAACUCACGCACUUAUUUUUAAAGUUUUAUCUAUAUUUAAUUUGCCCCUUAAAACUUCGUCAUUUUCUUUUCAUUGCAUUGCAAAAAAUGUAUGAUUUUAUAAUCAACAAAAAGUAUAUCAAAUAUACCGAACUCCAAUGUAUCUGUAAUGUAUAUAAGGUCUUGGUACUUUCUCAUGAGUAAAGGACGAGACGUUCUUUGACAAAACCCUGGCAUAUUGAUAUUUUGCUCAGACAUCUAUGACGUUUUACAAAGUCUGACUAGCAGCUGCAAACUCUUGAAUAUCGUAUGAUUUGAGAAAUGUAUACUCCAUACGCGGAUGAAGUUGGUAUGUUGCAGCUAAGGAGACUGAAAUUUUAUAUGACAUGAAGUAUCAUUGAUAUGGUCAUACUUAUAAAUUUUUUGAAAUACUAAGGUUUUUCUUCCUCAGGAAUAGAUCCUAAGCUGCAUUUGCAACACUUUAAGGAAUUUCGGUCCUAGCUCUUCAACUUCGUACCUUAUUUGGUCUUUUUAACUUUUUUGGAUUUGAGCGUCUUUUGUAGACGAAAUGCGUGUCUGGCGUCAAUACAAUAUUUUAUCCUGGUAUCUAUGAUGAGUUUAUUUACAACCACCGGGUCGAAGACAGGGCUGGUGGAGUUUUAAUUCCCCGGGAAUAUCACCAGACUAGUAGUCAGAACCUCUGUGUUGACAUGAAUUAUCAUUGAUAUGGUCAUAUUCAUUAUAUGAAACGCGCGUCUGGCUUAUAUACAAAAUUUAAUCCUGGUACUAGUAUUUACGAUCUGUUAAUCUUUAAUUUCAAAAAUGAAAUGAAUUUAAUUAAUCCCUUACAUUUUUGUAGUGAUUAUGCAUAAUUUCAGAAAUUUUAAUAAUUAUGUGACCAGUGGUUCUACAUAAUCCCUGAAAAUGUUAUGGAUUAUACAGAGACAGCAAACCGCGACUCAUCAGAAGACACCACGCCAAAAAACGCUUUUGAGAUAUGACAUUAUAUAAUCAUCGACUAUGUGCCGUACUUGGUAAAAUAGAAAAAUAAUGUCAUUGUCAGAAAAAUAUCAACUGAUUGAAAGAGGAUUAGAAAAUUGGAAAAGGCAAGGUCAAGCGAGCAAUUCAACUGUUUCGUGCGGAAUACAAGAAAGAAAUAUAUAUCAGCGGCGGAUCUAGAAAUUUUCAUAAAUGGGGGCCCGUUGACUGCCUAAGAGGGGGCCCGCUCCAGUCAUGCUUCAGUGAUUCCAUAUAUAAGAAACCAAUUUUUUCAUAGAUAAGGGGAGGGGGGCAGGGCCCCUGCCCCCUAAAUCCACAUCUGUAUAGUAUCUUACACUGACCUAAUAUUGUUUAAAAUAAAGUUGCAUCUAAGAUAGAUACAAGUAUACAUAUUAUAGUUGUGAAUAUGUUCAUGGUUUUCCAAUUUGUAUUUUGACUGCAAGACAUAAUAUACAAAACAUUGUUAUGCCGACUAUGCGGUAUGGGCUUUGCUCAUGGUUGAAGGCCGUACGAUUACAUAUAGUUGUUAUUUUCUCUGUCAAUUUGUCUCUUGUUGAGAAUUGAACUUGUCUCUUUGGCAAUCAAAUCACAUCUUUUUAUUUUCAUAUAUAGGGUGUUUCUAAAUACAUUUUUCUAGGGAGGAAGUAAGUGGGCUUGUGGUUUGCUAUGUAAAGAUAUCUAUGCAUAAUGAAUUUACUUGGGAAUUAUCUAUUAUAGUUGAUUGAUGAAUUAUAGUGUUAAUUAGUAUCAGCAAAUGAAAAGGAUAAACAUUACUAAUUUAAAAACAUCCACAACAAUAUGAAAAAAAACCAUGUAAAAUCUUGUACGAAGCAAAACUAACUUCGAUAUAAAAAGUAAAAUCACAAAAAUACUGAACUUGAUUUUGCAGGUUUCUUGUAGCAUAUGUUAAGUUUGUAUUUUAAGAGACAUGCAGUCCUUUCAAUUCUCGCGCUUGGGUUCAAUUAUGAAUGGUGAUAUCUGUUGGUCAGGCCACGAAUAAUGCUAUGUGUCUUACAUCGGCGACCUAUGUAGGAAUUACCAGGCAUGACUACAUUAUCUGUCACUUUGAAUUGACAAAUAUUAACAUUAACAUUCCGUCUAUAUGCAUAUACCUCUAACGUGUACUUUUCAUAUCAAUUUUAAAUCAUUAUAAAUGUAAAAUUGAGUUACAUAUUUAGCUAGCAAUAGAAAAUUAAGUUUAAACUAAUAUGUGACUAGCAAAAAAUGUAGCCCGAUGUUAGAACAUUCGAUUUGAUAAAAAUUGUGCUCACACGGGUGGUUGAAUGAUUAUGAUAUGUAUCUGAUAUAAAAAGAGUACUUGUGAGUAAAGAACAUAUCUAUCUGAAAAUUUGUCUUUUCGUACAAUAAGCGCAAUAUAUCUCGGCAGAUUAAAUAUUUCUACUCAAUAAAGUUGACAAGAGUAUAACUGGAAUCGUUGCGCUUUUUAUUUUAGAAAAAGACCUAAAAAAUGAAGAAUACUUUUAUUAUUUAUAUCAAUAUUAUAAAAUGUAUAAAAUGUAAGUUCUUUUUGACGGAAAAAAAAAAAGAAAAGUCUUGAUAUAGUCGUAGUUCGUUAUAUACAAUGAAAUCUGAGGAAAACGUAAAGUCAUAUCGGAAACUGAAAAAUAUGUAUGCAAAAACAAGUUAUAAGCAAUAAUUGUAUCUUAAUAACAAUUAAUUGGAGAGUUACACAUACAAACUUUUUCAAUACACGAAUCAAUAGUAGUCUUCAUUAACACAAUUAGAGAUAGACGGCUUAAAGAGUCAUUCACUUGAAGUUGAACUGUAAUUUGACUACAAGUUCUUAGUCGGUGUGACACUCGGAAGACACUUGAAAUAUGACGGAAAGGGAUAAUUACAUAUAGGACAUCACUUUAAAUUCGUCACAGAUCAUAACUAUGACCCCUUUUAAAACAAAUCAUUUUCUUAAGGAUAAAUCUAUAGCCAUCCCUAAAUCUUCUGUCAAUAAAUGCAUAUAUAAUAGGAUUCACUACAUUGUUUAUGGCGAAUGACCUGGAUACUAUUGGCAACACAGCGGACACAACAGGACCUGGUGCAAACAGGAAUUUACCUUUCAAUGCCGUCAAUAAAGAUAUCGUCAAAUGCGGCAGGUAACUCAAUAUGAAGGCGAGACUGACGGCAAAUGCGAUUUUAGUUAGUUUCUUCGAUGCCAUGUCUUCUUUUGUUGAUUUUGUUUUAUCUUUGAUGGUUGACUUUUUCUUGUUCAAUAGUUUCUUUUCACUGUGUUCCUUUUUGUCCUUUUUGUCCUCGAAAACCUCAUUUUCGUAUUGCUGAAAUGUAUUUAAAUGGUGUUGCUCAUUGGAAAGUGUUGUAUCAGACGUUGACUUAGACGAUGACACAUUAGAGAAUUUCCGCCUAAACUGGAUGUGUGCGCAAAGUUUUCGUCCAAUUAACGAGUAUAUUACAAUCAACGAUACCAUACAGAUAAUAAAAAUUAGAAACAAUGUUCCACCGUACACAGUUGGGUAAAUUGUUUUUGCAAAUUGAUCCGAAAGCGAGCAAUCAAAUCCUGUGAUAUUGAAUUCUCCGAGUUUUACAUGUCUUAUUCCACUGAUAAAGAAGUUCGGCCACGAGAACAUGAAUGAUAAACAGACACUAAAAAAGAUGAUUAUCGUAGCAUGGUGAGAAGUCAUUUGAAGUUUUAAUGGCGUAAACACACGUCGAUAUCGAUCGCCUGAUAGUCCCAUUAAAAUAAAGAUCGACGACAGUGCAAAAAGGUUGUUACAGGCGCGAAAAAAUUUACAUGCCCACAUGUUGUAAAACGUAUAUUGAAAUCGCAUCUCUGUUAUCUCAAAAGGCAGAGUUACAGCACAGACAAAUAAAUCUGAAAGUGCCAGACCAAUGAUAAACGUACGGUGAGUACUCUUCUGAAAUCUCAUGGGAUAAACAAUCAGAACCAAAACAUUGCCUGGUAUUCCAAUUAACAUUAGAAGUACAAGAUAGAUCAUUGGUGCCAGUCUUCGUAAAGCUUCUUCAUCAUUGUAAUCCUGUAAAGUUUUGUUUAAGUCGAGAUCUGUUAUGUUGGUUAAAUUAUAGUCAGUGAUUGUUGUUGAAUUAUCCAUGAUUUGUGAUUACAACUGUACUGUAUAUUAUACACAUAAAAUAAGAUGUCCAAACUGUCACUAAGAAAUUUUUUUCUUGGAUAUUUCUUUCUUUUAAGACUACGUUAUAACGUCAAUAAAUGUAAACAUUUAUGAAUGGACAUACACAAGACUAAGUUAAUAGUAUCCAUUUAUGGCGCAUUGUCAAACUUAUAAGCGGAUGACAACAAUUAAAACAAUCCCAAGUGGAAGGAUGAUAGUUAGAAUUAGUAAAUUUUCCGAUGAGGAAGUCACUUGUUAUAUGUACGCAUUUGCCAUAGUUUGAUUAUAUAAUGAAGGAAAUAAAUUAAAAUUGAAUUAUCUAGUGUGUUUACUGUAGCUAUUAACAAUUGAAGGAAAAUGGCAUUCAUAAAACACAAGAGUAGAAUGGGACAAAUAAUACAAAAAGUUCUUAUAGAAAUAUAACGAAAAUCGUCAUUGUACGUAUCAUUUGUAGAACACAAAAUAACAAGAAUGUGUCCUCAGUACACGAAUGCCCCACUCGCACUAUUAUUCUAUGUUCAGUGGACCAUGAAAUUGGGGUAAAAUCUCUAAUUUAGCAUUAAAAUUAGAAAGAUCAUAUCAUAGGGAACAUGUGUACCAAGUUUGAAGUCGAUUGACUUCAACUUCAUCAAAAAUACCUUACCAAAAACUUUAACCUGAAGCGGGACAGACGGACGAACGAACGAACGAACGGACGGACGGACGAACGAACGGACGCACAGACCAGAAAACAUAAUGCCCCUCUACUAUCGUAGGUGGGGCAUAAAAACUAUGACAAUGAUUGUUUAGGAGACAGAAGUUGGUCUUUUGUUGUUGCUUGCUUAUUGAAAUACACAUCUUUUUUUACUAGCUCAAUCAUGAAACACUGAUAGUUGAUCAACAAUCCAUGGAAAUUGGGUAAAGUUUUGGGUGCUUCAAAGAGGGAAGUUUUUUGUAUAGUAUUCCCACGAGCACAGCUUAUCCAUCAAUGUUAGUACAUUUGUAACUUUCACCUUGAUCACUAAUCCAUGAAAUGAUGUCGAGGACAGGACAUCUACAAUGUGAGCAGCCGUAUUUCGGAGUAUAGACAAAAUAUAACACCGUGACAUCUACAACAUUUUCGUGUUGGUAAUUAGACCAUAGACAUUCCUAUAGGUACCAACUGUGCCGUUCAUAUUCGUCAUACGCCUCUUACUUCACUCUGUUAUUUCGACAUUGUCCUGUAAUCAAAUUAAGACGAAACGCGCGUCUGGCGUAUAUCUAUGAUGAGUUUAUUCAUUCACUCAAUAAUUCAAACUGGUGUGUAUGUUGACUGCAUCUAUACCAUUGAACUUGAAACACAUGAUAAUUAUAUCACUUUCAACUAAGUCUGCUUCAUAACUUAACCUAUAUCUAGUAAUUUAUAAUGAGGAUUAGUUGUGAACCAAACUUUUAAAUUUUCCCAUUGUGAACUACUCUUUUCAUAACAGCAACAUUUCAGCAACAACUGCAUGUACAAUGUGGAGAACAGGUUAUUUCUGAACCUGCUGGUUACCUAUGAUAAUUUCCUUGAUAGAGGGUAACUUCUUACGAGAAAGCUAUUCAAGUUCAAAAUGGUAAAGAUGAAGUUAUUCUCCUGAAAAUUUACAUCAUCAAGAUGUGUGUGGCUAUUACGAAACAUGUGGGUCACAGAUGACUAUAGACCUUUUUAAUUUGUUGUCAUCUGCAUGUUUUUUCUAUUACAGAAUGAGAUGUAAAACCAUUCAAGAAAAGAAUAUUUCACUAUCAUUACCGUAUAAAACUUUUACUUUAAGAGCUCUCCCCUUGAAAGGUCAUGUUGAACAAUUGAUUCUAAAAACCCAAACAUUUGGUAUUUGUUUAAACCUUAUAUUUAUGGACGAAAUCUUAUUUUUCAGUACACAAAUCAAUAGUAUUACACACAAAUUGCAAAUCUGUCUCAAAAUUUGCAGAAUUAGGCAAAAAAUUACACCAAAUAUGUACUGCUAUUCAGCCUAUUGUACAAUCCAAGAUGGUGGUAAACAGUGAAUCUACCAUAAGGAAGCUAGAAAGAAACACAAAAUCUGACAGAAAAACUUGCAAUCCUAGUCAAUUAAGAUUGGAUUCAAGGACAACUACCACAAACGAUGUUUUAACUCACAAUGUCAGUUGACAGACAAAUGAUCACAAGAUGAACUACUAUAAGCACUUAGCCUCUAAUGUCCCAAUUUUUCUUAGAAAAAAGUCAACAGUCAAUAAUACUAUGAAUUAAACAAACAAAUUGAAAACAAUAAUUUAUUUUUAUUUUUACUGUGAUGAAAAUGCAUACAAAGCAUGUUUGUAAUUUCUAAAUGAGAUCAAUAUCUUGUACUUAAUGUUAUUGUGAUAGCACACAUUCCCUAAUGUGUUCAAAAUCAUAUUAUGCAGUAAAAUGACUUCUAAUAAAUAACAACUCAUUUAUAAUGCUUAUAUGGAUAAAUUUAUAUUGCUGUAUACACACACAUAUUCUGUUCCUAGAUACACAUGAGAAUGUCAACCUUUGAAAAAAAAACUUUGUUUUAAAACAGGAAUAGAAAUAGAAAUAGAAAAUAUGGGACAAAAUUGUCAAAUUUCAUAGCAAUGAUGAAUUUUGAUCGUUAAAACAUACAAUUAUUCUUAUAGAACCUUAGAUAAUGUUGACCCUUUCAUGAUUGAACAUUUUUUAGAUAUCAAACAUGAAUUACAACUAUAUGCAGAUUUUCAUGAAAACAUAAAAAGUUGAAAAAAAAUCAGCCUUCCAUUUACAGAUAUCGAUGCAGGUCUUAGGUAAAGAAAAUGAACUAAAAACAAGACUUAAAAAUCUGGAGUACACAUUCUAUUGCAUAAAUAGUAUAUAUAUUAUCUCAAACAUUGAAUAAAUUUACAUCAAGUUUCUUGUAAGUGGUUGUUAAUUUAGUAAAAACAUGGCAUUUGAUGUGUUGAGAACCGUGAGAAAGCCUUCAUGAAUGAGGCUCUAUUAGGAAGACAUUUACGUAGCAGAUAAUGUUUAUAAAUUGCUUCUCUGGCAUACAACUAAUAAUAGGUUGUCUCAUACAUGUAUGGAUUUAGAAACAACAUAAAUUGCAGCAAUUUAAAUAAUGGUUCAUCUUAUUCAGGACUGGUGAAACAAACAAACAAACAAAAUAGUAAAACCUAUCUCAAUCAAAUUAGGAGACUGAAUAAAAAUAACUAUCUGCUAUAUAAAACAAAACAUAAUCAAAUUUUUGGAGCUGUGUUUUUGGAGUAAAAAGAGAAAAAACUUUCAUGUUUAACACUUUUUUCCUUAAUAAUUUUUACUCUUUUACUAUUUAUGUAAAUUACUUUAAAACAAACUUUUAAAAAAUAAUGCUAUGUUUAAGUUAUCAAAUUAAUUUGAUAUGAAUAAGUUAAUUUCAAAAUUCUACAAAAUUAUAUAACAGAUCUACGUGCAAAAUAUUUACAAUUCCAAUUUGGAAUAGUGAGUAUUCUUAUCAAUUAUUCAUAAAGCCUUUAGCAUUACAUCAGAAUGAAACAUUAACAAUGAAAAGUGUUAUAACUUAUAAGCAAAUGCUAUGUGAUUUCACUUAUAUUCUGGGUUGUUUUUCUUUUUAAAUGUACACCAAUAAAUUUUUCUAGAUACAUGUUUCUAAGAAAAUUUCAUCAUAAGAAGCUAUUUCAAAAUUUUAAAACCAUUUUCUUCUAUUAUGAAUAUAUAAUUUUGAAAUUAUUCAUUUAAAAAAAUGAUUCAUUUGAACUAUAAAGUCGUAAUGCUACUUGUAAAUUUGUACUGAAAAUCUCAUCCUUACUCUCAUCUGCAAAAAAUCUUUUAAUUGAUAUAUAAUUGUCAAUCCUGGAACAAUGUCUGAAUAACAUGAAAACUUGAAUGCAGCACAUAUAAUAAAUAACAUUUUGGCAAAAAAAAAUAUAUUUUAAAUCAAGUUAACUUAAUUUUAGAUAUAUCUCAUUAAGGAAACGUUAAGACUAUAUGGUAGAGAGGGGACAGACCAAGAAAAUACUAAGUGGUCUAAAUGAACCAAUCAAAUGGUUGUUCUGUAUGACCACUUAAAUGGUUGACUCAAUUUCUUUGUAGAAACCUUGAAAUUGCUUCCUUAUUUCAAGAAUCACUUAACAAUAUAAGCACCAGAAUAAAAUAACUAAGUAAUAAUUGAGAUCACAGAUUUAGUACCCUUUAAAACAAUAAAAUAAAAUGCUCAACAUACUUGUGUAGUAUUCUGUUUAAAACUAUCAUCUCUUUGAAGAUUAAAAAUAUAUCAUUUGUAAAAUUGGAAUGAAUGCUAAAAAUUAACAUUGUAUUUGGAAUGUAAUUAACUGUUCUACAAAUUACACAAUAACACACAUUACCCAUACAUCCAAUUAAAACAAAACAAACACACUGUGUAAUACUGAUAUCUCAAGGAAAAUGCUGUGUGAAAUCUACCUAAUUUGCAUUUGAUUUGAAAAAAAUAUCUUUCAUUUUAGGCACAAACUAUAUUACAUUUGCACCAAAAUAAAAAUUUGCAAUUGUGUCAAUAAUCAUUGAAAUAUGUCUGCAUUCUAUAUAUUCAGCAAGAUGUAGAUUAAACAUUAUAUUAAAUUAAUAUACAUUUUCAAGUCAAUCCUCAUAUUUUGCUGCACAAAAAUUCAAAUUUUCAUACAAAAAAAUACAGUAUCCUUGUAAACAACUUUUCCACAGCGAAACAAUAAAAAAUUGGCAAACUUGGAUUUUGCAUUGAUUACCUAUAUGGGAAUAUCACUUUAUAUACAGACUAUCAUACUGCAUCAUAUUUUUAAAUAUGUACUGCUAACAAGCUUUAAAUACACAGCUAGAUCUUCAGCAACAAUAGUAAACAAGUUGCAUGCAUUGUCAUGCUUAAUGGAUGGCUCCAUUUGUUAUUCAAAGUAUCAGAACACUUGAAAAAGAUGUCAGACAAAAAGCUCUGACAAAUUAUACUGUAUUACUGUCAAGCUGCUGACCACACAUGAAUUCAUUCUGUUCAGUGGUUUCAGAGAAAAAAGUUAGGAAAAUGUUCAUUCAAACUCAAUAUAUAGGCAUUCCAGCUUAAAUUGCUUAAGUUCAAAAAGAAAUAGCAAAAAGGUGUUAUUCAUUAGUUAUCUGCAUUAAAUGCAAAAUGACUUUCAUUACCCAAAUUUUGAAUAAUUUUAAGAUGCAUCCACUUUCCAUUUUUGUUUCAUUUUUUUUUAGUUGCAUGCAGAUCUANNNNNNNNNNNNNNNNNNNNNNNNNNNNNNNNNNNNNNNNNNNNNNNNNNNNNNNNNNNNNNNNNNNNNNNNNNNNNNNNNNNNNNNNNNNNNNNNNNNNNNNNNNNNNNNNNNNNNNNNNNNNNNNNNNNNNNNNNNNNNNNNNNNNNNNNNNNNNNNNNNNNNNNNNNNNNNNNNNNNNNNNNNNNNNNNNNNNNNNNNNNNNNNNNNNNNNNNNNNNNNNNNNNNNNNNNNNNNNNNNNNNNNNNNNNNNNNNNNNNNNNNNNNNNNNNNNNNNNNNNNNNNNNNNNNNNNNNNNNNNNNNNNNNNNNNNNNNNNNNNNNNNNNNNNNNNNNNNNNNNNNNNNNNNNNNNNNNNNNNNNNNNNNNNNNNNNNNNNNNNNNNNNNNNNNNNNNNNNNNNNNNNNNNNNNNNNNNNNNNNNNNNNNNNNNNNNNNNNNNNNNNNNNNNNNNNNNNNNNNNNNNNNNNNNNNNNNNNNNNNNNNNNNNNNNNNNNNNNNNNNNNNNNNNNNNNNNNNNNNNNNNNNNNNNNNNNNNNNNNNNNNNNNNNNNNNNNNNNNNNNNNNNNNNNNNNNNNNNNNNNNNNNNNNNNNNNNNNNNNNNNNNNNNNNNNNNNNNNNNNNNNNNNNNNNNNNNNNNNNNNNNNNNNNNNNNNNNNNNNNNNNNNNNNNNNNNNNNNNNNNNNNNNNNNNNNNNNNNNNNNNNNNNNNNNNNNNNNNNNNNNNNNNNNNNNNNNNNNNNNNNNNNNNNNNNNNNNNNNNNNNNNNNNNNNNNNNNNNNNNNNNNNNNNNNNNNNNNNNNNNNNNNNNNNNNNNNNNNNNNNNNNNNNNNNNNNNNNNNNNNNNNNNNNNNNNNNNNNNNNNNNNNNNNNNNNNNNNNNNNNNNNNNNNNNNNNNNNNNNNNNNNNNNNNNNNNNNNNNNNNNNNNNNNNNNNNNNNNNNNNNNNNNNNNNNNNNNNNNNNNNNNNNNNNNNNNNNNNNNNNNNNNNNNNNNNNNNNNNNCAAAAAAGGGAACUUAGUUUUUGAUAUACUAGAUAUGAAAAUUUUUCAUGUUAUUACACUAUUAUAUUGAAUAUUGGAUGCGUACUGAUCGAUAUUGAAGACUUAGAUACAUGAUGAUUUCACUAGUCUGAAUACUUUUAGUAACUAUGGGUACAGUUAGUGAUCGGACUAACCUGAUAAGUACUUUAUUCAAUCAAAAGUAAACUUUUCCAGUUAUCUAUUCCAAGUCUUAACCAAACACAUCCGGUAACCCAUUCAAUGAAAAGAUAAAUAUAUUGUGCUUGUUUUUGACCAAACUGUCGGAAUCCGUUUUAUCGUCUAUUGAAUAUGCGUUUCACAGAUGAUAUCGGAUAUGUUUCUUUUGUCGUAUCUACUAUCCCGUUCCCAUUUCACGAAUGUGACCUACCGAAUUUGUCUAUUUACCGGGUUUGUAAUAACAUGAGCAACACGACGGGUGCCAUAUGUAACGCCGGAUCUGGUUACUCUUCCGGAGCACAUGAGAUCACUACCAGUUUUUGGUGGGGUUCGUGUUGAUUAGUCUUUAGUUUUCUAUGUUAUGUCUUGUGUACUAUUAUUUGUCUGUUUGUCUUUGUAUUUUUUAGCCAUGGCAUUGUCUGUUUAUUUUUUGAACUAGGAGUUUGACUGUUCCUCUAAAUGUCCAGAAUGUCUUAACACGUAAUAAUUGAUGGAAUGUAACAGAUAAAUAACCGAAGACAAACAAAUAUUUACCUGUAGUCUGUAACAACGACCAAGUAUUCGACCAGGAAGUUAAAGACAGGUAAAGAGUUACAUAACGUUGAUUAUUGUCAAGUAUUUAAACGCGGGAGAUUUUUAAUUUCCGUGCAAUAAUUCUGUGUUUGAAAUUCUCUCAAUUAUAAAAGAAUAUUUGCUUUUGUAUAGUUCCCUAGUUACUUUGCGUUUUGUCCUUUCAUAUCGAGUAAAGGUUUGCUAAGUAGAAGUUUUUACAUGACUAUAAAACGAAACAUUUAUUUCACACUGCAAUGAAAAUAAAACGAUGAAUACUUCUUAAGAGCAAAUUGAAUACAAAUAAAACAUUAGAAAAUGAGUACGUAAUUUAAAUGAUAGAGCUAUUAAUUGGUGUUUAAGACACUUAAAAUAGUUAUUGCUGGUACAACAUCGAAAUUAAUACAUUGCACAUUGGAAAGGGAAUCGGUAUGCAACAUAUAUCUUUUUGUUCUUGUUUUUCUUUUCUUUAAUGAUGAGAUUAUCUAAUAUGAGUCAGAAUUUUCAAGCUGUUUUAAAAAAAAAAUAUUCAUUAUGUCUGAUUAUGGUAUAAUAAAAAGAAUAUUUGUUGAAAACAGUUUAUAAAUUUCAGAUAAGGAAAGAGUCAAAGUGUGUAAAAGAUAAAGUAUGCACUCACAAUUUAGGAAUUAGGUACAGUGUUCAUUAAUUUUGCACGGUUCUUGUACCGUUUGUUUUAUAAGAAACAGGAAGUUCUUGCAAUUCAUGAGCUUGAUUUCAAGUAUGGUGAGGGGAUAUCUGUUGGUCAGGCUAUUUCUAUAUAAUUUCUAUCCCUUUUAGAUUUACAUAUUUUAACAUUAAUGUUCCGUCUAGAUGCACACACUUUGUUGUGAACCUACAAGUCAUCUAAGUCUUAAGGGCAUACGAUACAGUUGAUCCGUAUUUAAAUUUUGAUGAAAAUUGCAUGUAGCUAUUUUUACUGAAUUAUCAAAUAUUUUAUAUAAAUACACGUCAUGUGCUACUUUUUGGGUAAAUUGAUUUCAAUUUCAGAUAUUUCUAAAAAAUACGGAUUGUUGAGCAUUUUCCUUUCGAUAGAAUACAUUACUUUUUUGUUUUAAAAGGUAAACCGAUCUGUUUUUGUUAAUUAUUUGGUAAUUUAUUGUGUAUAAAUAUGCAUAAAUUUGUACAUUCAUUUUAAAAAUAACUCAAGUUUAACAAAUGAUUAUAAAUGUAGGCAGAAAGCGUAAUUUUUGCUGUAUAUUAAUCAAAUUUUAAAAAAUUGAACUAUUUACGUUUUCAUGAAAAUUGGUACACAUAAUCUUUUUAUGUAAACAAACCAAAUGUCUGUUUAAAAAAUAGGGGUCCAUGAUCUCAUUUUCAAGUUAAAUCAGUUUGAAUGAUAAAAAUCAGCCGAAAACUGCAUCUUUGUUUUUUGUUAAAUUAUUUUUGUAAUUUGAUUGUGUUAUACAAAUACUUCUUACAAUGAUUACGAAUGUCGAGAAAAAGUAUUUUCUGUAUAUUUCAAUUUAAAAAAUUGCACUAUUUCUUUCAUGAAAUGGAACACAUAAUCUUUUUACGUAAAACCAAAUGUCGUUAAAAAAUAGGUCCAUGACUAAUUUCAAAUUAAAUCUAUUUGAAUGAUAAAAAUCAGCCGAAACUUCACUCUUUCGAUAAAGUCACCGUUUGAGUCGCGAAAAUCAAUUUCGUUAGCACGUCAUUACCUCCCCUAUAUGAAAACUUGGCUUUUCGUAUAAACUGGGAAACCAUAAGUGUAAUGAAUAUGCCUCGGCAGAUUAAAUGUUUCUACUCAAGAAUGGCGAAUUGACAAUUAUGGUUGACUUGAAAUCGUCGUGUUUGUCAUUGAUUCUGUUUUAGUUAUCAAACUUGUCAUUGACAGUUUUGAUUUUAGAAAAAAAAAAGUCAAAAUGGAGGUCAGUUUUAUUUCAUUUUUGUUUAAAUAUAUAUAAAAUGUAAGUUUUUUCUGAAGAAAAGAAAAAAAAGAAAAGUCUUUAUAUGGUGGUAGUCCAUUAUAUGGUCAAAGGACACAGUUAUCGUCCUUUGGGUUUCGUUGUUUACGAAUACAGUCCCUAGUGUGAACAUGGUACAUAACUUGCAUUUUUUAUUUGAUACACUUUCCUAAUUUAUUUCUUAAUAUUUAAUGCAUAAAAUAUUAAGAGGGGGGAUAAAAUUACAUGUUAAAAAAAUGUGGGUGCUAAAUCAUUAUGUUAAUUAGUGAUUUGGUCCAGUUAAAAAAAGGUCAUAUUUUAUUACGUCUGAAGCUGUCAAACUGAAUUUUACAUCCCCUUAACACAGAAUUGUCAAUAUUUUGAGUUAGAGCUGGUAGAAGUUUCUAUGAUUUUGAUAUUAUUUGUCUCACUGGUAGUAUACUACACUGUAAAAUCUAUUUGAGAAAGAGCAGGUGGGAUUUUUUAAAUUUGAAUUUAUUGUCUAAAAGAAAUGCACUACGAAAUAACUGUGUUCUCGGGCCAUAUACAAGGAAAUAUGGAGUAAUGUUAAGACUUUUGGAAACUGAAGCAUGUGUAUGCCAAAAAAUACUAGUAGUUACAAACAAUAAUUCUAUUUUAGUUACAAUUUAUUUGAGAGCUACAAAACAAAUACAAACUUUUACAAUAAUGGAAUCAAUAUUAAUCUUCAUUGACACUAUUAGAUAAACGGCUUGAAGAGUCAUUCACUUGAAGUUGAACUAUAAUUUGAUCACAAGUUUUUAAUCGGUGUAACACUCGGAAAACACUUUAAAAAUGACGGAAAGGGAUAAUUACUAUAGAACAUCACUUCAAAAAUUCGUCACAGAUUAUAACUAUGACUCUUUUUAAAACAAAUCAUUUUCUUAAAGAUAUAUCUAUAGCCAUCCCUAAAUCUUCUGUCAAUAAAUGCAUAUAUGAUAGGGUUCACUACAUUGUUUAUGGCGAAUGACCUGGAUACUAUUGGCAACACAGCAGACACAAUAGGACCUGGCGCAAAUAGGAAUUUACCUUUCAAUGCCGUCAAUAAAGAUAUUGUUAAAUGCGGCAGGUAGCUCAAAAUGAAGGCGAGACUGACGGCAAAUGCGAUUUUAGUUAGUUUCUUCGAUGCCAUGUCUUCUUUUGUUGAUUUUUUUCUAUCUUUGAUGGUUGACUUUUUCUUGUUCAAUAGUUUCUUUUCACUAUGUUCCUUUUUGUCCUUUUUGUCCUCGAAAACCUCAUUUUCGUAUUGCUGGGAAGUAUUUAAAUGGUGUUGCUCAUUGGAAAGUGUUGUAUCAGACGUUGACUUAGUCGAUGACACAUUAGAGAAUUUCCGCCUAAACUGGAUGUGUGCGCAAAGUUUUCGUCCAAUUAACGAGUAUAUUACAAUCAACGAUACCAUACAGAUAUAAAUUGAACAUGUUCCACCGACACAGUUGGGUAUAUGUUUUUGCAAAUUGAUCCGAAAGCGAGCAAUCAAAUCCUGUUAUUGAUUCCCGAGUUUUACAUGUCUUAUUCCACUGAUAAAGAAGUUCGGCCACGAGACAUGAAUGAUAAACAGACACUAAAAAGAUGAUUAUCGUAGCAUGGUGAGAAGUCAUUUGAAGUUUUAAUGGCGUAAACACACGUCGGUAUCGGUCGCUUGAUAGUCCCAUUAAAAUGAAGAUCGACGACAGUGCAAAAAGGUUGUUACAGGCGCGAAA
rnacentral:lncRNA from 1 species